rnacentral:lncRNA from 1 species
GGAUUGGCCGCGCCCGACAAAUGUCACGGAGGUUCGAAGCUUCGUGGGCUUAGCGGGUUAUUAUAGGCGGUUUGUGGAAGGCUUCUCCAAGAUUGUAAUUCCACUUACCCGCCUGACUCAGAAAGGCACCAAGUUUGUUUGGAGCGAGGAGUGCGACCGGAGUUUCAAGGAGUUGAAGCAAAGACUGACUUCGACUCCGGUGCUCGCUCUACCGGUGCAGGGCGAAGACUUCGUAGUCUACAGCGAUGCCUCCUAUCUUGGAUUGGGGUGUGUAUUGAUGCAAAACGGGAAAGUGAUCGCUUAUGCAUCCCGUCAGCUGAAGAGCUAUGAGAAGAACUACCCCAUUCAUGAUUUGGAGCUAGCGGCGGUGAUUUUCGCCUUGAAGCUGUGGAGGCACUACCUAUAUGGUGCCCAUUGUGAGAUUUAUACCAACCACAAGAGCUUGAAGUACCUGUUUACACAGAAGGAGCUCAACAUGCGUCAGCGGCGGCAGUUGGAGUUGUUAAAGGAUUAUGACGUUGAUAUCCUCUACCACCCCGGGAAGGCAAAUGUGUUCGCGGAUGCACAUAGUAAGAAGUCGGCAAAGAACCUCGCCUUUGAUGUUACCCAGCAAACACCCCUAUGGCUGGAUUUGGAGCGAUUAGACCUUGAAGUGGUCGCUCCCGAGGUCCCGACUCAGUUGAUGGCACUCGUUGUCCAACCGACCUUGUUGGAGAGGAUCAAGGAUCUGCAGCCCGCAGACCCAGAACUCCAAAAGGUGCGGCGAAACAUCGAGGAUGGUCACGACGGCGAUUUCAGUAUGAACACUGAUGGUACGCUUCGGUUUCGAAAUCGGUGGUGUGUGCCAAAAGAUGAAGAGCUUCGUGAAUUGAUUCUACAAGAAGCACACCGAUCUCCAUAUGCCGAUCACCCGGGCGGCACCAAGAUGUAUCAAGGACUAAAAAUGCACUAUUGGUGGCCGGGAAUGAAAGGUGAUAUUGGACGCUUUGUGGCGAAGUGCUUAACGUGCCAACAAGUAAAGGCCGAGCGUCGAUUUCCAGCGGGAAAGCUUCAAAGCCUACCAAUCCCCGUUUGGAAAUGGGAGGAUAUAUCAAUGGACUUCGUGGUCGGCUUGCCCCGUUCAACGGGCGGCCACGAUGCAAUUUGGGUAAUUGUGGACCGAUUGACGAAGUCGGCUCACUUCUUGCCGAUCCACACCACGUGGUCGGGUGACAAGUUAGCGCAGGUAUACCUUGACGAGAUAGUGAGACUGCAUGGGGUGCCGAAAUCGAUCGUGUCGGAUCGUGACCCCCGGUUCACUUCACACUUCUGGAAGAGCCUGCAGGGAGCCCUUGGCACACGGCUCGACUUUAGCACCGCAUUUCAUCCUCAGACCGAUGGGCAAACAGAGAGAACCAUUCAAACUCUGGAGGACAUGUUGCGAGCGUGUGUCAUCGACUAUAAGGGAAGUUGGUGUGACCACCUACCUAUGGCCGAGUUCGCCUACAACAACAGUUAUCAUGCUAGUGUGGAGAUGGCACCGUUCGAGGCUCUCUAUGGGCGGACGUGUCGGUCUCCUAUACACUGGAGCGAUGUGGGCGAGCGUGCGGAGUUCGGCCCCGAUGUGUUGCGAGAAGCAGAGGAGAAAGUCCGCCUUGCUCGCAAGAGAUUGCUCACUGCGCAGUCAAGACAGCAAAGCUAUGCGGACAGGUGCCGACGAGAUAUAGAGUUCACGGUGGGUGACAGCGUAUUCUUAAAAGUUUCACCGAUGCGGGGUAUGAAGCGGUUUGGAGUGCGGGGAAAGCUAAGUCCCCGAUACAUUGGACCCUAUGAAAUAUUGGAGCGAGUUGGCACGGUGGCUUAUCGACUCGCUUUGCCGCCGAAGCUCGCGGAUGUACACAAUGUGUUCCAUGUCUCCAAUCUCCGCAAGUAUAUUCACGAUCCCGAGCAUGCGAUGCUAUAUGAACCGCCGAAACUUCAAGGAGACUUGAGUUAUGAAGAGUUUCCGAUAGGGAUUAUCGCCUGAGAAGUGCGAAAGAUAAGGAAUCAAGAAAUUCCCUACGUGAAGGUUAGGUGGAGCAAUCAUGAUGAUCGCGAGGCCACCUGGGAACUCGAGGAUCUGAUGAGAAGACACCACCCUCAUCUGUUCGAGGAGUGAGGUAAAGAUUUAAAUUAAGUAAAGAAUCGAAUUAGUUUCGAGGACGAAACUCCUUUUAAGGAGGGGAGGAUGUAAGGAAGUGAAUUCUCGAAAUCCGAGAGUUGUACUUCAUCCAGGAUCGACUAAUUGUCGAGAGAAUACCCUUUGGGGAAAUUAAAAAUAUCCAGAGCACAAAAAGUGCCUUGGAGUUGANUUAGUUUCGAGGACGAAACUCCUUUUAAGGAGGGGAGGAUGUAAGGAAGUGAAUUCUCGAAAUCCGAGAGUUGUACUUCAUCCAGGAUCGACUAAUUGUCGAGAGAAUACCCUUUGGGGAAAUUAAAAAUAUCCAGAGCACAAAAAGUGCCUUGGAGUUGAGUCCACGAGAGCAAAUAGCGCAAACAGCAUUAUUAGGCUGAUGUUACUCUCGGGGACCGGUCUCUGGAGGUGAGAGACCGGUUCCAUCGGCUGGGCAUAGCGGGGUUGCUUGGUGCAACCGGUCCCUGGCAGGGAGGGACCGGUUCCCGAACGUGGUCCCAGCGAGAAAUGCCGAAAUUUGGCUAAGUCCUGAAAAUUGAGCUCUCGAGGACCGGUCUCUCAGGCGAGGACUGGUCUCCCGAGGACCGGUUUCCCGGGGAGAGACUGGUUCCCGAAUGCGUGCACCCGAGGGAGGCUCUCGGGGACCGGUCCCAAGUCGGGGAGACCGGUCCCUCCGCGCGAAAACCGCCCAGUAAGGGCUGUGCAAGGGGUUAAAAGUUGAGGGGUCUAAAUGCAAAAUGGCCUUUAUUAGAGAGAGCUGAGCCCUCUCUCCCUCACACUCUCUCAUUUCACUCUCUCUCACUCCCAUUUCUCUCUUGCUCUCUCUCUCUCUAGAAAAGAAAGGAGAAGUACAAGAAUAAGAAGGAGGGGAAGGAAAAGAAGGAGAAGGAAAGGAAGGAGAAGAAGAAGGAGAUCAAGAGGAAGGCCUUGGACACCUUUAUCUCCCUCUCCUCUUCUCUUUGGAGUAGCACAUGAGGUAGGCUCUUGAACCCUAGCUCCUAGAACUUAGGGUUUUGGGUUUUUAUGCUUUGGAAUGGGUCAAAUGGGCCCUAAGCAAGCUUCUAAAUAGAUCAAUCCCAAGAAUCUAGGGAUUUAUUGGUGGUUUGCUAUAGGUGCAAACCUAGGGCUCCAAAAUGGAGUUUUUGUAAAAAUGUGAGAUUGAUCUCAUUUGAAGCCUUGGAAACCCUAUUGAUAGGUCACAAAACGCGGGGGCGAAGUCGGUUUUGGCAUUUGGCGAGCCGGCGUGAAGUUCUCGGCAAAAUAGGGCCGGGUUAACAUUGAUUUGGGCAAGGGAAGGCUAAAGCCUUUUCGUAAAGUACGCCGAGGAGCAUUUCUAAAGCCUCUACAUCGAUAAAAGGUGGGGGGUGCCAUCCCGAAGCUUUCGAACUCCUUUCUAUGUCUUAGAUUUGCAUUUAAUCUCAUCUCUUCAUGUUGCAUUGUAGGAUUGCAUAGUAGCUCCAUUCCUUAUGCUUUCUAAAUGAUAACCUAGUGUACUUGGAACGCUUGGUAACUUAGAUAGGUGAGGAUUGGGUCGGAACGUGGAUCCUAUGAUGUGAAAGAAAAGAGAUGAACCCGAUGGGGGUAUUGAUGACAUAGAGAGUAGUGUUUAGUGUAAAAGAACACACGUGUGGCAUCCAAAAGUUACAUGAUGACAAGUGGCAUUAAUGUAGUGUAUAUGACACUAGAGGUUUGAGAACCUAGGGAUAGGUGGAUCCCUUAGAAAAUGCCUUGUGAACAAUGAAUUUAGAAAAAAGCUAAAUAGCAUUGCAUGAAUGUCGGGAACAAAGGAUCCCGCGAGAGAUGUUGACUCUAGUUGUAGAGUGCUUCCUCACUUGGAGAGGACUUGAUUGGGUUGUGACCCUAGUUGUAGAGUGUCCUCACUUGGAGAGAAUAGAUCUAGCUCACAGUCUGCGUUUAGGAUGGUAUAGCCAUCCAAUCCCCACAUGGAGGGGAUUGUCGUCGAGUACUCCGGAGUGUCGCGCGACUAGGACCACUUGGAGGUCCGGACCACAUGGAGGUCCGCAGACGGUCCCGGGCUUGGGUGCACUUGGAGCUCCCUCCCCACUUUGGGAUUGGAAGGUGAGUCAUUGGCGAGCCCUAGGGCCUCGUCACAGUUUUGGUAAAUGGAAAGUUAAAGGUUUAAAAAUGUCAUUGAACAUUACUAUUCGAACAUGGAUCGAAUUUGUUAGCAUGGUAGCAAACCUUUAUUAUAUGAUGCAUGCAUUCAUAUUCAUGAUUAUGGGCAUAGUAGCAUAGUUUUCCUACUAUCGCAUUUACAGCUUUCAGAUAUCUAUCUAUCUAUCUAUCUCUCUGUUGUUGCUUGUGCCCACUUGGACCUAGUGGGGAGAUCGGCAGAGUCGGCGGCCGAGCCCACUGGGAACUAUGGAAGAUAGUUCUCACCCCACUCUAUUUUCAGUGGUAGGUACAGGGUUGUCGAGAGAGGACCGCGGCAAGGGCAUCGCGCCCAAUCAGUGAGACCGUGGUAGCAUAGUAGCUUUCCUUUUUUGCAUUAGUACACCUAUGUAUUUGAGAGAUGCAUUGUAGGUGAGGAUUUGGAGAGCUAUGUAUUUUGAGAGCCAUCGCGAUACAUACUCGCCGUGCGAGAUUGGGCGCCGAAGUGGAUUGCGGUGGGCUAGGCUCAUCCCUAGAGUGGAGAUGUUGACUACUACGGGGCCAUUAGGCACGGCACCGGCCAGACAGCCUACGGGUGGGUCUUCAGGCCAGACAGCCUUCGGGCGGGUCUUACAAGAUUUAAACUUUAAGUAGUUAACAUGCCAAGUGGAUAUUGAUAGAAUAGUAAACAAUGACAUUGUACUAUUUAGCUUGUGGGGUAUUAUGUUAGUUACACUCAUGUAUUUACAUGUUACAGUAGCUUCAUUACUUAUGAAAAUUCAUGCUAAGUAGAGACAUCGUGUGGUAGCAAGUUUACAUGUUUAUUUACAUGUCGUUCAUAUCGUUUUUAUUUGUUUACUUACCUAUUUAGCUCUUUUGGGCCUAGUGGUGCUUUUCAUUGAAGUCAGUAAUUGCCCACUGGAAACUAUUAAUUAAUAGUUCUCACGCCCCCUGUUUUAUGGUUUUAUUUCAGAGCCUUCAGCACCGGCAGAGGCACGGGAUCGCGGCAAGGGUGUCGCCUUGCUAGAUAGUGGGGAGCUACUUGCUCUUAGGUGGUUUACUCUUUCUUUUGUUAUAAUAGAGAGAGAGAGAUUUUUGUACCAUGUAUAGAGACCACCUAUGUACUCGUUUAUCACUUGUUUUGGGUCAUCUUUUGUACCACUUUAUGGUUUUAUUAGUUGUUGUUGGAUCUUUUAUUCGCUUUCCUUGUUAUAGAUUCUAGUUGUACUAUGCUCUGAUACUCCUAGACGUUCUCCUUUUAUUGCUUUAUUUAUCGUUUUAUUGUAGAUGCCUUAUAUGUUUUAGACAUAUGGCGGGUCUGGGCACCCGCCGGGCGGGCUUCCGCUGGGUCCCGGGGCGUGACACUGGUAGAGCCAGUGCCGAUGCAGUCAAGGUGCCGGUGUCGAACCCCUCGGGCACUCGGUCCGGAAGUGGCCCUCCUGGCCACACAAAAAACAUGUAACACACUGGACCUUUGCAAAUUGCGAGGUUCGAGUGUUCGAGCUGUGUGCUGAGCAAUUCCAGAUUUUCUGGUGGGUCGAUGACAGUGUUCCGACCUAUGGCUCGCAUCCCGAGAAGUGAGGUUUAAAGCCGAGCACGAAAACCCGAAAAAUCGGAUUUUUGGGUAGCUCUCGGGUUGCCUUCGGAGGGCUGUGUACCGGUACGGGAGUGAUGGCUGUACCGGUACAGCCAUCGACUUUGGCCGAUUCUCAGCCAACCCGAGGCUCGGGCUGGGCGUUUUCGUAGGAGGUGUUCCGGUACGCGGGCCCGUGUACCGGUACGCAGUGCAGAUUCUGAGCAGUUUGAACUGCAGGGGGGUUUUCGCAAUUAUGGCGUCUCUAUUAGUACCCCCACGCCCUAGGGGUCUUCCCUGAGCUUGACACCAGCAAGGAGAAGGGUAAGGGAGCCCUCCACACUCUUCCAUUCCCUUUACUUGUUUUUGCUUGGAUUUUUAUGGGAUUAAGCUCUCUUUUGCUUGAUUAGAGACUUCCUCACCUCGAUUGAAGCUUGGAGCUUGGCUUUGGAGCCUUGUUGGGGGGAGACCCUUGGACUUGGAGAGUUUAGAGCUUAGAUUGAAGCUUCUAAGAGGUAAUCUACUUGCUCUCUCCCUCUAGAUAUGAAUUUUAUUGAUGGAUUCAAGAUCAAACCCUAGAAAUGGAAAUUUAGGGUUUAUUUGGGCAUUUUGCAUCUAGGGCUUUUGGAGCUAGAUUGAUUGGAUUAGAACCUUCCUUGGGCUUGGAUUGGAAGGAUUCUAGCCCUCCUUUGGAACUUGGGAGCGGAUUUCUACUCUUGGGGUGAGUUUUGGCCCUUUUUGCUUCUAGGUUAAUGUUUGAUCCUAUAGCAUGAUCGUAAUGCCCGUGUAUCUUAUCGCUCAAUACUUUUAGGGUAUUUUGAGACUCGGGGACAACUUGGUUCGGCAAAACGAGGCACUACGCGACGGUUCGGUGGGUUUGACCUAGCCACACAAUGAGAAAUUCUCAUUUGUGAUUAAUUAAGUAUCGUUAAUUGAAAAAGCAUGCAUAUUCUUGUUAUAUGUAUUUAAUAUGAAUUUUAGAAUGCUUAACAUGCAUACAUUAUGUAUAGUGAAAUUUUAGACCCCUAUGUGGUGGAGUGCAUGCAUGUGAGACUUAGCAAUCUAGUUAUGAUUGGGAACCAUGAUUCCGAUUAUGGAAAUGAACCUUGCUUUCAUGCAUUUAACCUAUAUGCCAAUUGUGACAUUAGAAAUUUUUAGAAGCCUAGAGAGGGCUUGAGGACUUGGACUAUUUGAGAAUUGGGUCAAUGUCAUAAAGAGGCAUUGGGCCCGGGUCAUGGUAAUCUUUGGUAUUAAUGUUUUAAUUGAGACAUAGAACCAGAAUUGGGCUUGAUCUGUUGAGUCGCUUAAGUGUCAUAAAGAGGCACUAAGCAAGUGAGGGUUGGGACAUCACUUAGAGACAUUGGGCUAGAUCCUUGGGAUGCUAGUGACCUUGCCAUGUUAGAGACAUGUGGAUAGAGUAUUUGAGACAGUGACCUUGCUUGUUUGCCAUUUGUGCUCAUUCGCACAUGCUUGUGUGGGUCGCUCCCUACAAGCCGGCACUCCGGAGUUAGCCUACGCGACUUAUGUUCGCUCGUGCGGUAUCGAGAAGCCUACGGGGUCGAGUGGGACAGACACAUUCCAAGAGUAGGGAUGUCGGGCUACCACAGACACUUAGGCGGCACAAGCUGGACUACCUUGGGUAGGUCCUUAAUUGGGAAUGGAAAACGACAUGGUGUCGAGUGGGUUUUAAUCACUACUAGAUAGGCUUAGUAGUUGGAUUAUUUGAUAUGCUCAUGACAUAGCAUCGGGACAUAUAGUAUACUUGCUUGUUUUAAUUAUUCUAUCGUAGUAUACUUGGUUGUUUUGAUAGAGCUUAUUUCCUAUGCAUUGACAUACUGCAUCGAGAUGCUUACUUGUCGGUUACGAUUGGGACUUAAUAGUCAUGCUUUGGACAUACUUACCAUGAUAGAGUAGAUGUACUAUACUUUGACAUCCUGUUUACUUGAGAUAUAGUGGUUUAGCACUUCAAUUAUGCUUUCGUAUUGCUAUUACUAUUACUCUUAUUAUUGCUUCUAGUACUUACCCUUUUCUUUUGGGGCCUAGUGGUGCAAUGGGCUACGGUCAGUAAUUGCCCACUGGGAACUAUAAAUUAUAGUUCUCACGCCCUCUUUUUCUCGAUGUUUUUCAGAGCCUUCCACGCAGGGUGAGGCCAGGGAUCGCGGGAAGGGAGUUGCUUCGAGCUAGCUUCCUUCGAGAACGAGUUGCUAGGUGGUCCACCUCUCGAUUUAUGUUUUAUUUUGCGAGAGGUUGAGAGUUUUACCAGUGUACUAGAGACCACCAUUUUUGUACUUUUGAGACAGAUUGUGUACUACUUAUGGUUUCUUUCCUUGUCUAGUUACACUUCUUUUACUCUGGUUUAGAUGAUAGAACUGUAUUCGCUCUGAUAUCACUAGUUGUUAUCAUUCUAUUUGUUCUAUUUCUUGCUUUUACUUCCGCUUGUAUUGUAGACGCCUUAUAUGUGUAGACAUAUGGCGGGUCUGGGCACACUACCGGGAGGGCCCCUGCCGGUCCCGAGGCGUGACAAAACACCUCCCUCCCCGCUGUGGGCACUGCGGUGGAAUAUGGGGGCCACCACAGAUCACACACUGGGGAGGUCGGUAUCGAUCAGAUCCUCCUCGCUGUGCUGCCGAGCCGCGCCCACGCUGCUUGCUCCUAGGGUGCUUCGGCGGCCUCCUAAAGUGCGUCUGACUCGCACCCUCAGCCGCGGGCCUAUUGCCCCUUACUCUUGUCCAUGCCUUCUCUCCGCUCUUGCACAUCUGCCGCGCUGCUCUCCACAAUGAGCGCGCGAUUCACCACCUCCCGGUAGGUUUGGAGGUUAGAGGAUUGCACAAACCGGAAGAUAGACGGUCGCAAUCCUCGCUCGAAGAUGCGGGCCUUGUCCUCGUCGUCCCGCACAAUGAAAGGCAAGCAGUGUAGAAGCCGAGAAAACUCCCUCUCAAACUCAGCUACGGUCCGGUCUCCCUGGCGCAAGUUGCACAAGUCCUGCUCCAUCUUCCUCUUGACACUGUCAGGGAAGUAGUGCGGCAAAAGAAGCUCCUUGAACUUCUUCCAAGAGAUAGCCGCCAAGUCCGUGCUGGGGUUCUCCUGAAUGUCCAACCACCAGUGGUAGGCCUCGCCGUCCAAGUGGUGUGUGCCGAGCCAAACUCGAUCCCUCUCCUCCACGAAGGUGUCACGGAAUAGCUUCUCAAUGUGCAUUAACCACUUCUCCACGAUCCAGUGGUCGACCUUCUCUCCGUCGAAAAUCCAGGGACUGCACCUCCUGAACUCAUUGAGGCGAUCCAUGAGCCGGUCCCGCUCUGCUCCCUCAACUAAUGCGGGAAAAAGUGCCCCCGCCCGAGGCACCUGAGCUGGUGGUGCCACGACAACCUCCUCCCGAGGUGCGACCGCAGGUGUCGUCCGAGAUGUGUCGUGGACGGGGGACGACCCCCUAGGUGCGACCACAUCCACAGGCGCGGGUGGUGUAGGAAUCUGAGCCUCCCAAACCACCGCAUGCUGCAGUAAAAGGUCCUCCAGGCGCUUCAUCCACGCCUCCUGUCGCGCGCUGCCUCUGUCUGCUGUCGCGCCGCCUCCACCUGCUGAGUCACCAAGUCGGUGAGGGCCGUAAGCUGGCUCCUCAACUCACGGACCUCGCCGGAUCCGGAGGUAGCGGAGGUCUCGACCUUCUCAAGGUGUGCCGCAUUAUCCGCUCCAGCAGAUUGAGAGCGUGUUAUCAGCAUUUCACUACAACAUCAUAAAAGCGCAAGUUAAUAAAACCCACGCUAUCGAAUCCCCGCUCAAGUAGAUAAUACCCAAAUCAUGCGAAAGUAAGGAAGUGUCCUUCACUACUAACUCCCGAUGUUACGUUGUCAGCCGCCAACGUAACCCUCCGCGAAGUUAGAAGCCAUACACUUCGAUUAAACUCCAACUUUUUAGAGUUAUAUUAAAACCCAAUCGUGAUACUUUCGCUUACAAGUCAAAUAGACCUCGUCUCUCACGAGCCUAUUUCCUAUAGUCCAACCGGCCUAAGGUUUGCUAGGUCCACUAAGACUCAACCCUAGGCUCUGAUACCAAAAUAAUCUGUCACGCCCCGGGACCCAGCGGAAGCCCACCCGGCAUGUGUCCAGACCCGCCAUAUGUUUAAAACAUAUAAGGCGUCUACAAUAAAACGGUAAAUAAAGCAAUGAUAAAAGAACAUUUAGGAGUAUCAGAGCAAAGUGCAACUAGAUUCUACAAUAGAGAAAUAAACAAAAGGCUAAAAUCCACUAAGAAAGGACCAUACAGUAGUACAACGAAACCCAAAUACAAGUGCUAAGAGUAAAACAAUGGUUCUCUCUAUACAUAGGAACAAAACUCUCCCUCACCAAAACACAAAAGAGAGUAAACCACUGUAACAUACCGGAUUUUAAUUUAAAAGUAAAAAUAAAUAAAGAUAGUGUGAGAUACUAUUUUUAUUGGAUUUAGAGAAAUAAAAUAUAAGUCGGAGACGACUUGUGCUGAAAUCGGAACGAAAACAGAAGAUAUCUGUACCUGAGCUGCUAAACUGAAAUUAAAUUGUGUAUUGUCGAGGGGACUAUUGUGUAACAAAAGGAGUUGUCUUCUUCCUCCCUCUCCCACAGCCGAACACACCACACACCACACACGCACACAUAGUGAGGAGAGAGAAACUCCCCUUUCUCUCUCUAGAUAUCUCCCUCAUCUCUCUAGAUCUCUCUCUAAAAAUUUGAGGGUUGGUGAAGAGAAAGCUUGGGAACUCGUUGGGAGCAUCGGAUCGGGCCUUCGUGCGCCCGGUUGAGCGGCGUGCCUCCGUCUCGACGUUCACGUUUUGGUAAGCUUUUGGGAUUUGGCUUAAUCCUUAUUGCUUAGUAUUCCAGUAGCCUCUAAUGUGUUGUUAGCAUGUUAAAUCUAUUUAAUUUGGGUUAUUUGGAGCAUGUGUAGAGGCAAGGUUUAAAAUGGUGAAUUUCUAGGGUUUAAAUUAUAUGCUAUAGAAUUGGAUUUAGAGGAACCCUUAGAUGCUAAAUGGAUGACUAUUGCAUGAAUUAAGAGGUUAUGUGAUGAUUUCUUACAAUAGUGCAUCUUAGGGCUCAAAAAUAGAGUUUUGCUUUGUGUUUGGGUUUGAUCUAAAUUAACCAUAUACAAACCUAAUUGCUAGGUAUACGAACGCGUUGGCGAAGUCGGUUCGGCGAUUCGUCGAGCCGGUGCGAAGAUAUUGAAGAAACAGACGUUUCGGCUUCGUUUCCGCCUAGAGGGCCGAGACGACGUCCAUAAAUCACAAGAAUGGAUCCGGAGCAUCGUGGCAUCAAGUUAUAGACCUUAAAUUUUCGGAUUGUGGAUUGGUGGCCGUUUGGUGGCCGUUUGGUGGUCGAGUGUGAGUUCGAGCAGAACCGGGCGGCGGGUGCCGCGGGAGGCCGAUUGCAAAUGACUACAAGCAAUCGGAACGCGAUAACAGGUGGAUUGUGCUUUACCGAAGUGAUUAGAUCACUUCCAUGUCAAAGUGAAGUGUGGUUCAUAAUUGAUGCAUAUAGUGGUAGUUAAUUGUGGACAUGAAUGCAUGUGAUUGAUACUAGUUGAAAACAUAAGAUAUAUACUACAUGUAUUGACUACCAUUGGAGAACUAAAGGAUAGAUGCAUGUUGACAUAUUGUUAGUAUAUGUUAGAGGUAAUAUGCAUGUUAACAUUAUGGAAAUAUGCUAGUUGGUAUAUAUAUAUAGACAUAUUGUGGAAUAUGAUAAAUGGAAUAUGCAUGUUGACAUUGUGGAGUAUGCUAGAUGAAAUUAUCCAUGUUGGCAAGUUGUAAAAUGUGCUAAAAGGUAUAUGCAUGUGCAAUUGUGACAUUGUGGCAUUUGACAUAACAAUGAGAACUUAGAAACAAAGUGACAUGUUGACAUAAAUGUAGAUAGUGGCAUUGAUGAGUCUUGAAUACUAGUGUUACAAUAGUGACAUCAAUGGGACAAGAAUGCUAGAUUACAAGUGUGGCAUUAAUGAGCACUUAGUGUGGCAUGAAAAUGAGUAUAAAGAACAAGUGAUGAACUUGAACAAGUAAAUGACAUAGAAGAGUGGCAUUUGGAACUAGUGUAGUAGGACACUUGGGACAUUAUUGUUGAGCUUGGUAUUUAUCCCGGUUUGAUUACCACUAGUUGGUAGGGUAUCCCCGGGCUAGAGGAUUGGAUCAUACUCACAUAGUCUAUUCUUAGCUUGGCGGGGGUCGCUCCCCUCAAGCAGUGCACUCCGGAGUUGUCAUACGAGGGGCUAACGUACUUGCCCAUGGACUAACGUACUUGUCCAGCAGACGGUCCCUCGGGUGGUUCGAGUCCUCCGAUUUAGAGGGAUUUGGUUAGUGAGGUUUGGAACCCGGCGGGAGGAAGCUAAGGGCCCGACGGGUUAGCCAUCAGAUUGAGUAAUAAAAUUGGCAAGUUGUUGGUUGAGACGAAACCUACGGGUUAGCCAAAAGGACCCAGAAUUGAAAAGUGGAUCUUGUAUUCAUCAUGAAUUUACUCAAGACCGAGUCGAGUGGCAUAGUUGGCUAAGGUAAGUGUAACCUUUGGAAAGAAUGAUAAAUGAGUAAAGUGUGGUUAAGAAUAAAGAGUAAAGAAUGGCAAGUGAUAAAGAAUUGCUAAUAAUAUAAAGAAUGGUAAAUGAUAGAGAGUAGAAUCAAUUAAUCUACUUGCAUGAGUUGCAUGAUUUGCAUAUUGCAUAUUGUGAGGUAUGAACAUGAUAAUUGUUAGUUGCAUAAAUUAUAUAUCUGUAGAUAUUUGUUGGACUAAUAUGUUGCAGUGCCUCAUUUGGACCUGGUGGGUUGAGCUUUUUCCUUGGGUGGCCGUACCCACUGGAAACUAUGGACAAUAGUUCUCACCCCCGUAUUGUUUUUGGGGGUAGAGGUUCGCACGUGAGCGGUGCGGCGGGCCGAGGCGAGGGCGUAGCUCCAUAGUUAGCGCCCUACCACCGAGACCAGAGAUAGCGGUACCCUGAGUCAGCUACUUAGGGAUUGUAAGAAAGAAAAGAACCAAGUUGUAAUAAUUAUGUUAAAGUUGGAUUGUAUGUGGAAGUUAAAAAGAGUUAAAAGAGUAUGAAAAGUGUAAUAUGUGAUGUAAAAUGUAAUAUGUGAGUUGAAUGCAUGUAAUAACUUAGUUGUUUAUGUUUUCGAUACUUUCCUUAUGAAAUCUAUGCUUGUAUGUUGUUCCUGGUUGGAAUCUCGCGCAUUGUAUGGAUUGUGAUGCCUUGGAUGUACAGGGGAGACUCUGUCCGCGGUACAGGAAAAAUCCUGUCCGUUCGAUGGUCUGUUGGCGUACCCGAAACCCACCAAAUAGGCGGGCUCGGGGCGUGACAACCACCUAGGAGCAAAAGCAAGCUCCGCUAUCUAGCUACGCGACCCCUUUGCCGCAAUCCUGUGCCUCCACCGAUGCUGAAGGCUCUGAAAGAAAACCAUAAAACAGGGAGCGUGAGAACUAUUAAAUAAUAGUUCCCAGUGGGCAAUUACUGACUUCAGUGAAAAGCGCCACCAGGCCCGAAAUCUAAGCAGGUAAGUGCGAAUAAAUAAGCAAUAUGAAUAACAAGUAUUUAAACAUGAAUACUUACUAUACCAUGAUGUCUCUACUUAGCAUGAAUUUGCAUAAGUAUGAUGCUAUUCUAACAUGUAUAUGCAUGAAUAUACAACCAACAUGAUAAUCCCAAUGUAAUCAAUAAGAUGUCAUUGUUUACUAUUCUAAUCAAUGUCCACUUGGCAUGUUAUAUCACUAGAAUCCCAAUCCUGUAGGACCUACCCGUAGGUAGUCCGGCCUGCACCGUGCCUAAUGGCCCGGUGGUAGUCAACAUCCCCACUCUAGGAAUGAGCCUCCCCCACGGCAUCCCAUUUCGGCGCCCAAUCCUGCACGGGCGAGCAUGUGUCGCGAUGGCUAUCUCCGGAGUGCCGGCUUGUGGGGAGUGACCCUCACAAGCAUGUGCGAAUGAACACAAUGGCAAGCAAGCGUAAAAGUCCGUCUCAAGUCCCAAGUCAUCAUGUCUAAAAUAUGGAAUGUAGCGAACGUCUCAAUGGCCUAUCACUAUGUCAUCAUGUCUAAAACAUGGAAUAUAGUCGAUGUCACAAUGGCCUAUCACUAUGUCUCUACGUUACAGUUUAACAGUUUACUAGUUCGGUGCCCCUUUAUGGCACUUUUGUUCACUUUGUCCAAACAUGAGUUAGGAGUUCAAGAGUACACAAUGCUAGUUCUUUUCAUCAUAUGAGACAUGUUUCCAAUCCACAAGAAAGAAUACUACUCACAUGCAUGUAUAAUCCACAUAAGGCUCUACUAUAUAGAGUUGAAUUUUCAUGAUACAUAACGCAUGCAUUUUAAGAAUUCUAAAUUCAUAUAAAUCCCAUCUAGCAUGAAUAUGCAUGCGAUACGAGGAAACGAAAACUUUUAACCACUUAGGAGAAGAUUUCUCCUAUUCCAAUGAAGCCAAACCCACCGUGACUCUCGCAACCCUUCGUUCAAGCCGACGAAGGUGAUCACUACUCUCCUAGUACCCUAAAGGUAAGAAAAAGAGAGGUACACGAACGUUACAAACAACCCAUUGCUCAAACAUUAAGCAACUCAAGAAAAAUGGUGAAAACUCACCGAAUGCGAAGAAACCUCGAUCUCCAAAAGGGAGUUAAAGGCCCUCUAAUCCAACCUAAAUAAAGAUUCUAAACCAAUCAAUUUGGUUCCAAAAGCCUCAAAUCCAAAAUCCCCAAAAUAAACCCUAAUUUCCAAUUCUAGGGUUUCAUUUAGUAGAAUCUACCAAAACAAUAAUCAAAGAGGGGAUUAAGCCUACCAACCUCAAAUGAAGCUCCCAACAAGGCUUCAAGUCCUCCAAGGUUGAAGAUCUUCCUCCAAAAGAGCUCUAACAAAAGCUUCAAGCUUCUUCCAUGGUGGAAUCCCAAUAAGAAGCAAGAAAAAGUAAAGAGGAGGAGAUCAAAACUAGCUAAAACCCAUCAAAAAUGGAGAAGAAAUCAAUGGGGAGAGUGCUCACCUUGUUCUCCACUGGUUAGGGCUCAAAAGAGCUCUCUAAGAUGGCUGGGGUGGUAUAUAUAGAGUUGCAACAAUUGCAAAAACAACCCCCAACAAAAACAGCCCUCACUGCCAAGUGUACCAGUAUACGGGAAAGUGUACCGGUACAAACCCAGUGUACACGCGAACCCGAGGCUCGGGUUGGCAGAAAAUCCCAUUUGUACCGGUACAAACAUCAAGGUGUAACCGGUACACUUUCUAUACCGGUACAACCAUCAAGAUGUACCGGUACACAGCCCAGCAAACUGCAACCCGAGAGCAGCCUAAGUCCAUCCCUUUGGUGACCUUAGCGCUACUUUAAAUGCUUCAAUUCUCGGAAUAUGAGCCAUAGGUCGGAACACUGUCAACGACCCUCCAGAAUAUCUGGAAAAACUCGGAACACUGAUCAAACACUCGAACCUCGCAAUUUGCAAAGGUCCAGUGUGUUACACUAUCUCAUGCAUCAGCUCAAAUAACUAUAAUAAAUAUAUAAUAUAAUUCAAUCAUACAAAGACUGACUCAACUUUUCGGUCAAGUCUGCGCUAGCUUGUCCCAACCACUAGCAUUGCCAAGGUUGAGGCCCGCUGCAAGAGGCUACUAUCUGUCUGUCUACAUGUUUGGUCUAUGCCAAUGCUACAUCUUUGAAGGGUGUAAUAUACCGAGAAUUCAGGAAAUAAAUAUCGAACUUUAGUCAAAUUGACCAAAGUGCGAGGACGGUACACUUCGGAAAGUCCGAAGGUGUUAAAAUGAUCAAAAGUGCGUUAUGAGAGGUUUUUGAGAGCUAGAGAAUCAAAAAUCUGCAAACUGCAGUUUUGAGCUCUUGGGGACCGGUCCGUGAAGGAGAGACCUGUGCACGAAUGCGUGAAAACUGAGAAAGCUGAAAAAUCGGCUAAGUCCCUGAGAUUAGGCUCUCGGGAACCGGUCCCUACUGGAGAGACCGGUCCCCAAGAGACCGGUCCCCCCAAAGAGAGACCGGUCGCAUUGCGCGGGAGCCCUGGCUGCCCUCAGGGAGGAGCUUCGUGAACCGGUCCCUGGUCGGGGAGACCGGUCCCCGCACACGAAAUCUGCCCAGUUUGGGCUGUUUAAUAAAAUGGAAGUUGAGGGGUUUAUUUGCAAUUAUGCAACCGAAUAGUUAUGUAGAGGGCAAUGAGGGCUUUUUCUCUCAUUUCUCACCCUCUCACACUCUCUCCUCUCUUUCUCUCUCUAGAAGACAAGAAGAGGAAGAGGAAGAAGAAGACAAAGUAAAGGAAGAAGAAGAAGAAGAAGGAGAAGGAGUAGAAGAAGACCAAGGAGUGGGGCAUCCCCAUCUUCUUCCUCUCUAGUGCUAGAAAGGAAAGCUUUGAGGUAAGCUUUGGUCCUUCUUAUAAUAAAACCCUAGAAAUGGUUUUGAUGGAACCCUUAGAGUAUUUGAAGCUUUUUCUUGCUUCUUUUUUAGAUCAAACCAUGGAAAUGGAGUGUAUAGUGAUGCUUAGAGGUGAGCUUCAACCUCCUCUCAUGGUGGAACCCUAAAUAGGGUUUUGAUUUGUCUAAGAAUGGUUUUAUGGACUUCCUAGUGUAGAGUGAAGCUUCUUUUACUUCCUAAUGAGAUCAAACCCUAGGUUUGAUAUAUGCUAUGGAGCUAGGGCACCCAAAUUGGGGCUUUUGCUCGUGAUGUUUCUAAAGUGCAAUUGACCCUCUAGAAACCUAAUUGGGGGUAUUUCCGACACGUUGGUGCGCUCGGAUUAACGUUACGAAAAGCCGAUGUAAAGUUAUGGCCAAAUAAGCCUAAUUUGGCUUCGUUAACUCGCAGGUAGCGAACCGGGUGUCUAAAAAAUCCUAAGAAAAUCAUCGGAGCACCUUUGAGAACCUACGAGGUGGGUGGUGCUAUCCAAACUCGUUGAACUUCCUUCUAUGCCUAAUGUGUCAUUCAAUUGAGCAUGUGUUGUAUACAUUGUUACAUGCAUUAUAGGGUAGAUGUGAUGAUAUACAUGUGAAUGUUGCAUGAUGUCAGUACACGUGCUAUUUGAUAUGUUUGAGAGCAAAUUAACCCUAUAUGUAUGCAUGAGAUGUAAUGUGAGCACCCAAUGAGUGGAAAGAACAAAGUGACACAAUGAGACAUAGAUCGAGUGGCAUUCGAUAAUGUAAAAUAAUGUGACACUAGAGUUAGUGUGUGGCAUUAAAGAGAAAUGUGAUGCAAUGAUAAUGAUUAGAGGCAAGUAAAGAAAAUGAAAGUGGCAUAAAGAACGAGUAAAGUUAGAGAGCAAUGAUUGCUAGAGUUAGCAAAAUAAAGUGAUGUAAAGGACACUAGAGUUAGUGUAAAGACAAUGAUUGAAUUAUAUAUAUAUCCUUAGAGUUAAGGAUUGAUCACACUUGCUAUGAGUUCCGUGCUCGAGGGCGGUCGCUCCCCCUCGGGCGAUGCGCUCCGGAGUUUUGCAUCAAGGGUUGGAGUAAACCCAAGGACGGUCUUAGCGGGAGGAAGCUGAGGGCCCGCGAUGAUGGACUUAAUGUGGGCAAGUUAAUGUGGCGAAACCCCCGGGUUAGCCAUGAGAUUAAAGAACAAAGAACAAAGCUUAAAGAACAAAGAGUAAAGAACAGGAACUUGCAUACUUGCAUGAUUUACGUUGAGCAUAUUUCCUGUUUUAUUGUUCAGGCAUAUUAGCAUCAUGAUUAUAGUUUGGUUACUAUUCUGCUUAUCCUUUCUAUUAUGCCUGAGUUAGUCCUAGUGGGAAAGUCGGUGAUGUUUGGGCUGAACCCACUGGGAACUUUGUUGUAGUUCUCACCCCACUAUUCCACAGAGCCGGGACCGAGCGAGCCGGCGAGCGACCGCAGUAAAGGUAUCGCACCUUAGUCAGAGGCCACCCGAGUUGGGUUACUUACAUUUUGUUAGUAGUUUACCCCUUUUAUCAUCUUUGUAUUUGAUGAUUUAAGAUGCUAAUGUAUAAAACAAAGAUGGAAAAGAAUGUAAUGUUUAUUUUGAGCAAAUGCGAUGUGAAAAGAAAUGAUGCGAAGACUAUGUAAAGAAUUGUGAAUGAAAGUGAUAGAUACUUGUAUGUGAUCAAAAAGAAUCAUAGUACUAGUUGAAUGCUUAGUUUCCUAUCUUUCACUCAUGGCUAUUGCUUACCCUUGUGUAAACCGUUUGUGUAUGUUUCCGCUAGUGCACUUCUUGUUUGGAAUUGUACAUGUGAUGAGCCUUGGGCGGACAGGAGAAACUCUGUCCGUUCGGCGUCUGUUUGACGUGCUCGGGCCGACCCAAAUUAGUAUCGGUCCCGGGGCGUGACAAAGGGUCACCUUGAAGGGCGUGAACCCUAUACAACAUACUAUUAAGCUCAAUGUGGCUCUACAGGCUAUAAUCAAUAUAAUGAUCAAACAAAUCACCAUAGAUACCCUAUCACUGUGCCUCAAACAUGAUAUACUAUCCCACUGCUCUUAAUACAAUAAUACUGUCGCAAUGUUUUCAGCAUAAUCAUAAAAUGUCCACUGACUAACUUAUCACAAUGCUCAUAAUAUCUAACAACAUAAUUAUAGUCAUUUAGUAAAAAAUGAUAGUAGGAACCCAAAAUCUAAAGAUAACUCAACCUAUUGUCUAUAUAGUCUCUCCUAGAAUCACAAUCGCAUAUAUACUAACAUGUACUAUAAUUUAAAACUCGUAUAUCCACAUACCAACAUGCACCGUAGAGAUUAAAUAAUAAAUAUAUCAUGUAGGUCACCCAACCGUGAAAUAUCAAAUAUCUAUACACAUAUCAUACUGUCAAAAUACCAUAACAUAGCACUCAUAAUCGUACAUACAUGUUCUCUUGCUAUUAGCAUCCUGACCACAUAAUUGAACGACCUCGUAUGUCAACAAUUAGACGACCUCAUAUGUCAAUAAUCAAACGAACCCCACAAUCCAUAAAUUGCCAUGACCAAAAUACAACAUCAUGCACCAUAAUUUAUCAUGCUCAACAAAUAUCCACAUUUGAUUGCUAACAUAGUGAUACCAUAGAGAAGUUUAUUACUCCAACAACAAGCAUGCAACAUAAUAGAUAUAAACAGUAAUAUGUAAUUUUCGACAACACGAAACCUACCUCAAGCGCUAAUCCUAGGAAAACAAUUAAUGGACAACAUAUCACAAGGUGCUCUACUACAGUCUCAUUGUCCAUAUAGCAGCCACAGCAUGCAAAAUUCGCUCGAAAAUUUCCACAAUAAAAUUUGACAAAAUCUGAUCCCUAAAUCACGUAGGGCUGGUAAUCCAGCUCGCCAUUCGCGAGUCAGCUCGUGUUCGGCUCGAAAUGAGCUCAAGACUGACUCUAUCAUUUAGUAAACGAGCCGAACACCAGCUAAAUUUUUCAGCUCAUUCAAUAAACAAGUCAAACACGAGGUAGGAUCAGCUCGCUCGUAUUCGGCUCAAUAACAGCUUGAUUACAUUUAUUUUAUAUUAAUAUCAUUUAUAGAUAUAUAUUAUAUAUAUAUAAAUAUAUAAUUAUAUUUGUAUAUAAAUAAAUAAUACAAAUUAUUAAUUUUGAAUUUUUAGUCCAACUUAAAAACAAAGCCCAUCUUAUUUAUAAAGAGGCCCACUUAUAUUUAGAAUUUCAACCGUUGGAUCAAAAUCUAGAAGAUAAUGGGGGUGUUUGGCCUAGCUUCUCAGAAGUCAUUCUGAGCCCAAAAUCACUUUUGAGCUCAGUAGAGCAUUUGGGAACGACAGACGAAAAUCUGAUUCUGCUUCUCAGAAUUAGAAAACUGAUUUUGAAGGCUUCAUAAUCAGAAACAGAAAAACGCUGCUUCUCCAAAAUUGAUUCUGAUUUUGGACUCAAACUUCAAAUUUUUAUUUUUAUUUUAGAUUCAAACUAUAAAUUUAACAUUAAAUUUAAAUUCAUAUUUGAAUUUUUAAAUCUCAACAUUUCAAAUUCAAAAUUUAAAAUUUAGAUUUUAAAUUUUAAAUUUAAGUUUCAAAUCUCAAAUUUUAAAUUUUAAAUUUUAAAUUCAAAAUUUUAAAUUUUAAAUUUAAGAUAAAAUUGAAAUUUUGACAUUGCAGAUUUUAAAACUAAAAUUUAAAAUUUGGAAACUUUAAAAUUUAAAAUUACAAGUUUUAAUUUUCAAAUCACAAAAUUCAAAUUUAAAUAUCAAUUUUAAAUUUCAAAAUUUUAAAUUUUAAAAUGUAAAUUUGAAUUUUACUUUUAAAUUUCACAAUUUUAAAUUUAAAUUUUAAAUUUUGAAUUUUAAUAUUUAAAUUUUGAAUUUUAAAAUUUUGAAUUUUGAAUUUUGAAUUUUAAGUUUUAAAUUUUAAAUUUUGAAUUUGAAAAGUUUCAAAUCUCAAAUUUUAAAUUUUAAAUUCAAAAUUUAAAAUUUUAAAUUUAAGAUAAAAUUUAAAUUUUGACAUUUCAGAUUUUAAUACUUAAAUUUAAAAAUUUGAAAUUUUAAAAUUUGAAAUUAUAAAUUUUAAUUUUCAAAUUACAAAAUUCAAAUUUUAAAUCUUAAUUUUAAAUUUCAAAAUUUUAAAUUUUAAAUUUUAAACUUUAAAUUUUAAAUUAUAAGUUUUAAAUUUUAAAUUUUAAAAUGUAGAUUUUGAUUUUACUUUUAAAUUUUGAAAUUUAAAUUUUGAAAUUUCAAAAUUUAAAUUUUAAAUUUUAAAUUUUUAAUUCAAAUUUCAAAUCUUAACUUUAAAUUUGAAAUUCAAAAUUUAAAUUUAGAUUGGAAAAUUGAAAAUUUAAAUUUAAUUUAAAAAUUCAAAUUUUAAAUUUGAAAUUUCAUUUAUUUUUGUACAAAUUUGAAAUUUAAAAUUUUAAUUUAAAUUCCAAUUUUAAAUUAUUUUAAAACAAAAUUUAGUAAAAAUAUUAUAUAUACAAGCAUCAAAAAUUUUUACUAAACAGGUUUAGAAAAUUAUUUUAGAAAAAUUACUUUUUAUCUAAAUUCAACCAAAUGCUUUUCAGUUUUUCACCAAAAUUAAUUUUUCAAACCAAAAUUACUUAUGCAGAAAUCACUUUUACAGAAGUUAGGCCAAAGAGGCCCAAUAUUCUAUCAACUUUUAACUUUCCCUCUUCCUAACUUUCCCUCUUCCUAACCCCUUUUCCUAACCCUAGUUUCUUUUUCCCUUUUCUUUUCACACUUUACACACGCAGCCGGUUCUUUCUUUCUCUAUGUCUACGCCCAAAGACACCUCCGGCAGCGCUCUUCCUACUUCGCCGUUCGCACACUCCCGGCGGUGCAUUCUUCACUGUUCGCAUAUCCCGAUGGAACUUGAGCAGCAGCGCUUUCAGCAGGUUCGUUCUUCGUCUUUCAUUGAUCUUCAUCUUUUUUCUUUUUUUUUUCUCCCCUUUUUCUUAUGGUUUUUUGAGCAGAAUGUGAGGGAUUGUCUUUAUCGUAUCGGAUUGGCGCGAAAUCCACUGAAGGAUCAAAUGGCAACUAAGAAAGGGGGGGGGUGUGAAUUAGUUGAGAACUAAAAACUCAAGUAAAAUUAAAUUAAGAUAAAAAUUGCACAACCAAAUAAAAGAAAAAAAUCAAACUCAGAUAACACAGAUGAUUUAUCCUAGUUCGGCCUUUCUGCCUACUUCAGUCCGAUCCUUCUUCUCCUUGAGAUACCGAUUUCACUAUCACUUGGCCUUUUGAACAGGGCAAGACCAAAGCCGCUUACAAUCACACAAAACUUCUUUUACAACCUCUCAAUGAAGCUCACAAUUACAAAUCAAUGAACAAUUAGGACUUAGAGAAUUUUUCUGAAGUUGUAUCACAAACAACAUCCAAGCCCCCCUUUAAAUACACUAGCCAUCAUUUCAAAAAUGGAACAAAUUAUGAUUAAAUCAUAAUUGAUUUUAAUUUGAAUUUUAACUAUUAAUCCUUUUAAAUUAAUACUACAAAUGAAAACUUUUUGAAUUCAUUCCACAUUUGUAAAAGCUUUUGAAAUAAUACCAUACAUAUAAAAUUCAUGCCAUAAUAAAAUCAAUUUUGAAUUUAUACCAUAUCUCUUUCAUACCAUAUUAAAAUAAUGGCUAAUUUAACAUUAAGUUUCAAUCAAAUCCAAAAGAUGAAUUGGUCAACUUGACUAGGUUGACCGGCUCAUAUCUGAUAAAUUGUAAAGAAGUCCUCCAGAUUAUUGUUGUGGCAUUUGCAUCCAAUUUGGUACAAUUUGAUCUUGUCCGGACCAAUUUGAACAAUUUGAUUGAAUGGUUACCUUUGAUCAAAUCCGGUUCAGCUUGAGCCACUUUAAAUUCAAUUACAAUCAGAAAUUGCUAAAUAACAAAUUAAAUCCAAAAUUUGUUUGUUAUCAUCAAAAUUUAUUAUUCGUUAAAAUCCAACAUCCACCACCGCUCAACUUCCUCCCCGUCGAGCACAAUAUUUUUGUGAGUAAGGUAGCGUUGAAUAAUCCAGCCAACGAGCCGAAAACGAGCUAGCUCGAAUAAAUUGCGAGCUGAUCACGAGCUAGACUUUUCGAGCUCGUCAUCAUGAGCCGACCUUGAACACUUUCGAGCCGAUCUCGAGCUGGCUCCGGCUCGCUCGAGUUCGGCUCGUUGACAGCCCUAGCUCCAUGUUGGUUAUUUGAUUUUUGCAACUCCUUUUUCUGUAAUCACUAAGGUUUAGAUGUUGGACAUAAAUUUAUUUUUUUUCAAUCUCGAAUUGCAAUUUGUAAAUUGUAAAUUCAUAGUUGUGAUAUCAAACAUGUUUUGAUCUUAUUUUGGUAUGCAAUAAUGAAAUGACCUUCCUGAUUGGUGAGACCCCUCGCUUUAGAUUACAAAGUAUUAUUCUUCAUGUUAGGGCUUUUUUAGCAAAAUUUGCAUAAAAUUGAUCUUCGUCUUGUUAUCGUCGAUCUGUUUUGAAUUGGCCUUCUCUUAGGUUGACGGAUAUUUCAUGAAUUAAGUUUUUACACUCCACCUGCUUGACUAGCAUUUGUUUUCAUCUUAGCUUCUGAUUCCUUCAUAGGACAAAGGUUAACAAUCAGAAUAUUAGUGAUGUAAUUACUAGUUGUAUGUAUUGGGUUUAAUACAAAUUACUAUUUAAAAGAGAAAUCAAGUUUCCUUUCGGAAAGAAAGUAGAAGGGAAAACAGCAGCAUUCAAUUUUCUAUUCUCCAUAUUGGCUGAUUUCACGUGUUCCUGAUGAAUUAACUUGUUCCCUUCUGAGUUGUCUCGCUACUGAGUUGUCUCCUUUUUCCUUUCUCUGAUAAUACUUUUGCAGGAUUUUCUUAUAAGCCUAAAAGAGAUGGUUGCUGUGCGGGCAAAGAAUGUAGGCUUUAGUGAUCUUGCUGAAAAGUUUGAUGUGAGAAUGCUUCGAGCUCUUUGUAUGUGUCACUGAAUUCCCCUAUUUGAGGCAAAGACUGCAAAUUUUUGUCACUUUUUUCUCAAUUUCAUGGUAUACUGAAAAAUAUAUCUGUUAUAAUUAGGAUGUGUUUGUUACAUUAGAAAUUGUAGUCAAUUAUCUAACUUGCAAAUUAAAAAAUUCCGUUGAUUUAAGAUUGUUUUCUCUGUAUCUCAUUAAACCUCUGUUGUAGCUAUACUUCUUUUCUAGCUGAAUUGUUUUGUGUCCUCUUGUCUUGGUCAAUCUCAAUUAAUCUUCCUAUUUUUUCGCUGGUUGUUCAUGAAUAUACACUUCAGUAAUGGAUUAUCUGCUUAAUACUAAUCAUUUUCUCCAUUUGGCAUAGUACAGUGAUAAACUGAAGUUGAGGUUAUACCAUUAGCAACAUGUAUAUAGCAAAAAGAUGCCUAAAAACAUUCAUUUUUGAGGUUUCCCAGUUUUUAUUUUUCUCUUUCUAUAUCUGGUUAUAAAGAUCUUGAUUUGCUUGAAAAUUGGAUAAAAUGGAGUAUACUUUUGGCUGGAGUGGUUUAUCUGGUGUCUUCUCUUAGACACACUAAAAUUACCUAACAGAUUCUUUUUGGUUCAAAUUAUCAUGAUUUUUCUCUGACGGGAGUGGACAUCUAAUUUUCACUUUAUUCCGCUCGUAACUCUUGUUACAAAUUCAUUCUGAUCUAACAGGAAAUUUCCAAUUGGCGAUCUAUGUUACUAAUUUAUUCUGGUCCUUUUUUUUGUGGAAAAUGGUUGCAAGUUUCCAAAUCAUGUUUCAAAUUCUAGACAUUCUGGUUGCAAUCUAUUCAUUUCGUUUCGAAACAAAUAUCUUUGAUGUUUCUCUUGUACUAAAAUCGUUGUAUGUAUUGUGACUCGCCUGUAUUGUAGCUUGUUUAGUCCAAUAACUUCUCAGGGAUUAUUUUGUUGGAAAAUUUCAAGGGGCGACUGAAAAGCGCCUCGACUGACCCAAAGUUGGUUGAGAUGCUAGCAUCAUUAGGUGGCAGUAGUCUGGCUCCACCUGAUCAGGAGAGCAGUUCUUGCUCUGAGCUUUCUAUCAAUGAUAUUUCAAUGCCAAGUUUUAUCACACCGAGACGAAAGAGGAUGCAGGAUGGGUAAGCACUAUGUCAUGCAUGCGUUUGUACUUAGUUUCUCAACCACGCAAUGGUAAAACAUUUGUACUUUGUUCCUAGGCAUCCAGAUUAGUUUCUUCAAUUAUAUAAUUGUAAAAACAUGUGUCCUUUUGUUUCUAGGCAUGUAGAAACCUACUAAAAUGAUCGAACCCUAGCACUUGGUGCAUCUUUAGCUAUACAAUUGUGUACAGUUUAUUGUGUUCCUUUGCCCUUUUAGGCGGAAUUUCACGGCCAUAUAGUAACAUUCCAGCCUGUCGAAAUUAUGUUCAUACGUUCUUUAUUUCUUGCUGCAUUCAGAUUUUUACUUGGAAUAUUUGUGAAGACUUCAAUUUUUUUUUUUUAACUAUUUAACUCGAGAGUGUUUUAUUAUAUCUUCUUCAAAAGCUCUUUUCAUUUCCAAACAUAAGGUUUGAAUGAAGCUUUGCUUUUGUCUGCAGAUUACGUGGAGAGAGUGUCCAAGGAAGUUGCAAGAAACAGAAAACAGAGAAGAACAUAUAAUAAUCAGCAUGAUUCUUCAUCUACUACAAUUUUACAUGUUCCCGCCGGUAAAAAUCAUUUUUGCCCCUGGUUUUACCCAUGAUCUCUUUGACGGGAUGCUGAGUUUCUUUUCCCUUGUUUCUUUCCUUCUACAUCAUUUAUUUAUGGGUAAACUUCAAAAACCACCCAUAUUGUUUCACACUUUCUCAUUUUAGUACCAUAUGGUUUAGAGUGUCUCAAGUUAGUGUCCUGUGGUUUUAUUUUUAUCUUUUCGUCAGCUUCUCCGUUAAUAUUUUGUUAAAUUAUAUGCAAAAAACUUCAGAUACCCCAUCUAGGUUUAUCGAAUAUUCACUUUAGUACCUCUUUAGUUUUAAGUUUGUCAUUGAUUUGACAAAAAAAAAAAAUUAGUAGAAUCGAUAAUAAAAAGAUAAAAAUGAAACUACAAGACACUAAAUCCACAGGGUAUUAAAGUGAGAAAGUGUGAAACUACAAGAGUUGUAUUUGAAGUUUCCCUUUAUUUAUUAGUCUGAUAACAUGCUUCACGCAUAAUGUAAUUGCUAACUAUUUAGUAGUUUAAGAGCUAACACCUAACCUUUGAACUAUAUAUGUAAACCUUUCAUUUUUACUCAAAUAUGAAAAUCUUAACAGUAAAGACAUGGAUUGAUUUUACUCAAAUUAUUAUGUAUAUCUUUUAUUUUCUUUUGGACAUAUUUGCAGCUUUAUUGUCAGAUAGCUAUCUGAACCAUAGGCAUAAUUAAAGUUUAUGAAGAUACUGAGAUGAAGACUACAGGUUUUAAAUUUUGCAUAAAAAAUCUAUUAGUUUUGAGCUUUUGCAAAAGUAGGCCGUCUUUUUGAAUUUUGCAGAUUCGGGCCGAAUUUUCAGAAGGAUGACCAAACUACCCCUCUUUCAAAAUGCAUAAAAAUUAUAUGCUUUAAAUGCCUAGAAAAAUACAACUGCUAAGCCAUUAAGUGUAAAAUUUCUUGAAAAUGACAACUGCUAAGCCAUAGUUACGUAUACGAUUCUCGUGAAAUGAGAAUCCUCACUCAAGACAAUAUCUGUAUAAGUAGUGCAACAUAUGCAUUGUUGAUACACAUUUUGCAUGAUUUUUAUACUAAAUUACGUAUAGUUUAGUAUAUUACUGUCACGCCCCGCGACCAACCGCUAAUUUGGACCGAGUCGCGGCGCCGCCGACAGACCGCCGAACGGACCGGGAAUUCCGCUGUACGCGGACAGAGCCUCCCCAGUACGUCCAAGGCGUCGCAGUCCAAACAAUCAACGAAUGUUCCAACUAGGAACGGAUAUCAAUCCAGAUUGCAUAAGGAAGUAUCAAAUAACAUAAACUACUUGCUAUUACAAGCAUUCAUUUUACAACCACUUUUUACAUCACAGUUUCAGUUUACAUUUUACUUCCAAAUUACAAUCUCAUUAAUACAUCAUUUAAUUUACAAUUCUUAUACAUUUAGAAUUCUUUGCCUUCUAGUCCCCUAAGCUAGACUGCCUCAGGGUACUGCUACCUCGGUCUCUGUGGUAGGGCGCUAUCUACGGAGCUACGCCCUCACCUCGCGCCGCCGUGCCGCACACGAACGACCUGAAAAUCCCAAAACAACGUGGGGUGAGAACCAACUCCAUGGUUCCCACUGGGUACGGCCAUCCAAGGAAAAAGCUCGACCGAUAGGUCCGAGGAGGCACUGCAACAUGUUAGUUCAACAAUAUACAACAGAUAUAUAUAUUCAAUUGAAAUACAUGCCAUGCCUCAAGAUAUGCGAUAUGGAAGUCAUGCAACACUAUGCAACAUCUAGUAGAUCAUUUGAUUCUACGCUUUACUUAGCUACUCUUAGCUCAUAUCUUUACUCUAAGGUUUUUAUUACCUUAGGAUCUCAACUCGGUCCACUGGCUUCUAAGGUCUCUACUACCUUAGCUCAAGCCUCUAAUCUCUAGCUCAUAAGGGUUCCUCUACCCUAACGAAGCUAACCACACGACUCGGCGUCGAGUCAAUCAUCCGCGGAUAGCCCGCGCACUGGCUGCUCAUCAGCCUACCGCCCUCUCUGUCUCAGCCCCCUAGCGGCGAAGUCGUCGCACACGCUAAGCUCGGCUCAAGUCGCACGACUUGACCAUCUGGCGACGAUCACGUUGCUCUUACCCAGCGUGAGCUCGAGUCACGACACACCGUCUGGCGGUGAACGGAUCGCACCACACCCAACAACGGUACAUGUCAGACUCAGCCACCUGGAGGCACCCGUACCGUACUUAUCCAGCAUGGAUUCAGUCUGCUCUGGCGGUCUGAUCCUCAAAUGGCUUAACCAUCCUGGCGGUGAAAUCGUCGCACAAACGCCACGGCAAUGGCUCAAGGCCCGGGCGGUGAUCUCCAUGUGAUCGCCCCAAUCCUCCCUCGGUACCAAGCUCGGCGGCGAAGUCGUCACACAAACGCCCUAGCUUCUACCAGGGUCAUCACAAGUCAUGGGAUUCCGGAAUCCACUUUCCACAGGUCAAGGGUCCAUAGCCAACCCUAUACUUUCGACCUAGCUCAUCCUAGUGGCUAUACCACUAUACUCAUCAACCUAGGUUCCAACACUCUAGGUUCUAUGUCCAUGUCACUUAACCUAGAUAUACUUGCUAGGUUCUUGUCAUCUUUGCCUAGAUGUUCACUUCUAGGUUUACUAGUUCGACCUAGGUUUACUAUUACUAGGUUCGAUGCCACAAACCUAGAUUGUUCAACUCUAGGUUCACUUAUUUAACCUAUGUUCUUUAACACUAGGUUAGAUGCCACUCGAUCUACCUGACAACCUAGUUGUCCAAUCAUCUCGGCUCACGCUAGAGUUAUCAUCUAGCUCAUAUGCAUGUUUUACUUGAACUAGCAUUAUUUAUGUGUCAUGCUCACUAUGCUUUCUACUUAGCAUGGUCAUCUAUGCAUUAUUGUUACCAUGCAUUCUCUAUUUAGCCUUUACUCUAUGCAUAUUUAUUAAUGCACCAUUUAAUCUUGUCUACAUGCAUAUGCAUCAACAUGAGAUUAUAUUGCUAAGACAUAAAGGGCGACCUAGUCGCUUCGGUAAGCACAACCCACCUUAGAUAGCUUUUCGAUUGCUUGUCGACACUUGCAAUCGGCCUCCCGCGGCACUCGGCACCCGUUUGGGCCCGACCUCACAGUUGCUCCCCACGAGCGCGCCGCUUCGCCGUUUCAAGUGCUAGCGAUCUUUGCCUUGCCGCUACGGUGCUCGGGACCCGAUCUCACGAUUUAUGGACGUUGCCUCGGCCUCCCAGGCGGAAAUGGAGCUCCGAGUGCCCGUUUCUUCAAUGUCUUUGCAACGGCUUGUCGAAUUGCCGAACCGACUUCACCAACGUGUUUCGUUACCUACCAAUUAGGUUUCCGAGGGGUCAAAUGAGAUCAAACUCAUCUAUUUACAAAAACCCUCUUUGGAUGCCCUAGAAUGCCAUUUCUAGCAAAUCCACCAAAUCGAUCUAUGAUUUGGGUAUAGUCCAUCAAAAUAGCAUGCUAGGGCUCCAAACAAACUAACUUUAGAGAUCAAAACCCUAUCCCUAAAGAUCUACCAUGAGAGGGCUCCAAGCUUACCUCUCCAAGAGCUCCAUGGAAGAAGAAGAUGAAGAUGAAGAUGAGGAAGAGGAUCUCCUCCUUGGUCCUCUUCUUCUUUUCCUUUCCUUUCUCUUUUUCUUCUUCUCUUCUCUUUUCUCUUUUCCUUUCCUUCUUUUCCUCCCUUGCACGAUCGGAGAGAGGGAGAGGCAGUGAGGGAGUGAGAGAGGGAGAGAAAUACAUCUCUCUAAUAACCCCUCUCAUAUUGUAACAAAAUGUUAUUAGGUCCCUCCACUUUUCAUCUCUUACACAGCCCUUACUGGGCGUUCUGCGCGCUGAGGGACCGGUCCCCGAGAGCUCUCCCCGGUAUCACGCGUUCGGGAACCAGUCUCUCCCCGAGAGACCGGUCCUCGGGAGACCGGUUCCUCUCGAAGAGACCAGUCCCCGAGAGCUCAUCUCGCGGGACUUAGCCAAUUUUGGCUCUUCUCACUAAUGUCGCAGGCUGGGACCGGUCCCUCCCCUGCCAGGGACCGGUUGCAUCAGCAACCCCGCAGCCUUCAGCUGAUGGGACCGGUCUCUCACCUCCAGAGACCGGUCCCCGAGAGCAACCUCAGCCCAAAAAUGCAGAUUGCAUUAUUUGCUCUCGCGGACUCCGUUCCAAUGCACUUCUUGGGUUUCGUGCAUCCUAGGCUUUUCCAAAGCCUAUCCAUUCGACCCUUAGUCGAUCCUGGACAAAAUGAAACUCUCGGAUUUCGAGAACUCACAUUGUUACAUUCUCCCCUCCUUAAAAAGAGUUUCAUCCGCGAAACUCACUCAUUUCUAACCCCUUUUUUUUUUCCUCGACACACUUCUCGAGUACACAUUUUAUAGUAUGUUAUAAUAUAUUAUACUAUUUUCGCGUAAUAUAUUAAACUGUACGUAAUUUAGUGUAAAAAUUAUGCAAAAUGUGUUUUAACAAUGUAUAUGUUGCACUACUCAUAUAGAUAUUAUACUAUUUGGAAGAGCAUGUUGCACUAUUUGAGAGAAUGUUGCACUCUUUUAUCUUAUUAAUUAUAUUUUAUUAUUUUUAUUUUGUUUUGAAUGAUGAUUUUCGUUUCAUGUAAUUAUGACUUAGCAGUUGUCAUUUUCAAAAAAUUUUAUACUUAAUGGCUUAGCAGUUGUAUAUUUCUAGACAUUUAAAGCAUAUAAUUUUUAUACAUUUUGAAAGAGGGAUAGUUUGGUCAUCAUUCUGAAAAUUCGGACCGAAUCUGCAAAAUUCAAAAAGACGGCUUAUUUUUGCAAAAGUUCAAAACUAAUAGAUUUUUUUAUGCAAAUUGGCCUUCUUUUAUUCAUCAAACAAAGAAAAAGGCAGAAGUGUAAUUUGUCGUAAUUGCUGGAAUUGAAGCCACGGAUUUUAAUUGAUUACUAUCAUCCUCGUGAACCAUGGAUGAAUAUCUUAUGUAGGUGGCAUUUUAGCUGCAGGUUUGGCAUUUUGCUAUGUUUAGUACUUCAUUCGCAUCUUCCAUUAAUUGUAGCAGAUGUUGACACUGCAUCUGCUUCCACAUUGCUAGUUUGCGUGUAUCCGUAUCGUUGUUUCUGUUUUCUGUCGUUGUUUGAUGCAUGUCAUGUAGAGAGAAAAUAUCUAGCUAGUUCGUUAGCAGCUUAAAAGUGUCUUCAGAAUUUCCUUUAUGUAUGUUAUCUAGACUCUGCCAUGUUGGGAACAUCUUAAACUCAUACAAUCAGGGAGCAAUCUUUGGACUGUUGUUGUCUGAACGUGACAAAAGAAAAGGAUGGAAAAUUUACUAUUAAUGCCCUUGUUCAGCCUCUGAAGCAUCACAAAUUUAAAGAGCCAAAGAAGUUUAGCAACUUAUGGAGUAUACUGAAGUUCUUCUUCGUAGGACUUCGCCACACACUACACUCCACAGAGUUUAUUUUUACACACCCAGCUAGCUUUGGCAUCUGAUUACAUGUGAUAGACACCAUGGCCUUGCUACGUGCUCAGAAGAUAGCGAUGUUUUAGGUGGAGGGUUUAACGACUCAAAGGCGACUCAAGUCGCUAAACCCUUCCUCUCGAGCAAACAUUACUCUCUAGUUUUAUUCUAUUCGACCUGAUUCUCGUGAACUAACUAAAGGGCCCUCUAAGUGGACUCAAUCUAGGGUUACAGUUUUCCUUAAUUUAUAGUUGACAACUUAUAUUUUGACGGAACUGUUGUUCUCUGGAUGACUCUCAUGUCCUGGUGCGAGCAAGCCGGACAUGAUUUUCGUCUUCAUUGCGGUGCUCAAACGAAUAGCUGCUUGCUCUGGAAUUAGCUGCAAAUUUGUAGAAUGAUGAGUACUAACCUGCAAAAUGGCAGACCCAAAAUAAGAGUCGUGCUACCCAUACACCCCAUUUAGAGUUGUAGAUCCUACAACUCCUUGAUCCAACGGCUGAUAUAAACUUGGUUUAAAAAAAAAAAAAANNNNNNNNNNNNNNNNNNNNNNNNNNNNNNNNNNNNNNNNNNNNNNNNNNNNNNNNNNNNNNNNNNNNNNNNNNNNNNNNNNNNNNNNNNNNNNNNNNNNNNNNNNNNNNNNNNNNNNNNNNNNNNNNNNNNNNNNNNNNNNNNNNNNNNNNNNNNNNNNNNNNNNNNNNNNNNNNNNNNNNNNNNNNNNNNNNNNNNNNNNNNNNNNNNNNNNNNNNNNNNNNNNNNNNNNNNNNNNNNNNNNNNNNNNNNNNNNNACUAUCAUGUAUAUGAUGUUUUACUUUCACUUGAUCAACUAUAUGUCAGUGUUGAUUAACAUGCCUAAUCAAAUGUAUGCCAAUGUCCAUUUACAUGCAUAAUCAAUGUCCAUAAUGCUCCAUAGAGUAAACUAUGCUUUUUAAUGUUAUUCUAGCAAUGCAUACAUACUAGUCCAUAAGAAUAUAGGUUCACUACCACUAAGGUUACCAAUGUCACAAUGUUCCACAAAAUGUCCAACUACUAAGUAUGCAUCAAUUAGUAGUAUGCAUCAAUUAGUAGUGUAAGGUAACAAACCACAUGUAUGAACACCUUCUAUGUAUGCAUCAACUACGAUGAUGUACAUUGUCAAGUUAAGUCUUAAUACCCAAAUUACAGGGAACGUACACGUGGUAAUGUCUCGGCUCGUGCCGUGCCUUAGUGGUCCCGUGGGGGUCAUCAUUUUUCCCGCAAGAAAAGAGACUCUGCUUACGGCAUCCCACUUUGGCGCCCAAUCCCGCACGGGCGAUCUAUAGUCGCAAGGCUAAACUCCGGAGUGCCUGUUUGUAGGAAGCGACUCUCACAAGCAUGUGCGGAUGAGCACAAGGGUAAGAAAGCGUAAUCAUAGCAUAGGGUCCACAAUUUGGAAUGCUCAAACAUCAUGUCUAAAAUAUGGAAUUGUCACUCAUCGACUCAACGGUCGGAUUCUAGAUCAUUCAUGUCAUGUUUACAACUACUUGGCUGGUAUGUCUCUACCGACCUAUAUAUUGCCUAAAGCAUGCAUAGUUCAUAUGACAAUAUCCUACCUAGGAUAGUUCACUAUUGUAUUCAAAUCUCCAACAAGGUCAUGACAUGCAGAUACAACAAAUUUUCACAAGAAACAUGUAUAAUACCACAUGCAAGAGAACUAUAAAAUGUCCGCAAUUAUCACAAUGCAUGUUAUGCACAUGUCUUUCCACUAACAUCCCUACUACAUGGAGUAGAAAUAUUAUGAUGCAAUUAUUUAGAUUUCGCUAGUAUUACNAAUUAUCACAAUGCAUGUUAUGCACAUGUCUUUCCACUAACAUCCCUACUACAUGGAGUAGAAAUAUUAUGAUGCAAUUAUUUAGAUUUCGCUAGUAUUACGUGCAAUCAUCUCUAUUAGGGCUCGCCUCAAGGGCUAUACAUUCUCAUUUUCCUCAUGGCUAAAACACGGAAUAUAACUAUCGAACCCUAGGUUAAUUGUAAUGUCACAAUGGCAAAUACUAGUCGUUUUUCUAAUUUAAUGCAUCAAGUUACCAUUUCACAUGUUUAGUUCUAGUUGUCCAACUAGGCUAAAUAUCAAGUUUAGCUUCAUGAUGACCUUAUCAUGUCCUAUGUCCCAAUGUCACUACUACCUUGUCUACUACAAGUAUAAUGUUAUCAUGCAAGUAAUGUUAAUUUUCAAUCACCUUAUCUAUAACAAGUGUACUAUCGUCAUCAUGUAAGUAAUGCUACUUUCCAAUUCAUUCACUAGGUACCCCCUAAUGGGUCAUAACAUUAUUCAUACUCUAACAUGCUUUCAAUGGUUGCAUGAGAGAGGAAACCUCAACUAUUGUCAUUUAGUGCCCAAAUCCACAUGUAUGCCUCUACCACCUAGAGCAUAAUUUUUCACUAUACAUAACAUGUAUAUAUUAUAUUCUCAUAAAUUCUAGCAUAUCACAAUGACCAUGAAAAAGCAUCUAUUUAAGUCCUAACACCAAAAGAAAGACGUAGGGGGAGUUCACCUAUUUCGGUGAGGUCAAACCCACCGGAAGCACUUCGAACGAAGUUAUCCCCCAAGCUUCUAGCACCCUAAGAGAAAUUCUAAAGGGUUAAAAGCCACAAAACGACCGCUUCAAAAAUUACACAUACAAAAGUGUAAAAAUAUCUUGGGUCAAGAAGAACUUGAUCAAAGCCCAAAUCGAAGCUAGAAAGCUUCAAAUCCAACCUAUAAGAGUGUUCUACACCCAUCAAUUCCAACUGAAAAGCCUCAAAUUAAGAAACCCCAAAUAAAACCCUAGAUUUUUAUUUCUAGGUUUUCAUCUCAAAAACUCUACCAAAACUAGAUCUAAAGAGUAGAUCUAAGAUACUAACCUCUCAAUAAGCUCCAAUGCAAGCUUGGAAUGAGCUAAGGUUGAAAAUUGGUCCUUUAGAAAGCUCCUCUCCUCAAACCAAGGCUUCUCCAAAGGUGGAAAUCCAACAUGAAGCAAAGAGGAGGGAGAAAGAGAGAUCAAAUCAAGCAAAAACCAAGAAAAAAUGGAAGAAAAACCAAGGGAGAGGAGUUCCACGUGGCUCUCCACGGUUUAGGGCUCAAAAGAGCCAUCCAAGAGGCUGUGGGGGGUUAAAUAGAGAUGUAACAAUCUCAAAAAGACCCUCCAAUAAUGGGCAGUCUGCAACUGCACUGCGUACCGGUACCACGAAAAUGAGUACCGGUACCGGCCAGCAGAACGCACAAACCCGAGCCUUGGGUUGGCGAACAAAUGCACUGGGUACCGGUACCAACUCGAUGCAGUACCGGUACUCUGCACUGUAGAAGCAAACCCGAGAGCUGCCCAACUUUCUCAUUUUUGGACUUUGGCGCUAAGUUUUAAACCUCGAUUCUCGGGAUGCGAGUCAUAGGUCGAAACACUGUCUACGACCCUCCAGAACACCUAGAAAAACUCAGAACACAGAUCAAACACUCGAACCUCGCAAUUUACUAAAGUUCAGUGUGUUACAAUACUAUUAAGUAAAUAUUGAAAAACUAGGGGGGCCAAAGCUAUCUAUGUUCCACCAAAAAAAAACUUUGAAGGACCAUUAAGCAAAUAUUAAAAAUUUGAGGGGGGCUAUGGCCACCUUGGGCCUCCAUAUCGCUCCGUCCCUGGCCAAGUGUAUUCUAUCCCUUUCUGGAAUGUACAGAUUCUCAAAGAGCUUCUCCAAUGCUCUUACCCAAGUCUCCUCUACCCAAGUCUCUACUCUACGACCAUUGAACUCGAGUGGAUCAAAUUUUCUAAACUCAGCCAAUCUCGCAUGUGCCCUCUCCAGUUCUCUUUGACAUCUUCUUCAAUCUUUUUCUUAACUCUCUCUAAAGAGUUUAUAUAAUUCAAUCUAUUGACUUUCGCUAUAAAUUACGUCUCUUUCAUUCUAUAUCCUAGGGGUUUGUUCAGCCUAGAGUUUUCCAUACCAAAUAUCCUAAGCUCUAAUACCAACUUAAUCUAUCAUGCUCCGGAUACAACGGAAGCCUAAUACAUUACUAUAAAUAACAAAUUUCUCAUCUAUAACAGGAAGGACAAGGAUAGGGGCUGAUAUCAAUCUAUUUUUCAAUUCUUUAAAACUUCUUUGGCAAUUUUCACUCCAAAUAUAUGUACUUAAUUUUCUUUUCAAGACAAUUGAGUGAGGGGUGUGGAAAGUAUAAUACCUGAGAUUUUUGACUUUAAAAUUUGAAUUUGAGUUUUGAAUUUGAAUUUGUUUAUAUAUAUAUAUAUAUAUAUAUAUAUAUAUAUACAACUUAAUAUGUGUGUGUGUGUGUGUAUGUGGAGGUGGAGAGAGACGACUUUUGUCGCGAAUCGACAAUUGAUCCUAGCAAAACAAAAUCGCAGAUUUGAUGGUCUGUCUGUGCCGAAAGUGCUGGCGUGAUCUGUUAAAAAAUUUGACAAGUCGAUCGUCCGAAAUUACACGUUGUUUGAGGAAGGGUCGAUAUUGCAUAUUGGAUUUUAUUUGUGAAAGAUCCAAUAUUUUAUGUAUCGAAUCGCAAGAAAUCGCUUGUGGAAGUGCGUUUGCGCGAAUUACACAUGCCUUGAAGCCCUAAUUUGGGUUGGACCGAGAUCCUCCCAGCGCCGCCGCCGCCGCUCGCCGCCACUUGCCAAAGUGAGCACCACACCCCUCUUAUCCCCCGCACUUACCCCUGGGCCGCGCACGAGCCGCCGUGCCGCCGGCAGCCGGCCGGAGCUAGAUGCUCUAUUAGCUCGAAAUAGGGUGGUUUUACCACUGAUCACUAUUCCAACCAUCCGGGAACCCCCCGUGUAAUAUGUCGAUUUUUCGACUACGCGGCUAAUCUCUAUCAAAUUGGUCCGAAUAAUGCUAAAAUGAAAUUGGUUCAUUCCCGAGCUUAAUUGGUAGCUUGGGCAUAGUGUUUAGCAUGUUUUGGAAGUAAUUAGAAGAGUUCUAAGUGGAAUAGAAGUGUGAAACAGGCUGCCAAAGUAGCUGCUGCCAGAAUUCUGCUGGAGCAGAAUUUGUACUGGGUACCUCAGCCAGUACCGGUACCAGCUGAGGUACUCAGCUAGACUGCAAUGCAAUUUUGGGUUUUUGAGGGGGUAAGUUGCAAAUUUUUGCUCUUAUCUCUUCAGCCCUGAUCUCCUACAGAUGCCCACGUAUCCAGCCCUCUCUCUCUUCUUUCUUUUCAUUUCUUUCUUCUUUCUUUUUCUCUCUAGGCUGGUUGAGGCUUUGUGAAUUGAUGCGGGCAGAGUUGGAAAUUUUUGGGCUUGUGAAGCUGUCGAACAGUAAGGUUCAGCUGAGGAAGCGUGGAAACCUCAGGUAAGGAGCUGUUUAUUAGCUAGGACUUGGACUAGAUACUGUAUGAGAGGUUUUAAGUGAUUAAAGAUGGUAGUAGUAUGUAGAAAACCUUGAGUACAUGCUGAAAACAGCAUGCAUACAUGUAUAGAUAUGUAUGUGUACAGCUCAUUAGGGAUUGUAGGGUAAAAUCUGAAAUGAGUUAACUUUGAAUCCUGGUUUGAAUGACUUCCUUUGCUAUAUCAAGAUGUGGAAUAAAGGAUUUUUAAGUGUUUGCAACUUGUAUUAGUAUAUAGAAGCAAUAUGAUUACCGCGAAUGAUGGAUCGUUUCGACUCUGUGUGGAUUAUCACGAGCUGAACAGAGUCACGAUUAAGAAUAAGUACCCACUUCCCCGAAUCGAUGACUUGUUUGAUCAGUUGCAGGGGUCGUGUGUGUACUCGAAGAUAGAUUUGCAGUCCGGCUACCACCAAUUGAAGAUUAAGCCGGAGGAUGUGCAAAAGACCGCGUUUCGCACGCGGUAUGGACACUACGAAUUCACGGUCAUGCCAUUUGGACUCACAAAUGCUCCAGCGGCAUUUAUGGAUUUGAUGAACCGUGUCUUCAGGAAAUACUUGGAUCGAUUUGUAGUGGUCUUUAUAGACGACAUAUUGAUCUAUUCUCGCAAUGACGAGGAUCAUGCCGAGCAUUUGAGAUUGGUGCUUCACGUCCUUCGGGAGGAGAAGCUAUAUGCUAAGCUAAAGAAAUGUGACUUCUGGCUCAGAGAGGUCGCAUUUCUAGGGCAUGUAAUUUUCAAGGGCGGAGUUUCUGUAGACCCGAGAAAAGUUGAGGCAAUCAAGGAUUGGCCUCACCCGACGAAUGUCAUGGAGGUCCGAAGCUUCGUGGGCUUAGCGGGCUAUUAUAGACGGUUCGUGGAGGGUUUCUUGAAGAUCGUGAUUCCACUUACCCGUCUGACUCAAAAGGGCACCAAGUUAGUGUGGAGCGAAGAGUGUGACCGGAGUUUUAAAGAGUUGAAGGAAAGAUUAACUUCGACUCCGGUGCUCGCUCUACCGGUGCAGGGCGAAGAUUUCGUAGUCUACAGCGAUGCCUCCUAUAUGGGUUUGGGGUGUGUAUUGAUGCAAAACGGGAAGGUAAUUGCCUAUGCAUCUCGUCAGCUGAAGAGCUAUGAAAAGAAUUACCCCAUUCACGAUUUGGAGCUAGCAGCGAUAAUCUUCGCCUUGAAGCUAUGGAGGCACUACUUGUACGGUGCCCAUUGUGAGAUUUAUACCGACUACAAGAGUCUAAAGUAUCUGUUCACACAGAAAGAGCUCAAUAUGCGACAGCGGCGGUGGUUAGAACUGUUAAAGGAUUAUGACGUUGAUAUCCUUUACCACCCGGAAAAAGCGAAUGUGGUCGCGGAUGCACUGAGCAGGAAGUCGGCGAAAAAUCUUGCCAUGUGCGUGACAAAUCAGACGCCUUUGUGGCUAGAUAUGGAGCGAAUGAACCUUGAGGUGGUUGCUCUCGAGAUUCCGGCUCAGUUGAUGGCCCUCGUCGUCCAACCGACCUUGUUGGAGAGGAUCAAAGAUCUGCAAUCUGCGGACUCGAGUCUCCAAAAGAUGCGGCAUAACAUCGAGGAAGGACGAGGCGGCAAUUUCAGUAUAGACGUCGCGGGUGCACUUCGAUUUCGGAACCGAUGGUGUGUACCCGAGAAUAAAGAGCUUCGUGAAUUGAUCUUGCAAGAAGCUCAUCGGUCGCCUUAUUGCGAUCACCCGGGCGGCACCAAGAUGUAUCAUGAGUUGAAAGCACUCUAUUGGUGGCCGAGAAUGAAGAACGAUAUUGGGCGCUUUGUGGCUAAGUGCUUGACUUGUGUCACGCCCCGGGAACCAGCGGAAGCCCGCCCGGCGCGUGCACAGACCCGCCAUAUGUCUAAAACAUACAAGGCGUCUAAAUAACAACGAUAAAUAAGCAAUAAAUAAAGAACAUCUAGAAGUAUCAGAGCAAUGUAUAUCUAGAUUUCUACAAUAAAGGGAUGGAGCAAAAAACAAUAUCCACUAAAUAAAAUCAUAAGCAGUACAAAAGGUGUAACACACUGGACCUUUGCAAAUUACGAGGUUCGAAUGUUUGGAUGUAUUUCGAGCUUUUCCACAUUUGGUGGAGAGUUGUAGAAUGUUUUCCGACCUAAAAAGUUCGAAAAUCGAGAUUCUGGAUAAGUCCUGAGAGUUUUUACUCUCGGGGACCGGUCCCUGGAAGGAGAGACCGGUCCCCCAGUGAGAAGUGUUGAGGCAGCCUGAGGCAACCGGUCCCUGGCAGGCGAGACCGGUCCCCGAGCGCGUCUUCGCAGUGAGAGACCGGUCCCGCGCAGGGAGAGACCGGUUCCCGAACGCUGGUUUUUCGGGUUCGCAGCGAGAGACCGGUCCCUGCUGGGGAGAGACCGGUCCCUCUGGGCGAAAACUGCCCAGACUGGGCUGUGGUAAUAUUGGAUUUUUGGAGGGCCUAGCUGGAUUUUGUUACAAUAGAGGGUCUAUAUGAUCCCUCCACUCUCUCCUCUCCCCAUUUCUCUUCUCUCAACCCUCUCUACACCCUUGAUAGAGAAGAAGAAGAAGAAGGAGAAGAAGAAGAAGGAGGGAAGGAGAAGAAGUUUGGAGCUACUAGUGGACUUGGGGCAUCUUCCUCACCUUCUCGUCUUCCUUGGUACUUGAAGGCUUGGACUUGGAGCUUGCAAAGAGGGAGAUCUUCACCCUUGGAGCUUGGAUUGGAGCUUCUAAGGAGGUUUGUUACUCAUUUCCCUCCUCUAGAUCUUGUUUUGAUAGUUUUUGUAGAUGAAACCCUAGAAAUGAGAUUUAGGGUUGAUUUUGGGGCUUUUUGAUCUAGGGCUUUUGAGGCUAGAUUAAUUGGUUUAGAACCUUCCUUGGGCUUGGAUUGGAAGGGUUCUAGCUCUCUUUUGGAGCUUUCGAAGAGAUUUCUUCUCUUGAGGUGAGUUUUGGCCCUUUUUGCUUCUAGGUUAAUGUUUGAUCUUACGGUUGGUCGUAAUGCCCUCGUAUCUCUUCGCUGAUUACUUUUAGGAAGUUUUGAGACUUGGGGACAACUUUGUUCGGCGAAACGAGGCCCUACGCGACGGUUCGGUGGGUUUGACCUAGCCACACAAUGAGAAAUUCUCAUUUGUGCUUAUUUAAGUAUCGUUAAAUGAAAAAGCAUGCAUAUUCUUGUUAUAUGUAUUUAUUGUGAAUUUUAGAAUGCUUAAAAGGCCUAUGUUGUAUAUGAUGAAAUUUUGGACCUCUAUGGAGUAGAGAGUAGCUUGGUAAGCCUAUGGUUGCAUUUAGCGUUCUAUAUGCAGAGACUUGGUUUCAUGCUUCUAUAGUGUACAUGAGCUUUGAUUCAUGCAUUUAAACUUAAGUUUACUUGUGACAUGAAAGAUGAUGAAAUUGCCAUAUAGAGGUAUUGGAACUAGAAUGUACGUGAUCUAGAGCUAAUGUCAUCAAGCGGCAUUGAGCUCGGGACAUGUGAGAACCUAGUGGAUAGGGCCAUUGAGGGAUUUGGAAUACAUGUUGAACAUCAAAUUGUCUAAGUGUCAUCAAGGGGCACUAGGCGAAGCAAAUAUUGAGAAUUCACAUUAUGCCUUAAACUAGAUCUUCGGGAUGUUAGUGACUAUACCAUGUUAGAGACAUGAGAAUUGGAUACUUGAGACUUGGACUUUGCUUGCUUGCCGUUUGUGCUCAUUCACACAUGCUUGUGAGGGUCGCUCCCUACAAGCCGGCACUCCGGAGUUAGCCUACGCGACUUUUGUUCGCUCGUGCGGUAUCGAGACGCCUACGGGGUCGAGUGGGACAGACACAUUCCAUGGGUAGGAAUGUCGGGCUACCACAGGCACUUAGGCGGCACAAGCCGGACUACCUUGGGUAGAUCCUUAAUUGGAAAUGAAAAUCGACACGGUUUGAGAAUGAAUGAUCACUACUAGAUAGGCUUAUUAGUUGGAUUACAUUUACAUGCUUUUAGCAUAGUGUGAGACAUGUAGUAUACUUGGUUGCCAUGAUAGAACUUCUACAUCAUGCAUUGACAAAGGUUAACAACAUUAAACUAGUGCCAUUGGACUUAAUUGUAAUGAUAGAUAGAUGUACAUUUUGGUUGACAUCAUGCUUACUUGAGACACAGUAGACUAGCAUUUCAAUUAUGCUUUCUUUCAGCAGUUUAUUUACAUGCUCCUUAUCGCUUAUUAUUAUUAUCGUUGCUUACCCUUAUUUUUGGGGCCUAGUGGAGCAUGAGCUGAGGUCAGUAAUUGCCCACUGGGAACUAUAAAUUAUAGUUCUCACGCCCUCUUUUUCUCGAUGUUUUUCAGAGCCUUCCACUCAGGGUGAGGCCAGGGACCGCGGGAAGGGAGUUGCUUCGAGCUAGCUUCCUUCGAGGACGGUUCGCUAGGUGGUCUACCUCUCGUCGUAUUUUGUUUUGGAGAGGUUGAGAGUUUUACCAGUGUACUAGAGACCACCAUUUUUGUAUUAGAGGCUGAUACUGUAUAACUUAUGUUUACUUUUAUGUUUUAGUUACGUUCUUUUACUAUUGGUGUAGAUGUUAGAACUUUACUCGCUCUGAUAUCAUUAGUUGCUAGUUAUUUCACUUUUUUUAUUUGUUCCAUCUCUUGCUUUUACUUCUGCUUUUCUUGUAGACGCCUUAUAUGUGUAGGCAUAUGGCGGGUCUGGGCACGCUACCGGGAGGGCCUCCGCCGGUCCCGGGGCGUGACAAAAGGUAUCCCAAAACAAGUGCUAAACUGAAUACAUGGGUGGUCUCUCUAUACAUGGUACCCAAAACACUCUCUUACCAAAAACCAAAGAGAGAGAAAACCACCUAAGAGCAAAACGCCUCUCCGCUAGCUAGCUAGCUACGCGACCCCUUUGCCGCGAUCCCUUGCCUCCGCCGGUGCCGAAGGCUCUGAAAGAGAACAUAAAAAAACAGGGCAUGAGAACUAUUAAAAAUAGUUCCCAGUGGGCAAUUACUGACUUCAGUGAAGUGUGCCACUAGGCACAAAAGCUACGAAGCAAGGUCAGUACGAGUAUAAACCAAAGCGAUAAAUGCGAUAAGUAAAUAACCAAACAGUAUACUUGCUACAACAUGAAAUCUCUACUUAGCAUGAUUUGCAUAAGUAAUAAACUAUUCUAACAAGAAUGUGCCCAAGCAUACUAGUAUGAUGUCCAAAAGCCAAAUAGUAAAGAUGUCAAUAUUUACUAUUCUAAUCGAUGUCCACACGUCACGACGACUACUCGAAGUCCAAUCUAAAGAGACCCGCCCGAAGGCUGUCUUGGCCCUGAGACCCACCCGUAGGCUGUUUGACCAAUGCCGAGCCUAAUGGCCCCGUGGUAGUCAACAUCCCCACCCUAGGGAUGAGCCUGGCCCACGGCAAUCCACUUCGGCGCCCAGUCCCGCACGGCGAACAAGUAUCGCGAUGGCCAUCUCCGGAGUGCCGGCUUGUAUGGAGCGACCCUCAUAAGCAUGUGCGAAUGAGCACAAAUGGCAAGUAGUACAAGAUCCAUCUCAAGUAUUAAGUCCUCAUGUCCACAAACAUGGAAUAAAUCAUAUAUCUCAUAGGCCUAUCUCUAUGUCAUCAUGUCUAAGAACAUGGAAAUGUAGAUGUCAAUGGCCUAUCACUAUGUCCCAAUAUAGUAGUUUCACCGUUCACUAUAUCAAGUGCCCCUUUAUGACACUUUUGAUUUCAAAGUCCAAACAUGAGUUUAAUGUGUAAGAAUAUAUGUUUCAAGUCCUCUUCAUCACGAGAGACCUAUUCCCAACAUGCUCGAUAAGCUACGAUCUGAUAUACAUGCUCAAUAUACCAGGUUCCCCCCUGUUACAUGAGGUCGUUUUUCAUGAUACAUAGCAUAUGUAUACUAAGCAUUCUAAAAUUCACAUAAAUCAUAUUUAGCAUGGAUAUGAAGUUAUUUCGACGAUACGACAAGUAUACAAAACAUAGGGGCCAUUUUGCCCCGAUUUCAUGAAGCCAAACCCACCGAACUUCACGAAGCUCUUCGUUUCGCCGAACGGAGGUGUCCACUAGUCUCCUAGCACCCUAAAGAUGUAGGAACAAGAGUCAAACGAACGUUACGAACAACCGUAAGGUUGGUCUUUAACUAUCUCAAGCUAGGGUUGGGAAAAACUCACCUCAAUGAAGAAAUCCUCUCUUAAGCUCCAAAUGGGAGUUAGAGUUCUUCAAAUCCAACCUAAAGGAAGGUUCUAAAUCCAUCAAUGAGGUCUCAAAGUCCCCAAAUCAAAAAUCCCCAAAAAUAAACCCUAAAUCCCAAAAUCUAGGGUUUCAUCUAGUUUAAAGCUUCAAAACUAGGAUCUAGAGGAAAGGGACUAGCCACAUACCUCUAAGAUGCUCCAAACCAAGUCCAAGAUGCUCUAGGGUUGGAGUUUGAUCCUCUCUCAAGCUCCAACAACAAGCUCCAAGCCUCCAAAGGUGAGAAAAGAGAGAAAGGGUUGGUGCUCCAAGCUCCCUCAAGCAAGCUCCUCCUCUUCUUCUUCUUCUUCUCCUCCUUCUUCUUCUCUCUCUAGAGAGUGUGAGAGGGUGAGAAGUGAGGAAAAGAGAGGAGAGAAAUGAUCUCUAGACCAUUAGAAGUAACAAAAUCCACUCAAGCCCCUAAAAAAUCCAAUAUUACAUCAGCCCGGACUGGGCAGUUUUCGCCCAGCGAGACCGGUCUCACGCUGCCUGGGACCGGUCCCACGCCGCGAACCCGAAAAACCAACAUUCGGGAACCGGUUGCCCCGGCCCGAGACCGGUUGCUUUGCCAUGGGAGACCGAUCUCUCCCACCUGAGACCGGUCCCCGAGAGUGAAAACUCUCAGGACCUCCAAAACUCAGAUUUUUCGAGCUUUUUAGGUCGGAACACCUUCCACGACCUUCCACCAAGUGUGGAAAAGCUCGGAACCCAAGUCUAACACUCGAACCUUGCAAUUUACACAGGUCUAGUGUGUUACAACUUACCAACAAGUGAAGGCCGAGCGUCGAUUUCUAGCCUAAAGCUACAAAGCCUACCCAUCCCCGUGUGGAAAUGGGAGGAAAUAUCGAUGGACUUUGUGGUCGGCUUGCCUCGCUCAACGGGCGGCCACAAUGCAAUUUGGGUUAUUGUGGACCGAUUGAUGAAAUCGGCUCACUUCUUGCCGAUCCACACCACAUGGGCGGGCGACAAGUUGGCACAGGUAUAUCUUGACGAGAUAGUGAGGUUGCACGGGGUGCCGAAGUCGAUCGUGCCGGAUCAUGACCCCCGAUUCACUUCACAUUUCUGGAAGAGCCUGCAGGAAGUUCUUGGUACAUGGCUCGACUUCAGUACUGCAUUUCAUCCUCAGACAGAUGGGCAAAUAGAGAGAACCAUCCAAACUCUGGAGGAUAUAUUGCGAGUGUGUGUCAUCGACUGCAAAGGGAGUUGGUGUGAUCAUUUGCCGAUGUCCGAGUUCGCCUACAACAACAGUUAUCAUGCUAAUGUAGAGAUGGCACCGUUUGAGGCUCUUUACGGGCGGAAGUGUCGAUCUCCUAUACACUGAGCGAUGUAGGUGAGCGUGCUGAGUUCGGCCCCGAUGUGUUGUGAUAAGCGGAGGAGAAAGUCCGCCUGGCUCGCAAGAGAUUGCUCACGGCGCAGUCGAGACAGAAAAACUAUGUAGAUAGACGCCGUUGAGAUAUAGAGUAUGCGGUGGGCGAUCGCGUAUUCUUUAAGGUUUCACCGAUGCGGGGUGUGAAGCGGUUUGGAGUGCGGGAAAAGUUGAGUCCCCGGUACAUUGGACCUUAUGAAAUAUUAGAGCGAGUUGGCACGGUGGCUUAUCGACUCGCUUUGCCACUGAAGCUCGCAGAUGUACACAAUGUGUUCCAUGUCUCAAAUCUUCGUAAGUAUAUUCACGACCCCGAGCAUGCAAUGCUUUACGAGCCGCCGGAACUUCAAGAAGACUUGAGCUAUGAAGAGUUUCCGGUGCGGAUUAUCGCACGAGAGGUGCGAAAGUUGAGAAAUCGCGAGAUUCCCUAUGUGAAAGUCCAGUGAAGCAAUCACGACGAUCGCGAAGCCACCUGGGAACUCGAGGAUAUGAUGAGAAAGCAUCAUCCUCACUUGUUUCAGGAAUAAGGUAUGAGAACUGAGUUUAAAAUUAAGUUGAAUCAGUUUCGAGGACGAAACUCCUUUUAAGGAGGGGAGGAUGUAAGGAAGUGAAUUCUCAAAAUGCGAGGGUUGCACUUCAUCCAGGAUCGACUACUUGUCGAGUGGGUUGACUUCGAAAAGGCCGGAGUGGCAUGGAACCCAAAAAGUGCAUUGAGAUAGAGUCCACGAGAGCAAUAGUGCAAAAUCUGCACUGGGCAGAUUCUGCUCCGGGGGACUGGUCCCUGGUGGGAGAGACCGGUCCCCGAAGCUGGUGGUUGCCGGGAUGCCUGGAGCAACCGGUCUCUGGAUUGAGGGAACUGGUCCCCGAACACGACACCAGCGAGAAAAGCAGAAAUUUGGCUAAGUCCUGAAAAUCCAGCUCUCGGGGACCGGUCUCUCAGGCAAGGACCGGUCUCCUAGGGACCGGUCUCUCGGGUUGAGACCGGUUCCCGAACGCGUGCACUCGGGGGAAGCUCUCGGGGACUGGUCCCAGAGGGGAGAGACCAGUCCCUCCGCCCGCGAACAGCCCAGUGAGGGCAGUGCACAGGGUGGAAAAGUGAGGGAUUUUAUUGCAUUUGUUACAUUAGAAGGGGUGUAUAGAAGGGGCUGAGCCCUCUCCCCUCUCUCUCACUUGCACCCUCACUCUCUCUUUCACUCAUCUCUCUUUCUCUCUCUAGAAGGAAAAGAAGGAGAAGAAAAAAGAGGAGAAGAAGAGGAAAAAGAAGAAGAAGAUAAGGAAGGAGAAGAAGAAUGAGAUCAAAGAGGAACUUUUGGACAUCUCCCUCUUCCUCCCCUCUUCUCUUUGGUGUAGCUCAAGAGAUAAGCUACCAAACCCUAGCUUGUAAACUUAGGGUUUUUGUAUUUCUAGCUUUAGAAAUGGGUCAAAUGGACCUUAAGUAAGCUUCAAAGUAGAUCAAUCCGAGAAAUCUAGGGUUUGAUUGAGUGGUUUGCUAUAGGUGCAAACCUAGGGCUCCAAAUUGGAGUUUUUGGUAAAGUAUGAGAUUGAUCACAUUUGAGGCUUUGUAAACCAAAUUGUUAGGUAACUAAACGCGGGGGCGAAGUCGGAUUUUCGAUUUUUCAAGCGGGUCAGGUCCUGUCCGUUCGGCGUCCGCUUGCCGCGCCCGAACUGCGCCAAAUUGGUAGCGUUUUCGGGGCGGGGCGUGACAGGAAUCCUGCAGGGACAGCACAUAUGCAUGUGUUUCUACCUAUGAAUGAUUAGUAGUGGGGGAAAUUAUAUAUGCUUGUUCUUGGUUUAGAGGUUGCAUAUUAAUGUUCUAAAAAGGAUUGAGCUACAGAUUUUCAUGUUAGAGCUCUUAGAACCAUGAAAAAGCUUGGAAAACUUGAUGUUGGCAGCAUACAAGUAUAUGUAUGUAUAUAUAUGUACUUGUGAAUUGUAUGUUAAGAAGGAAUAAAACCUAGGUUCAAUUGACUUUAAAUUCUGAAUUAGCAUGAUUCUAAUUACUAUAUUAAGGGUUGAUGUUUACUACCUAAAGGGGGGUUAAUUAUGAGUUGUUCUGUUUUCUAAAACCAUAAACUGCCAUAGGGAACUUAAUAGAAGACUAUAUGUACGUAUAGUGACACUAUAUAUAUAUAUAUGGAACUUGGGGUUAAAUGCAAAGUUUGAAAAGAUGUGAAUAUGACUUAAGUUUAAUCCCUUUUAUUCCUCAUUGAAGAAAGGUUUGACGUGCUCGGAAGCCUAAGUUGGUAUUUCGACGGACCUACGGCGCGCUAGUUAAGAGACGCUUCGUUCUAGUUCGUAUACAUCAAGUCACGAGGACUUGAUACUUGUGAGCUCCGAGAUAUUGGCUUUAGUAUUUCGGCAUCCCUACAGGUGGGUGGUGCUAUCCGAAAUCUUUGAAUCCCUUAUUAUGUCUAUGUCGCCUCAUUGAUCAUAUUUAUAUAUGAAUUGCUUUGUAUUCAUACAUUAUAGGAAAAUUGUCACUAUACAGUUAGUAACUGAAUAAUUGAAUUCCUGUCAAUGUUAAGAACAUAUGGAUAAUAGAAUAUGGACAUAGAACCCUAUGAAUGUGUGAAUUUACUGUGGACUAUGAUAAUAGUAAAUUUGGUGACAUCACGACUAGAGAAUUCGUUAGCAUCGAGAGUGGAAUUGUAAAACUAGCAUAAAGAGCUAGUUAGAGUUAAAGUGUGGCAUUGUCAUUCAUUGGACCCUCUAAAUGAGGAUCAGAUCAUACUCACAUUAGUCUAAUGCUCGAGGAAGGUCGCUCCUCCUUGGGCGAUGAGCUUCGGAGUGGUCAUCAAAUGGAUUAGGAGCUAGCAUCUCCCAAGUAGACGGUCCUGUUCGGAUGUAGCUUGCGUCUCCCCGAUAGUAGGGAUUUGGUUGGUGAGUUAUUGUUAACCAAAUGGUUAACCAGCUUGAUUGGGUAAUGAUUAUUAAUAGCAUGCAUACAUCAAUUUCCUAUGUUAUCUACUGUUUCUUUCAGCUUUGUACAUGCAUUGUAGUAGUUACAUGUUAUAGCUGGUUACUAUCUAUUCUUUCUUCUUGUCUAUAUAUGCCCGAAUAGACCUAGUGGGUGAGUCGGCGAGGUUGGCGGCCGAACCCACUGAAAACUAUUAGUAGUUCUCACACCACUAAUCAUGUAGAUCCUAGCGCGAGCGGAGCGGUCGAGGAUCGCGGCAAGAGCCCGGCAUCUUAGCUAGUGAACUCCAGAGUAUAGUUAUACACCCAUUUUGGUUUCAUGUUGUAUAUAUUUGAUGUUAAAGAAACAUGUAAAAGAAUGUAUAAAUGAGCAUGUAAAUAACUAAAUGUUGUAGUUAUUCAUGUUUAUAGUUUGGUUUAAAGUUUUCAAACAUACAGUGAAUGCAUGUUUAGCUAGCUUACUUGCACUCGUUCUUGUUGCUUGCCCUCGUGCAAGCCAUGUAUAUUGAAAUGUUAUCUUGGGAGUUGUUUAUUUUUUUAUACAUGUACUAUGUUGUUGUUGAGCCUUGGGCGGACAAGGGAGGUGCUGUCUGUUCGGCGUCUGUGUACGGGCCCGGAUCGACCAAAUUGGUGAUAGCGGGACGUGACACCCUGGCUCUCUGGAAGGUGAGCAAGGUGACCUUGAGUUGUCGCUGAUCACUAUAGUUAUCUCGGUUUCUGUCGGAGAAUCAUCAGUUUGCUAUUUUUGCAUUGUCGCUCUCAAGGCCUUAUAUAUUUGCUGUAAUCUUGGCCCCGGAGAGCUCCUCGGCUAUUUUUCUUGCCCUAGACAAUGAGCACAGGCUUCGCUACAUUGAGACCUAUCCACUGGUGCCCUUAGUUGGUCUCGGAGACGCGUGGUGUUCUCUAUCGGCCCUAGUGAUUGUGUAUUUUAGCUUAUAUUGUGAUAUAUCUCUUGCUUAGGGGCCUCCUUGGAAUUUUAACAGCAGAGGCUGUUUUGGGCAGCGUGAUGCCACUUGAUGUGACCCUCUGGACUAGUUGUCCGAGCUUCCGAUGCCCUCGCUGAAUCAAAUUUAAUUUUUGAAGCAUUUUCCGACAAAAUCAUCAGCGAAACGCGGUGACCAUUGUGGGCCCCACUUGUUAGUAGUGUUAUCACCCCAGGUUUGUCGUGGAGCCUCAUUGGCUGGUUACAUUCGCUAUCUUGAGUUUCUGAAGACAACGAGUGAGCGACGGAGGGUUUCAAUGCCAAAAACAACAUUUUCGAAAAUUCGGAAUGGCAUUAAGUACAUUGUGGUGUAUUUGUAUUUCUUGGGCUUGUGUUUGUUGUUUGAACAUGAAAGUUGGUGCGUUUCGAUACAGCGGGUGACUAGAUUUGUACUAUGGUUCCUUUCGAAACACUCUGUGGCAAUCGAAAGUGUUUCGGUGGACUUUUUGGAACUCUCGACAGUUCUGAGGUUGUGGGUUUAGUGUUUUGAAGUCGACUUAGGGGAUCUUGACUUGGUGGAUCUUUCGGUCUAGUUGAUGUCCCAACAUGCCUUGAGCAUUAGACGCUGCGACGAUGAUAGGUUGGUGCUUCGAUCCGGAGUUGAUACAGUGGUUUUAGCUUGGUGAUGUUCUUCCCUCACUCUUUGUUGUUGUUUUGCAUACUAUUGAUUAGCAUUUACUACUAGACUUCUGAUUUAUUUACUCUACUUCUACUCAUUCACAUAUUUGUAGUAAAGAGGUGUUUGGUUGUUGCAUGAUCUUUAUCUGAGAGACCUGUUUGGUUGGUGUUGAUUGGUUCGUUGAUCUAGUGAUCUAGUUUGGACAGGUGUUGUUUAUUGACAUACUCUUGGCUAUUUGCCGUCUUGAUUGACUAUUGAGUAUUUCGCGUUGAUCGUCGCAGCUUAGGUAGCAUAUCACGUACACCAAUGGUUUGGUCACCGUGUGGGUGUUCUUUUUCAAAAAAGUGGUCAUUACUUUGACCCGUUGGCCCUUGCAAGGUGCUAGCUGGUGUAAUAUACCGAACUUUUAUAGUCAUGAAGUUUCGAUGGAUGUUAGAAGCUAAUGGAAUUGUUCCAGUGAAGAUCGGGAACGUACGAGUGUUUUCGAUAUGCGUUGGGCGUGGAAACGGAACUCGAAAAGCUAUGAUUGGACUUUGCCCGGAAUCCAGCAAAGCGUGGAUGAAAUAAUGGUCUAAAUGCGCUGAAAAUGUGUUUUGGGCGUCUCGGUGUGAUAUGUGAUAAAUCGGAGGACCCGGGAGCGAAAACGAGCGAAAACGGACCAAAGGCUAAAAUUGCUGAAGUUGCUGAUUUUCGGGUUGUCUGGACCUACGGGGUCCGGACCCUGGCUUCAAGGUCCGAACCUCGAGAGUGAGAAAUGCCCAGUGAAGGCUGAUGGCAGUUUGGUAAUUAAGGGGAGGUUGACUUAUAAAAGGAAGCUUCUCCUUCCUUCUUCUUCUUCUUCCCAGCCAAACACCAACACACACACAUAGUGGUAGAGAGAGAGACUCUAUCUCUAGAUUUUUUCCUUCUCUCUCUAGAUCUCUUUCCCAAAAUUGGAGGCUUGGUGGAGAAGGAGCUUGGGAACGCAUUGGGAGCAACGGUUCGAGUCUUUGUGCACCCGGUGGAGCGGCGUGCUUUCGACUCGGCGUUCGCAUUUUGGUAAGAGUUUAGGAUUUGGUUAAAUCUUUCAUGAAUGAUAUUCUAGUAGUUUCUAGAAUAUUCUAAGUAUGUUACUCCAUAUGUUUUUGGGGUAUAUGAGGGAUAUAUGAAAGCUAGGGCUUGAAAUGGGGUUUUGGGAUUUUUAGGGUUUUGAUCUAAUUGAACCCUAUUAUCCUCUAAUUGAAGGUUAGAGAUGAGCCCUUGAAGACCCUAGGUUGCGGAUUGGCCAGCGUUCGAUGAUCAAUUUCAAGUUCAAGCCGAACCGAACAACGAGUGCCGCGGGAGCCCGAUUGCAAGUGUCGACAAGCAAUCGGAGAGCCUUACGAGGUGGGUUGUGCUCCACCGAAGCGAUUAGGUCGCUUCCAUGCCAAAGUGAAGUGUGUUUCGUUAUCGAUGCAUGUAGUGGUAGUUAAUUGCCAAGUAAAAGAAUGCAUAAGAUAAAGUGACUGCAUGAGCUAAAUGCUAAAUGAAUGUAUAAGAUAUAUGCUAAUAAUGAAUGCUGAUAGAGAUGCUAAUUGUGAAUGAACAUGCAUGAUAAAGAAACUAAUUGUGAUAUAUUGACUACCAUUUCGAUAAGAACAUAGAUAUGUGCAAGAGAUGCUAGAGAAUACAUGCAUGUUGAUAUCUUGUGAACAUAUGCUAGAUUCAUAUGAAGGUUGAACUUGAGUCGACGAACUCUAAGUAUAGUAGAGAACUCGACAAGUGUGGUGUCACAACCCGCGACCACCCGCCUAUUUGGCCGAGUCGCGACGCCGCCGACAAACCGCCGAACGGACAGGGUUUCCCCUGUACACGGACAAAGUCUCCCCUGUACAUUCAAGGCGUCGCAACCUGUACAAUACAAAGAGUUCCAACCAGGAACAGUAUUCAAGCAAGGAUUACAUAAGGAAGUAUCGAAAACAUAAACACCUAGAUCACAUUCAUUCAUUUUUACAUCACAUUUUUCUUUUUUAUAUUUAACUUCCAAAUUACAAUCUAGAUAUUACAAUUUACACAACUUGCUUCUUUUCAUUCUUCUCAUCCCUAAGCAAAGCCGACUCAGGGUAUUGCUAUCUCUGGUCUCGGUGGUAGGGCGCUAACUACGGAGCUACGCCCUCGCCUUGCGCCACCGCGCCGCUCACGUGCGACCUGUAACACCCCAAAACAACGUGGGGUGAGAACCAACUCCAUGGUUCCCAGUGGGUACAGCGACCCAAGGGAAAAGCUCGAUCAAUAUGUCCAAGGGAGGCGCUGCAACAUGUUAGUCCAAUAGAUAUCCACAAAUAAUAUUUAUGCAAAUAUUAAAUACAUGUUCAUGCCUCACAAAUGCAAUAUGUAAAUCAUGCAAGUAGAUUUAUUGAUUCUACUCUCUAUUAUUUACCAUUCUUUAUAUUAUUAGCAAUCCUUUAUUACUUAGUCAUUCUUUACUUUUAGUCAUUCUUUAUUCUUAACCACACGAUGGUCCUUUGCCAAUGCUCUUCUAAGGUCACUCUUACCUUAGCCAACUAUGCCAAUUAUCAUGAUCAAGACCCAAUCCUCUCGGCUAACCCGUAGGUUUCGCCUCAAAUCUCUGCUAUCGGGGAGAUACCCGCUACAACCCGACGGGACCGUUCUUUGGGAAGAUACUCGCUACAACCUAGUGAACCAACACUUACCAACCCAAAUCCCUACUAUCGGGGAGAAUUCCGCUACAACCCGACGGGACCGUACUCUGAGGAGAUACCAGCUACAAUCCAGUGAACCAAAACUACCAACCCAAAUCCCUACUAUCGGGGAGAUACCCGCUACAACCCGACGGGACCGUCCUCUGGGGAGAUACCCGCUACAACCCAGUGAUGACAACUUCGGAGCUCAUCGCCCGAGAGGGAGCUACCACCCUCGAGCAAGGACUAACAGGUGAGUAUGAUCUAUGAUCAAAUCCAUAAUCUUGAGGAUGUCAAGUUCAAUCCAUUCCUUAACUAUAAGGAUGCCAUGUCACAUACGUCAUUUUCUUGCAUUCUUUACUUUCAUGAUGCCACACACACAAAGUGUUUUUUUAACUCUUAUUAUGCCUUCAUUGUCUUUUUAAUGCCAUACACACACUAAGGCUGCGUUUGGUUCAGGUAUAUGUAAGAACUGCUUGUUCCAGGGAUAGGUACAAGUUCAGGUAUAAGCAGGAACUAGACCAAUUUUACGUUUGGAUGAAAAUUGAGUUGUUCCUAGGAAUAAGAUAAAUAGCGUUUGGAUGGUUAAAUUGGAACAAAAGGAAUAAAAGUUAUAAUUUGAAAUUAACAUUAUAUUAUCUAAUNUCCUUUGCCAAUGCUCUUCUACGGUCACGCUUACCUUAGCCAACUAUGCCAAUUAUCAUGAUCAAGACCCAAUCCUCUCGGCUAACCCGUAGGUUUCGCCUCAAAUCCCUGCUAUCGGGGAGAUACCCGCUACAACCCGACGGGACCGUACUCUGGGGAGAUAUCCGCUACAACCCAGUGAACCAAAACUCACCAACCCAAAUCCCUACUAUCGAGGAGAUACCCGGUACAACCCAACGGGACCGUCCUCUGGGGAGAUACCCGCUACAACCCAAUGAUGACAACUCCGGAGCUCAUCGCCCGAGGGGGAGCUACCACCCUCGAGCAAGGACUAACAGGUGAGUAUGAUCCAUGAUCAAAUCCAUAAUCUUGAGGAUGUCAAGUUUAAUCCAUUCCUUAACUAUAAGGAUGCCAUGUCACAUACGUCAUUUUCUUGCAUUCUUCACUUUCAUGAUGCCACACACACUAAGUGUUUUUUAAACUCUUAUUAUGCCUUCAUUGUCUUUUUAAUGCCAUACACACACUAAGUGUUCGUACUUUCCAAUGUCAAGUUCUUUACUCUAUUUGAAUUAUCGUCCCAAAUGCACAUUCAUAUGAAUCUACCAUAUUCUCACAUUAUGUCAACAUACAAGUGUUCUUCAACAUUUCCUACACAUGUUUGCAUUCUUAUCAAAAUAGUAAUCAUUAUACAUUUGGCACAUAACUCAUACAUUCUUUAUUAGUAUAUAUCUAUGCAUUCAUUUCUAAAACAUACAUUGUCAUUCAAGAUAGUCAGUACUUAGCAUCUCAUGCUUUCUUUAACCUCUACCAUAUGCAUUCUUAAUUAACAUAAAUCUCAUUAUUUAUUUCAUUUCAUUGGUAGGUAAUCUCAACUACAUAAUAUGUUUCAAGCAUUCAUAUUAUCAUGUAAGCUUACCAAUAAAACUAUAUGCAUCAAUGAUAAACAUUUAUCUUAGACAUACAGGCGACCUAGUCGCUUCGGUAAACACAACCCACCUGUUAUCGCAUUCCGAUUGCUUGUCGACACUUGCAAUCGGCCUCCCGCGGCACCCGUAACCCGGUUCGGCCCGGACUCUCGCGCGACAACCCGAACGGCCUCCAAUCCACGAUCCGGAAAUUAAAGGUCUUCGGUUAUGCGCCACGGUGUUUCAAAUCCGUUUUCAUGAUUUUACGACGUCGCCUCGGCCCUCCCGGCGGAAACGAAGCCUAACGUCCGUUUCUUUAAUAACUUCGCAACGGCUCGACGGAUUGCCGAAUUGACUUCCCCAACGCGUUCGUUUACCUAGCAAUUAGGUUUACGGAUGGUCAAAUGAGAUCAAACCCUACAAUUUUACAAAACUCCAUUUUGGAGCCCUAGGUUACAACUAUGCAAGAAAUCAUCAUUUUGGAACCUGAUUCAAGCAUUAAUCUUCUAAUUAGCAUCUAAGAAUGCUACUAAAUCCAUCUUUAGAGCUUAAAUGCAAAACCCUAGAGUUCUACCAUUAUAAACCUAGCCUCUACACAUGCUUCAAUUAACCCAAAUUAAAUGGAUUUAACAUGCUAAUCAACCCAUUAGAGGCUAUUAGAACACUAGGAAUUAAGGAUUAAGCCAAAUCCCAAGAGCUUACCCAAAUGUGAACACUGCGACGAAAACAAGCCGCUCCAACGGGCGCACGAAAGCUCGAUCCGUCGCCUCCAACGCGUUCGCAAGCUCGUUCUCUGCCAAUGCCGCGAAUUUGGGAGAGGGAUCUAGAGAGAUGAGAGAGAUAUUUAGAGAGAAGUGGAGCUUUCUCUCUCCCUCACCAUGGUCGCAUGGUGCUUGGAUGGUGGCCGGCUGUGUGGAGAAGAAAAGAAGCCAAUGCUUCUUAUAAUUACACCCCAAAUACUAUUCACAUUCAGGCUGUUUAGCAGUUAGGUCCCGACGGAGCCCUUCUGAUUGUCCGUUUGAGCUCAAAUUUGACAGGCAUGUUCGGUUUUACUUAACUUAACAAAGUAGUGAUCACUCUUCCAGUUUCGACCCCGUUUGGUUACCGAAAGCUGUACCGAAUUGUAAUCUUUAACAGAUAGCUGUGGGAUUUUAUUUUCUACCUUCCGGGUGUCAGAAUGGCAUGAAACUUUAAACCUAGCCUCAUAAAAAUAAUUCUGACAUCUCCGCCAAUUUUUAUAAUUUUCUGAGACUGCGCAUUUUCUGCUAAUUUAUCUGUCCCGUUUCCAACAGAAAAUUCUAAAUCUUCUGUUUUAAUUCCGAUUUCGGCACAAGUCACUUAUGACUUAUGUGUUACUUCUCUAAAUCCAAUAAAAAUAAUUUUUCACACUAUUUUUAUUUAUUUUUUUAUUUUAAUACCAAAAUCUGGUAUGUUACAUUCUCCACCUCUUAAAAAGAACUUCGUCCGCGAAAUUCAAACCACGCCUCAAUUUAACUCCUUGAGCAAUUGAGGAUACCAACUCAUUCUCACACUCCAGAGCGGCUUUAUACCAUCGUGGUUCCCGAAGCGUCUCAUACUGAAGGACGUCGGUUCAAUCCUCGACACAUUUGCAAAGUGUGAUACAAAAAUGCAUCACGGGUCUUGCAAGUCACAGUGGCAGCGCAAGUUGGUGCUCGACGACUCUACGCGCUCCCACGCCACUCGCCAUUCGUUAUGCAAAGAACUCUUCUUUGCAUUCAUCUUUUCUUUAGGAAUUACAUGCCGACUCGAUUACCGACAUUGCUUAGAAGCAAUAUCACCGGUGCAUCGCUUCACUGUGAGAGCUCCAAUCUCAACCGAAUCUUGCUCUACUACGAGAUGGCACACUCCGGCACAUCUCAAUCCUCAAGAGAGCUUUACGUCAUUUCUCGCGUGGCUAUCCAAUACUCAAGUGUCUCAAUGAGACCACUUACUUUCUGUUUUCAUUGCCAUGACCAACCAAUUCGUUCUUACAACGAAUUAAUACGAGCCCUCUGUUCGCUAAUACAAGCCAAACUCAUCCACAGAGUUAUCGGCCAUAACGCUUACUUUGGUUUUCAUAAGUGGACCGAAGGCCACCGAUUCUACGUAGGCCUACCGCCUAUCCCGUCUCCAUACCCGUACCGUCUCUCGCUCUCAAGCGCAGACCCAAUCAUAAUCGGGCGAAAUUCUCAUUUAGGAAUUCGCACACACUCCAAUCAGGAGCAACCAGGAGCCCAAACCACUAUAAAUCCUCGGGUUGGGUCACAACCGAACUCUCGGUAUAUCCUCGAUCUCAAAAUCCAACACGUGGCACUCCACGCUCCCGGGUCUAAGCUCGGACUACCGCCCUGACCAAAACUCCGCCCUACCAGUAGGUACCGGGCCGCUGUCUCUCACAGCUGACUGCGCCUACCCGAAGGGCCCAGGCUCCACAGUCCACCAGUGGUCCAGGCACGGGUCGUCCCCAAGCAUUACCCGUCGUCGUCGUCCUACACGACAUACUCUAUCGAGUCACGCGUACCACUCUCGGCUCCUAAGCACCUAGUGCGAGCCACCAACCCUACAAGUGAUCCAUGGCCCGCUUCACACUUGGCAAUGCUAAAGUGCUAUUGCCAACACACUCACUCGGUUGAAUCAAUCCGCACUCUAUGAGUACCUAUACUCGAACGUCAUACGCCUCUAUAGCGCUUCACACUAAGUCAAGCAUCAGGCAACCAUGCCUAUGCACGCUGAUCGCACGAGCACUACUCACCCACCUGAAUUCGAGGUACCACUAGGCCUCACAUGCCCGUAUUCGGCAACUAAUCGGCCAUUCUCUCAACAGUGAUCUCACUUUCACUGUUCGAUCUACCGGAACGAUAUCUUUACUACUCGGGCUACUUGGGUAUUCUCAAGCAUCUUGGCUCAACUCUCGCAAUCUCCUAUCCAUUGCCUUGAGAGUCGGUCAACCAUCUCCACAUUUACCCCGAGUCUCAUCAUUCGGUUAUCACUAGCAACUUGCUAGUGCCAUCUAGCUCUUUACUUGCACCGGUAGGUGCUACACCUUCACCGCAUAAGCAUACUCGGGCAUUUACACUUACCCGUCCACUUGGUCCCUACUACUCUGACGUAUCAACGGUAGUAAGUGACCGCAUGAUAAAUGCAUGCAAGGUUCCUCGACCAGGGUCGCGUACUCAUGGCCACUCAGUGCCCACCGCGAACCCUCCGGUCGCCACAUUCUCAUCACUCACUCUCCAGACCGUGCUGUAGGUGACGUGCCCACAAGCUGUCUCGGAGAAGAAGAGGCCAUCGCCAACGUCAAGGCUUGGCUCACGCCCACACGAAUGCAUAUCUCAUCACGCAGCACACCCCGCCGCGCCUAGUGAGAACUCUUGCAGUCCCGUAUCUUGGAGAAGUUAACGAAGACACCUCCAAGGUUCGGGAUUGCAAUUGCACUCGAGAAUGUACACUGCCCAAAUUGGGCAAAUCUCGCGGUGGGGGACCGGUCUCUCCGACCUAAGACCGGUCUCCGAGAGCUCCACCCGCGGACUGCGCAGCUUGCGCAUGAUGCAACCGGUCUCACCUGGUGCAACCGGUCUCGAGAGACCGGUCUUUCCCUGUUGGGACCGGUCUCCGAGAGCUGGUCUUCUAGGACUUAGCCGAUUUUCCACUCUGCUCGAUGCCUACGCACACGGAGACCGGUCUCUACCUCUUGGGACCGGUCUCCGAGAGCUAAAAACCUGCAGUUUGGCAGAUUUUGAUUCCCACGCUCUCGAAGAUACCCAAAUAAUGCACUUUUGCAUUAUUUGACGCCUUCGGCCUUUCCGAAACGUACCAACCUCGCACUCUGGUCAAUUUGACCAAGGUUCGAUAUUUAUUUACCGUGUUUUCGGUACGUUACAUUCUCUCCUUCUACAAGGAGUUUCGUUCUCAUUACCCCGCACUAUGUCUGGGAUGCAACUUCUGACACGGGAGAAUUUUCGCUCGUAUUCCCUCACGGCGCGGUCUACCUGCCGCAGCUUCGAGAACCUUUCCUGAAGCUUUUUUUUCCAUCAUCAGAUGAGUAAGCGAAGAAUACUUAUUCCCGAAACUCAUUCCAAACCAUAGGAAGGAGACCAGGCAGUCGAUCCCACUCGACGCUUGUCCACCACACCUUCGCCGACUGUUUGCACGCAACGCAGGGCUAGGUGUACCUUGGCCCACUUAACAGUGCACAGAUCCCCUAAAGGGAGUCUCCAUGAAGUCGAUCCACAACUCCACGAUCAACGGAUUUGCGUCCUCUUGGCAGCCAUCUGCUGACACUACACUAAUUUGGCUCAUUACCCCGCCACUCACACGAGAGUGGCCAACGGCUCGCGAAGUCCCAAGUCUCCGCUUGUUUCGGAUUGCUUAGGGACAACUUGUCCCAUCCCGCGUCGAUCUAAACGAAGAUCGCCUACGCGGCGCUAUCGCUUCCUAAAACGCGGCAACUUCAUUAAUCCUCGACCUUCUAGGUCGAACACGAGACACUUAAUACCGACUCAAAUAGGGCGAAAGUCACGCAAGGGCGCCUAUUCUCAUCACUCGGUUUCAUGUUGUCGUACGCCAACAUGAACAACCUUGGCUGAGAAUAAACCACACCUCGAGUCUACCUCUAAUAUCCGUCUUAGAGGUUUACAACACAACCCAAUCCAUUAUCCUUUCGCCACAAGUCAUAAGUCCUCGUCUCUCACGAGCCUUAUUCUCCUAUGGUUUGCUAUCCUAGGGUCUCUGUCACGCCCGGGUACCAGCGGAAGCAUAUCCGGUCGCGCGCACAGACCGCCGUGUACACCACAACUCAAGUAUACACAAGGCGUCUACAAACCACAUAGUAAAAGCAUAUAAUUCUAACUAGGUAAUCAGAGCAAGACUUAUAAGUUUAAACUUAUACAAUCCAAACCUUAAAACAGGAAAUAAGAACAAAGUACCGUCUACAAAAACUUAAUAUACAUUUCUGUACUACACUAUAUAAACUGCUGGAGGUGAUCUAGUACACGUCCAAAAAGGCUCUAGCUAGUCGCUGACCCAUCGCCAGAAACCCUAGCCUUUCCCGCUGUGGAAGGCUCUGUAAAAACAACAACAAAGAGGGCGUGAGAACUAUUAAACAAUAGUUCCCAGUGGGUAAGCCGCCGAGAGUGGCGAAGUACACCACUAGGUCAACUGUGGCAUGAGUAGAUAGCAAUAAAUAAGCGGGUAAAUGCAGAUAAUUAUGCAACAGAUAUGGAAGUAAACUACUCAUGCUAUUUGCUCAACCAUAAAUAAAUAACAAUAGAUUGCAGGUAUCAGUUAUCAUGAUAGAUUCUAUCAAUCAUAUUACUUGACAAUUUAACCAAACAUAUAUCAGAAUGUAUGCAAGAUAAUUCACUUUACUAAAAUUACAGAUGAUAUCAUGUAAUUACCUUGUUCCAUAGCAAGAAAGAGACAUAAUGUCAUUCAUUAUGUUGCUAACCAAUCAUGAUGUCAACUUCUAGGUUAUUCAUCGCUAGGCUCACUUUAGAUGUCAACUUUCUAGUAUGUUCAUCAAUAAGUUCACUUAACCAAAGACAUAAAGUAACUGUACUACUAUGUCCAGCUAAGGUUAAAGUACUUGACAUAACCCAAUUUCCAACAGACUUACACAAGGUAAGUUCAAGCCGCGCCGUGCCUAAUGGCCCCGUGGUAGUCAACAUCCCCACUCGAGGAAUGAGCCUCCCCCACGGCAUUCCAUUUCGGCGCUCACUUUGUACAUUUGCGAGCAUCUGUCGCUAAGCUGUUCGGGAGUGCUGGCUUGGGAGGGAGCGACCCCGCAAGCGUGUGCGAACGCGCACAAUGGUAUGCAAACCGUAGUCCAUAGUACCAAUCUCACAACAGCAUCAUGUCCCUGACAUGGUGUCUCAACUCGAGCCACUCCGGAACGCGGGGCUUGGGGGGGCGCGACCCCCGCAAGCAUGUACGAAAGAGCAUAAUGGCAUGCUAGCUAUAGUCCAGGGUACAAAUAUCUCAACGACAUCAUGUCUCUGACAUGGAAUCUCAACUCGACCCAAGGUCGGCACUGUAGUACCCAAUCAUAAGUCACUAUCAACAACUUGUUGAUAUGAUUCUACCAAUAACUAGUAUAACUUGACAAGUUAAGGCUUUACAUCACACUCGUGACUCUAUCAGGCUAUACCUGGUCAGUGAUUCACAACCUCUCACUACUCCUUACACAUAAGGAAAGUGGUUUGCUAAUGUUCUGUUCAAAGACUCAUGGCACAUAUCCUGUAGUUCAAUAUAAAUCUCUACUUGACUAUACAAGUAUGUUAUCAUAUCCAAAUCUAGUUAUCUACUAGAUUAUAUUCAGUUGUAUAACAUUCAAGUUAUGCCAUCUUAUGAGGUUCUAGUUACUUACUUGAACAUAUAUCAUAAUACAAGUCUAUCAUGUGAAAGCAUGAGCGAUAACUACUCUUCACGUGAUCUCUAUGCCAUUCCUUCUACAAUUAGAAAUGCAUAUGCAAUCAAAGGUCUUUACCUGAUCUAUCAGAGUAUAGCAAUCAUACUUGCUAUAUAACAGUGCAUAGCCCAAUCCUAAAUACAUCAAUCUAACACUGCAUAUGCAAGCUACUAGUAUCAUGAACACGUAGUACUUUAACAACAUGUAACCAUAUAGAGUGAACAAGUCACGAAUCUUUCAUUACUGUUUAUCAUAUCCGAUAUGAUCUACACAUCAAUGCAUGUCGCAUGAACUAUACAUAUAUGCACAUGAAUAAGGAAUAACUUCAACUCAGAUGUCAAAGGAGACAUAGAGAAAAUUCACCCAUUUCGGGAAGGUCCGACCCACCUAUCCCCAAGCUCAAUCCAGCCAAUAGAAGUCCCGAACUCAGCUCAGCGGAGCCCCAACUCUGCUGAAAACAAAACACGGAAGGCGCAUCAAACUACGACCGAAAUGUCCAAUUUCGGCACACAUUGUACGUAGUACAAAGUAAUAACUUAAAUUCCUGUUUGGGCUCAGUUCAAUACCUCAAGUUUAGAAGCCAAAAGCUCUCACAUCACAGCCGACGAUAAUCCGAAGGUCAAUCGCAAGCUCGCUGCGAACAAUCGCCACAACGGCAUCAAUAUAGUCGAAUUCUUGCAAUUUCAGUUUUCUAACUGAAAUCCUUGCUUACCUCAGGUUAGAGUACCUUCUAAACCAGCCUCCUAGGUCACCAAAAUUGCCUAAUAAAUCGGAAACCUGCUGUGAACAAACAAGUCCAAACUGCAUAAAGUUACACAAUUAAUCCUCGUUUGGUUCCGAAAUCGAGUCAAUAGUCAACUAAUUACCUUGGCUAAGCCUCAAGCCAGCUUUUCCCUGAUUUAGACAGAGGAAUAAUAGCAAAAUAACUCCUCUUUAGCUGUUGGAAUUGCCCUCUAACUCAGCUGGGAGCAACAAGACCAAAACCACUCAAAAUCCGACACUAAACGUCCAAUUAGAGGAGGUUUAAGCUAUAUACCUUUCAACAGCUGCAACUCAGCUCUUUCUGGGGUUAAGAUCCCAGAAAAGUCAAUAAAUAUCCUCCUCCCCACGUUCUAAAAGCUUUCCUUGACUCUCCGAACCAGCGAGCAACGAGUGCGGCGCGAAAACGGCGCGAAUCGGCGGCUUUUCUCUAGAGAGAGAAAAACCCUAGAGAGAGAGAAAGAGAGAAGGUGAAAGAAGCUUCUCUGAACUCAAGCNCUUGUGAACGUUGACAUUGAUUUGUUCGAUAUUUACACUCUCGGGGCAAAAUUGAACAAUAUAAUUAAGUUUUACACUUUGUUUGAUUGAAUAAGAAAAAGAACUCGUUGCAAAGUUAUAAUGUUAGGUCGUAACCGAGUAGUCUAAUAUUUUUCCGGUUUUGGUUCUUGUGAAUGCGAACAUCGUUUCGUUCCACUAUUACACUCACGGGGCAUAAUAGAACAAAAUAAUUAGCUUUUACUUUUUGUUCGAUUGAAUAAGAAAAAGCACUCGUUGCAAAGUUAUACUGUCACGACCCGCGACCACUCGCCAAUUUGGCCGGGUCGCGGCGCCGCCGACAGACCGCCGAACGGACAGGGUUUCUCCUGUACACGGACAGAGUCUCCUCUGUACAUUCAAGGAGUCGCAACCUGUACAAUACAAAGAGUUCCAACCAGGAACAGUAUUCAAGCAAGGAUUGCAUAAGGGAGUAUCGAAAACAUAAACACCUAGAUCACAUUCAUUCAUUUUUACAUCACAUUUUCCUUUUUUACAUUUAACUUUCAAAUUACAAUCUAGAUAUUACAAUUUAUACAACUUGCUUCUUUUCGUUCUUUUCAUCCCUAAGUGAAGCCGACUCAGGGUACCGCUAUCUCUGGUCUCGGUGGUAGGGCGUUAACUAUGGAGCUACGCCCUCGCCUCGCGCCGCCGCGCCGCUCACGUGUGAACCUGUAGCACCCCAAAACAACGUGGGGUGAGAACUAUAUAAAUAUAGUUCCCAGUGGGUACGGCCACCCAAGGAAAAAGCUCGAUUAAUAUGUCCAAGGGAGGCGCUGCAACAUGUUAGUCCAAUAGAUAUCCACAAAUAAUAUUUAUGCAAAUAUUAAAUACAUGUUCAUGCCUCACAAAUGCAAUAUGUAAAUCAUGCAAGUAGAUUUAUUGAUUCUACUCUCUAUUAUUUACCAUUCUUUAUAUUAUUAGCAAUCCUUUAUUACUUAGUCAUUCUUUACUUUUAGUCAUUCUUUAUUCUUAACCACACGAUGGUCCUUUGCCAAUGCUCUUCUAAGGUCACUCUUACCUUAGCCAACUAUGCCAAUUAUCAUGAUCAAGACCCAAUCCUCUCGGCUAACCCGUAGGUUUCGCCUCAAAUCUCUGCUAUCGGGGAGAUACCCGCUACAACCCGACGGGACCGUACUCUGAGGAGAUACCAGCUACAAUCCAGUGAACCAAAACUACCAACCCAAAUCCCUACUAUCGGGGAGAUACCCGCUACAACCCGACGGGACCGUCCUCUGGGGAGAUACCCGCUACAACCCAGUGAUGACAACUUCGGAGCUCAUCGCCCGAGAGGGAGCUACCACCCUCGAGCAAGGACUAACAGGUGAGUAUGAUCUAUGAUCAAAUCCAUAAUCUUGAGGAUGUCAAGUUCAAUCCAUUCCUUAACUAUAAGGAUGCCAUGUCACAUACGUCAUUUUCUUGCAUUCUUUACUUUCAUGAUGCCACACACACAAAGUGUUUUUUUAACUCUUAUUAUGCCUUCAUUGUCUUUUUAAUGCCAUACACACACUAAGGCUGCGUUUGGUUCAGGUAUAUGUAAGAACUGCUUGUUCCAGGGAUAGGUACAAGUUCAGGUAUAAGCAGGAACUAGACCAAUUUUACGUUUGGAUGAAAAUUGAGUUGUUCCUAGGAAUAAGAUAAAUAGCGUUUGGAUGGUUAAAUUGGAACAAAAGGAAUAAAAGUUAUAAUUUGAAAUUAACAUUAUAUUAUCUAAUUAAUUAAUAUCAAAAUAUUACUUAAAAAUAAAUAAUAAAUAAAUUAUUAAUAAAUAAUUAUAAAUAAUAAUAAUUAUUAAUUAUUAAUUAUUAAUUAUUAUCAUUAAUUAAUUAUUAUUAAUUAUUUAUAAUUAUUUAUAAGUAAUAAAUUAAUUAAUUAUUAAUAAAUUAUUAAUAAUUAUUACUUAAUUAAUUAAUUAUUAAUAACUAUUAAUAAUUAUUUAUAAGUAAUAAAUUAAUUAAAAAUAAUUAUCUAAUUAUUAAUAAUUAAUUAUAAAUCAUUAUUAAUAAAUAAUAAUAAUUAUUUAAUUAUUAAUUAUUAAUAAUAAAUUACUAAUAAUAUCGAUUAUCUAAUUAAUAAGAAUAAUUAUUUUAUUAUUAAUUAUUAAUUAAAUAAUAAUAUUAAUAAUUAAUUAUAAGUAAUAAAUUAAUUAAUAAUAAUUAUCUAAUUAUUAAUAAUUAAUUAUAAAUAAUAAAUUAAUAAUAAUAUCGAUUAUCUAUUUCUUAAGAAUAAUAAUUAUUAAUAAUUAUUAUUUAAUUAAUAAUUAUUAAUAAAUAAUAAUUAUUAAAUUAAUAAUUAUUAUUAUCUAAUUAUAAAUAAUUAAUUAUAAUUAAUUAUUUGUUUAUUUAUUUUAUUAUUUAAGCAAUAGAUAAUAAUUCAAAUAUAUUAAUUAGAUUAAUUAAUAAUUUACUAUCAUUAAAAUUUAAAUUUAUAUUUAAUUAACCUUGUUCUCAUUCGGGAACAAGCCUGUUCCAGAAAAAAGGUGGAACAGCAGUUCCAGCUAGUUCUAGUCUUAUACCAGCUAGUUCCAGAAACCCAGGAACUACUGUUCUCGGUUACCAAACGCUGCGUUUGGGAACAAAGGGGGGAACAAGGGCUUAUUCUCCCUCUUGUUCCCGAACCAAACACUAUAAGUGUUCGUACUUUCCAAUGUCAAGUUCUUUACUCUAUUUAAAUUAUCGUCCCAAAUGCACAUUCAUAUGAAUCUACCAUAUUCUCACAUUAUGUCAACAUACAAGUGUUCUUCAACAUUUCCUACACAUGUUUGCAUUCUUAUCAAAAUAGUAAUCAUUAUACAUUUGGCACAUAACUCAUACAUUCUUUAUUAGUAUAUAUCUAUACAUUCAUUUCUAAAACAUACAUUGUCAUUCAAGAUAGUCAGUACUUAGCAUCUCAUGCUUUUUUUAACCUCUACCAUAUGCAUUCUUAAUUAACAUAAAUCUCAUUAUUCAUUUCAUUUCAUUGGUAGGUAAUCUCAACUACAUAAUAUGUUUCAAGCAUUCAUAUUAUCAUGUAAGCCUACCAAUACAACUAUAUGCAUCAAUGAUAAACAUUUAUCUUAGACAUACAGGCAACCUAGUCGCUUCGGUAAACACAACCCACCUGUUAUCGCAUUCCGAUUGCUUGUCGACACUUGCAAUCGGCCUCCCGCGGCACCCGUAACCCGGUUCGGCCCGGACUCUCGCGCGACAACCCGAACGGCCUCCAAUCCACGAUCCGGAAAUUAAAGGUCUUCGGUUAUGCGCCACGGUGUUUCAAAUCCGUUUUCAUGAUUUUACGACGUCGCCUCGGCCCUCCCGGCGGAAACGAAGCCUAACGUCCGUUUCUUUAAUAACUUCGCAACGGCUCGACGGACUGCCGAAUCGACUUCCCCAACGCGUUCGUUUACCUAGCAAUUAGGUUUACGGAUGGUCAAAUGAGAUCAAACCCUACAAUUUUACAAAACUCCAUUUUGGAGCCCUAGGUUACAACUAUGCAAGAAAUCAUCAUUUUGGAACCUGAUUCAAGCAUUAAUCUUCUAAUUAGCAUCUAAGAAUGCUACUAAAUCCAUCUUUAGAGCUUAAAUGCAAAACCCUAGAGUUCUACCAUUAUAAACCUAGCCUCUACACAUGCUUCAAUUAACCCAAAUUAAAUGAAUUUAACAUGCUAAUCAACCCAUUAGAGGCUAUUAGAACACUAGGAAUUAAGGAUUAAGCCAAAUCCCAAGAGCUUACCCAAAUGUGAACACUGCGACGAAAACAAGCCGCUCCAACGGGCGCACGAAAGCUCGAUCCAUCGCCUCCAACGCGUUCGCAAGCUCGUUCUCUGCCAAUGCCGCGAAUUUGGGAGAGGGAUCUAGAGAGAUGAGAGAGAUAUUUAGAGAGAAGUGGAGCUUUCUCUCUCCCUCACCAUGGUCGCAUGGUGCUUGGAUGGUGGCCGGCUGUGUGGAGAAGAAAAGAAGCCAAUGCUUCUUAUAAUUACACCCCAAACACUAUUCACAUUCAGGCUGUUUAGCAGUUAGGUCCCGACAGAGCCCUUCUGAUUGUCCGUUUGAGCUCAAAUUUGACAGACAUGUUUGGUUUUACUUAACUUAACAAAGUAGCGAUCACUCUUCCAGUUUCGACCUUGUUUGGUCACCGAAAGCUGUACUGAACUGUAAUCUUUAAUAGAUAGCUGUGGGAUUUUAUUUUCCACCUUCCGGGUGUCAGAAUGGCAUGAAACUUUAAAUUUAGCCUCAUAAAAAUAAUUCUGACAUCUCCGCCAAUUUUCAUAAUUUUCUGAGACUGCACAUUUUCUGCUAAUUUAUCUGUCCUGUUUCCAAUAGAAAAUUUUAAAUUUUCUAUUUUAAGGCACAAGUCACUUAUGACUUAUGUUUUACUUCUCUAAAUCCAAUAAAAAUAGUUUUUCACACUAUUUUUAUUUAUUUUUUUUAUUUUAAUACCAAAAUCUGGUAUGUUACAUGUGGCAUGUAAAGAAUCCUAAGUGUGGAUAACUAGGAUAACAAGAAUCAUGAGUGGCAUUGAAUCUAGUGUCAUUGAACAUAGGUGAAUCAUGAGUGGCAUUAAACCUAGUGUUAUUGAACAUAGGUUGAGAAUUGAACCUAGAGUCGAGUGGACCUAGGAUGGAAAGGACAUUGGACCUAGUGUUGAGUAAACCUAGGUUAUGAGUUGUUAUGGAUCAUGGCAGUAGAGUGACCACUAGGAUAUGUAUAGCCAAACCUAAAGACGGUGAUGACAUAGGGUAAAACCAACCCUUGAGAUAUGAAAGUGUAAUAUACCGGAUUUUUUUUAAUAUAAAAGUAGAUGUAAAUAAAAAUAGUGUAAAAUACUAUUUUUAUUGGAUUUAGAGAAGUAAAAUAUAAGUCGAAAAUGACUUGUGCUGAAAUCGGAACUAAAACAGAAGAUUUAGAAUUUUCUGUGAGAAACGGGUCUGAUAUUUUAGCAGAAAAUGUACAGUGUCAGAAAAUUAUGAAAACUGGAGAAUAUAUCAGAAUUACUUUUAUGAGGCUACAUUUAAAGUUUCAUGUCAUUAUGACACCCGGAAGGUGAAAAAUAAAAUCCGAUUGUUAUCUGCUAGAGAUUACAGUUCGGUGAGCUUUCGGUGAUAAAAAAUGGUCCAAAUUUAAAUUUUAAGAUAUUUUUUUAUCCUUAUUAAUGUUAAUCGAGCCUGAUUGCCAAAUUUGAGCGUAAACGGAGGCUCCGGCGAUAGGUUUCAGAUUCUGAAUUGGGAACCGUAUUAUAGAAAGAAAUUUCGACUUUUGUGGAGGGGUAAGUUGUAAUUUUUUUCUGAUCUUAUCUACAACCUAGCCCUCCACUAGCUGCUUGCGUACAGGGAGGUAUUUCUCUCCUUCUAUCUCUUUCUUUUGUCUCUUUCUCUCUCUCUCUCUCUCUCUAAUCGUGUGAAGUAGAAUGAUGGAGAUGUUGGUGAAGUAGUGUGUGGAGCUAAGAAGGAUUUCAGCAGCAGGUUAUUUUGGUGGAGUAGAGAAAUUUGAGGUAAGUUGUGUUAAAGAUAUGCCUUCUUUUUUGGUUUGGUUCAUACACCGGAUUUAUGGAAAAAUAAAAAGGAUCUCAUAAGGAUUUAUUUUUGGUGGAUCCUAAUUUAAAUUGGAAUCCUAGAUAGACUAGGAUUGGUUUCCAUAUAAUACUCUAUAUUCAAUAAUCAUAUUGAAUUAGAGUAGGAUUGAGCCAAAUCCCUCUCUAUAUAUACAUGCAUAUGCAUGUACGGCUUGGUGAGGCGUGUGGUUAAAUUAAUUAGCAUUCACAGUCCGGCUAAUUAAUACACGGUGUCUCCUGUGGCCAUACGGGCGGAAGAGGCUGAGGAAGAGGCUUAAUUAAUUAGCCAUCGUGGACCGUACGGCUUCGGGUGCAUAGAAGCAAAUUAAUUAGCAUAAGGUGUAUUGGCUAAUUAAUUAACAUAGCACCAUCCGUACGGCAUAAGAAGGCUGCACCUUUGCAUGCGACGUCGGAUCGGAGUCGGCAGCAGGAGCGACGGUUCUCGACCAAUUGCCUGAGCGGUUCGGAUUCUUCGAAGCAACGGCAUAAAGGAAUUUGGUUAGAGUUUCUAUACUUCUCUAAUUUUGGUCUUCUCGGUUUUACGAAAAGCAUUUUCUGGUAUUUUCUUGGAGUUUUCGUUGGAACAAGAAAAUGUGGAAUUCACUAUAAGGUUCUUGGUUUUUUUAUCCGAAGAAGACAUAAGGUGUAAGCUUGUACUUCUAUUUCUUCAUAUAGUGGAAUACAUCUCUCUCGCUCUUCCCGUGGACGUAGGCAAUUGCCGAACCACGUAAAUCUUGGUUUCUUCUUUCUGCAUUUAUUUCUUUUACCGUUCGGUCGAUUUUCUCUAUUUUUCGUGCAUCUUUGUUGGUAGCACAUGACGGACGAUCCAUCCGGUUCCCAACAAGUUGAUGAUGCCUUUUUGGUUAGAGAUUAUCUUAAUUACCUUAGAAAGAGAUUAAGCCUUGGUUUCUUAGGUGCUAGAAGUGUAGCUGCCAUAGAAACCUAAGGAAGAAGCUUUGAAUGGAGUUGAAAGAUUGGAGGAAUUAAAGUUCUCGGCUGAGAGGAAAGUUCUUUGAGCAGAAAAUUUGGCCCGUUGGAGAGGAAAACUUGAGGUAAGAUGGCUGUGAUUUCUUGCUUAGAAUUGUGCUACUUACCCUAGAAAGGUUUGGAUAACAGAUGUUUUAUAGUUACUAUAACUUAUAUUACUAUGUGAACGUAGAAAUGAUGUUAUAAGCAGCUUGUGUAUAUAAGUUUGGGUUGAAGUAAAACUUGGGCUGUACUUGUCAGAAUUUAUGUUGCUUAACCUAAAGGAGAAAUUAGGUUAGAGUUUCUUAGGUUCUAAGCUGAAAUUGCCAUGAAAGCAAUCUAAAUUAAGCUAAUUGUUGUAUGUAUAUAUGUGAAAUAAGUAACCUGAGAUAAGUGGAUUUUAAUUCUUGAUUAGAGUUAUAGUAUUUACUUUAUAAAAGGAUUUCUUAAUUGCUAGAGUUUGAAGCCGCCAUGAAACCUAGAGAACAAACCCUAUGUUAUGCGUAAAAUGUCGGAUUUUCGACUACGCGGCUAAUUGUGAUCAAAUUGAUCAAAAUAAUGAGAAAAAGGAAAUUGGGUUGCUUCCGAGCUUAAUUGGUAGCUUUGGCAUAGCGUUUAGUACGUUUUGGAAGUGUUUGGAUGGACUCGGAAAGAACUAGAUGUGCAAAAGGGGCUGAAAACUGCUGCUGUCGGCUAUUGUUUAGUGCAGGGACUGAUUUGUAAACUGUUGGACUACAAUGCAGUUUUAGUCUUUUGAGGGGUUAAGAGGGCUUUAAAACAGGGUUUUUGUUGUGGGAGCUGAAAGCAACCGGUGGAACAUCGAAUUAAGGUAAAUUUGAUUAAAGAUUCAGUUAAUUACCUUUGGAGAAUAGUUAACUUGGAGUUCUAUAUAGUGUAUAAGUUGUGGAAAUGUGAAAAUUGCAUUGUGAAUCUUGUGUAGAUAAACUGAUUAGAGAAAAACUAGGGGGAAUUAAAUGUAUUCCCUGGUUUCGAUGACUUCCUUUGUUGUAUAGGAGGGUUAAACCAAGAGUUUCUAAGUAGUUGUAAAUUGUAGUAGUGUAGAAAAGCUGUAAAGAAGUAAAUUAUCAAAAUACGAGAGUUUGACUUUGUCCUGGAUCGACUAUUUGUCGAAUGGGAUGGCUUCGAAGAAGCCCAAGAUGUUAAAACGGGCCAAAGCGCGUUAACAUGGGGUCUACGAGAGCUUGGAGGCAAAAAUCUGCAAAUUGCAUAUUUUCAGCUCCAGGAGACCGGUCCCAAGUGGGGCAGACCGAUCUCCGCGCGCGCAGGUAGCCCAAACCGAGAGGGGGCAGCUCUUGGGUUUCAGCCUCCACGCAGAGGCAGACCGGUCCCAAGGGGGCAGACCGGUCUCGGAAGACCGGUUUCACCGGAGGGAGACCGGUUGCUACGCGCGUGAGCCCUGCCAGCCGAGAAGGCAGCUCUCGGAGACUUGUCCCAAGCAGCAUGAGACCGGUCUCCCAGGCCGCGAACAGCCCAGUGAGGGCGGUGCACAGGAUGAAACGUUGAGGGGCUAAAGUGAAUUUUGUUACAUUAGAAGGGUAUGUAGGCCCUCUCCCCCUCUCACUCUCUCUCAUUCCCAUCUCUCUCUCUCUCUCUCAUUCUCUUGCUCUAUCUCUCUAGAAGGAAAAGAAAGAGAAGACCUAGGAGAGGAAGAAGAAGGAAAAGAGAGGAGAAAAAGAAAAAAGAAAGAAAGGAGAAGAAGAAGGAGAGCAAAGAGGAGGACUUGGACCUCUCCCUCUCCCUCUCCCUCUUUUUUUCUCUUUGGAGCUAGCACAAGAGGUAAGCCCUAACCCUAGCUUUUGUAAACUUAGGGUUUUUGGGUUUUGAGCUUAGAAAUGGGUCAAAUGGACCCUUAGCAAGCUUCCAAAUAGAUCAAUCCUAAACUCUAGGGUUUUGAAAGAGAGGUUUGCUAUAGGUGCAAACCUAAGGCUCCAAAUUGGGGUCUUUGAUAAAUGAGGAGAUUGAUCUCAUUUGGUGGCUUGUAAACCUAAUUGGCGGGUGUCUAAACGCGUUGGGGAAGUCGGAAUUUCGAUUCGUCGAACGGAUAAAAACAUAUGAGCAAAAUGAUGUUGAUUAUGCUUCGUUUCGACCUAGGAGGCCGAGACUUCGAGGAAGCAAGUGCCGUGGAUCAUCCUUAGGACCUCUACGACGAAAGUAGCGAACGCGAGGUGGGGGGGUGUCAUCCCGAAGCUACCGAACCCUUUUCUAUGUCUUAGAACUAUUAGAAAUUUCAUCUCUUGCAUGUUGCAUUGUAGGGUUGCAUCGUAGUACCUUUCCUUAUGCUUUUCAAUGUUAACCUAGUGUAUAUGGAAUACUUGGUGAAAAAUGAAUAGGUAAGGAUUGGGUCGGAACAUGGAUCCUAUAGUGCUAAAAGAAAGAGAUGACUCGAGGUUAUGUGUUGACAUAGAAAAUGACAUGGUAUGUUUAAAGAACAUAGAUCGAGUGGCAUUGUAUGUUUAAAGAACAUAGAUCGAGUGGCAUUGUAUGUUUAAAGAACAUAGAUCAAGUAGCAUUGUAUGUUUAAAGAACAUAGAUCGAGUGGCAUUGACAUAGUGUACUUGACACUAGAGGUCGUGGACAUAGGGAUAGGUGAAUCCCUUAGAAAAUACCUUGUGAACAAUGAAUUUAAUUGAGCUAAAUACUGUUGCAUGUGUAUCGGAAUAGAGUUCCGAAAUAUUGUUAGCCCUAGUUUGUAGGGUAUCUUCACUUGGAGAGGAUAGAUCUACCUCACAGUCUACUACUUUGGGAUGGUAUAGCCAUUCAUAUCCUCACAUAGAGAGGAUGGUCGUCGAGUACUCCGGAGUGUCAGGCGAUAGGGACCACAUGGAGGUCCGUAGACAACCCCGGGUUUUGUGAGCACAUGGAGCUCCUCACCCAACGGGGGGUGUGCGUGAGGCGUAGGCAAACCCAAGGGUUGUGCCAUGGAUUGGGUAAAUGUAAAGUUAAUGUGUCAUCGAACAUUAUUAUCGCAUUGAACAUUGUAUAUCGAACAUGGAUCGAUUUGGUAGCAUGAUAGUAUCCUUUUACUAUGUGAUGCAUGCAUUCAUAUCUACAUGAUCAUGGGCAUAGUAGCAUAGUUUACUUUAUGCUUUUACUGCUUUGAAAUAUCAAUCUAUUUCGUUGUUGCUUAUGCCCACUUGGACCUAGUGGAGAGAUCGGCAGAGUCGGCGGCCGAGCCCACUGGGAACUAUGGAAGAUAGUUCUCACCCCACUAUAUUUUCAGUGGUAGGUACAGGUUUGCCAGGCGAGGACCGCGGCAAGGGCAUCGUGCCCGACCAGUGAGUUCGUGGUAGAUAGUAGCUUUCCUUUUUGCAUUUAGUACACCUAUGUAUUUAUGAAAGAGACUCAUGUAGGUGAGGUUGGAGAGCUAUGUAUUCGAUGAACAUGUGCCUAUUUUGAGGAAAUGAUGUAAAUGUUAAAGAUUGCAAAUUAUUGUAAUAGCUAGUAAAGUAUUCUCUUUAUUUUCACUUGUAUUUACUUGUGGAUUACUUGCUCUUUUGUUGUAGUUGGCACUAUUUGUGCCCAAGCGAUCAUAUAUGUUGAAUUUAGUUUUCCUGGGUAAAUUCUUGUAUAUGAUCAGGUUUGAGCCUUGGGCGGACAGGGGAGGUUCUAUCCGUUCGGCAUCCGCUUGCCGCGCCCGAAACGCGCCAAAUUGGUAGUGUUUUCGGGGCGGGGCGUGACAGAAGCAUUGAGAUUAGGUUGAAAUCAACAUGAAUGUACAUAUUGAUAUAGAUGUAUGUGCAUAGUGUUAGAAGUAGAAACCAGAACUUGGUUGAUCCUAUACCGUGUUUAAUUAUGUUAGUAUAUUCAGUCCAGGAAAGAGUUUAAACUAUAGAUUUUGAUUAUUAAGCCCAAAUGCUGAAAACUCGAUAUAGAACUAGUUUAUACUAUAGAUGUGUGUGUAUAUGUAUAUAUACAUAUAGAUGUAUAUGUGCCUAGUGUUAAGAUGGAAAAACUGAAUUAAGAGAGGUUGAAAUUAUGAAUUAGGAUGACUUAAUUACUGCAUAGAGAAGUUAAGCUAUGCCUAAUGCAGUUUAUAGAGUCAGAAUGAUAAUAUGUAACCUAUGGUAAGCUAUAGGUGAUAUAGUGGAUAUGUGACUUAUGAAUUAAAGUAAAACCUGUGGCAGAGCUUGUGAUGUUAACUAUUAAGAUUGAUGGUUACUACCCUAAAGAGAGUUAAUUAUGAGUUGUUUUAACUUCUGUAUCCGAACUGCCAUAGGGAAUUUAAUAGAAGAUUAUAUGUAUAGAGGUAUUGGCACUAUUCAUAUAUAUAUAUAUAUAUAUAUAUAUAUAUACUAUAUAUAUAUAUAUACUAUAUAUAUAUAUAUACUAUAUAUAUAUAUAUACUAUAUAUACAUUCAUAGAAGAAUAAAAGAUAUUAUAUUUAAGUACAUUCUUAUUUUUACAAAUUCCAUUUAACUUUAACAUAUAUAUAUAUAUAUAUAUAUAUAUAUAUAUGUUAAAGUUGAAAUGCGAAGUUUGUAAAAAUAAGAAUGUGACUUAAAUAUAAUAUCUUUUAUUCUUCUAUGAAUGAAGGUUAAACGUGCUCAGAAGCUUAGAUUGGUAUUCCGACGGUCCUACGGCGCACUAAUUACGAUAGACGUCGUUCUAGCUUUAUUCGCAUCAAGUCACGAGGACUUGAUAGUUGUGAGCUCCAAGACAUUGGUUCUAGUCUUCGGCAUCCCUACAGGUGGGUGGUGCUAUCCGAAAUCUUCGAAUCCCUCUUUAUGUCUAUGUUACCUUGUUGAGCAUAUCUGUAUAUGAAUCAUAUAAUAUUCAUGCAUUAUAGGGUAAUUGGCAUUGUGUAGUUAUGAAAUGAACAAUUGGACAAAUUUUAUUGUUCAGAACAUGUGAACCAUAGAGUGUGGACAUAUAACCCUAUGAAUGUGUGAAUUUAUUGUGGACCAUGACAAUAGUAAAUUUGGUGACAUUAUGACUAGAGAAUUGGUUAGCUUCAAGAUUGGAAUUGUAAAACUAGCAUAAAGAGCUAGUUAGAGUUAAAGUGUGGCAUUGUCAAUGUAUCCUCUAAGCGAGGAUUAGAUCAUACUCACAUAGUCUGUUCUUAGCUUGGCGGUGGUCGCUCCACCCAAGCAGUGCACUCCGGAGUUGUCAUACAAUGGGCUAACGUACUUGCCCAUGGACUAACGUACUUGUCGAGCAGACGGUCCCGUCGGGUUAGUAGCGAAAUUCUCCCCAAUAUUAGAGAUUUUUUGGUAAGUUAUAGUUGACCAAAUGGUUAACCAGUUUGAUUGGAUAAUAAUGAUUAACAACAUGCAUGCAUCAAUUUCAUAUGUUAAUUACUGUUUAUUUUAGCUUGUACAGGCAUUGUAGUAGUUACAUGUAUAGCUGGUUACUAUUUACUCUCUUUUCUUACCUACAUAUGCCUGAAUAGACCUAGUGGGUGAGUCAACGAGGUCGGCGGCCGAACCCACUGGGAACUUCCAGUAGUUCUCACCCCACUAACCAUACAGAUUCUAGCUGAGCGGGUUGGUUAAGGAUCGUGACUUGGACAGCGCUCCAUAGAUAGUGGACAUCCAUUGAGUAUAGUAUACCUUGUACAUUUCAUCUAUUUAUAGUUGAUGAAAGCAAAUGUAAAUUAUUCAAUUGAGAGAUGGUAAUUGUAUAUCUAUUGAAGAAUGUACGUAUGUGAUCAAAUGAUAAGCUUUGUAUUUGAUUUAAAGUAAUCAAGAUACAAUCUAUGAAUGUUUUAGUUAGUUUACUUUCACUUGUGUUUGUUGCUUGCCCUUGUGCAAGCCAUGUAUAUUGAAAUUUUUUCUGAGCAUUUUUUUUAUACAUGUAGCUGUAAUUGUUGAGCCUUGGGCGGACAAGGAAGGUGCUGUCCGUUUGGCGUCUGUGCACGGGUCCGGAUCGACCAAAUUGGCGAUAGCGGGACGUGACAGAAAGUGGAUUCCGGAAUCCCGGCUGCGAGUGCAGCGGCUGCAAGUGCAGUGUAUGAGACUUGCAACUAAGUGCAAGUGAAUCAUAAGUGCGGGUAUGUGUGGUUCUCCUUGUCCGACAGUGAUUCAACAGGUAUGUGUGGUUUUCUUCGCCCGGUAAAAGAGAAUAUUGAGCGCUACGGUGCGUGUGGCAUAUUCCCCUCCCACCGGAAAGAUUCCUGACCACCGGUGUGCACAGUUCUUCGCGACCCGUUGGAAGAUGUGGUUUGUGGAUUGAAGGCUGAGGUGUAUGUGAGAGUUCCUUCAUCUCGAGCCUGACAGAGCGCAGAUUAUCUGCGGAUGAUUGACUCAAGAGCGUGUCGAGUGGCAUAGUUGACUAAGGUAAAAGUAACUUUAGGAAAAGAGUGGCAAUGAGCAUAGUGUGGCUAAGGUAAAAUAACCUUAGGAAAGAAUGAGAACGACUAGUAAUAAAAAAUGUCAAAGAAUAAAGAAUUGCAAGUAGUAAAGAAUGGCUAGUAAUAAAGAAUUACAAAUAAUAAAGAAUGACAAAUGAUAGAGGGUAGAAUCAAGUGAUCUACUAGCAUGAGUUGCAUGAUUCGCAUAUAGCAUGUUGUGAGGCAUACGCAUGUAUUUUAAGUACUUGCAUAUAUUAUCUAUGGAUAUCUGUUGUCCUAACAUGUUGCAGUGCCUUCUUUGAACCUGGUGGGUCGAGCUCUUCCCUUGGGUGGCCGUACCCACUGGGAAUUAUCCGUAUAGUUCUCACCCCACGUUGUUUUGGGGGAUUUCAGGUUCACACGCGAGUAGUGUGGCAGCACGAGGAAAUGGCGUACCUCAGUAGAUAGCGCCCUACCACCGAGAUCAGAGAUAGCAGUACCCUGAGUUAGCUUAACUUAGGGAUGUAAAAAUAAAAGCGAAGAACCAAGUUGUAAUAAGUUGUAAUAAUCUUGUUAAAGCUAGAUUGUAUUUGGAAGUUAAAAGGAAGUAAGAAUGUAGUAUGUGAGUUGAAUGUUUGUAAUAGUUAGCAAAUAUAUUUUUGAUACCUUCCUUAUGAAAUUCUUGUUUGAAUGCUGUUCCUGGUUGGAACCUCGCGCAUUGUAUGGAUUGAGACGCCUUGGACGUAUAGGGGAGACUCUGUCCGUUCAGCGGUCUGUCGGCAUGCCUGAACCCGACCAAAUAGGCGGGGUUUGGGGCGUGACAGCUGUGGUUUUGUGCCGGUGGGUGAGCAUACUGUGGCACUACCUGUGGUCUUCAGACCUAUAUGGCGAGGUGUUUCGAUAUCAAUUUCAUACAGUUGAUGCAUUGUCUAUUGUUUACAGUAGCGGUAGGUGAUUAUUGUUGGUCUUAUCUAAAUUUCUUUAUUCGCUAUUGUACAUGAUUAUCUAUCUAUCUCAGUUGUUUUUCUCUUGCUAGUGAGUAUAUUUGCUCUCGUCGGCUUGUGGUGUCCACUGGGAGACCGUUGUUGGUUUCUCGCCCCCCCCAGGUGAUGUUGGUGGUAGGAGUCGGGACGGUGUGUGAGGUGUGGUAGAUAACAAGCUCUAGAGGUCCUGAUAUAUCUGCAUUGAUUAUAGUUAUCUCGAUUUGACCAUUUCCUUUAUGGUUAAUAAAUUAAAAAUUGUGGUUCAGUUAUCUGUGUGUUUGAUUGUCAAUCCAUGAAUAAUCUAUGCUGUGGAUGAUCUUUUAAUUACAUGUAUUUGAAAUAGUAAUUCUUUUGGGAUUCCCGGUGAUAUGUUACUUCGGUUUUAUCAUAUGUGGUUUUCUAUCCCUCGAGGUAUUCAGUAUUUUCGAAAAAUGAGUUUCCAUGUGGGAGACUGUUUUCAAAUGAUUUUACGAUUUUAUCGAUUCUUAGAAUUUCAAAAAAAAUAAGUUUCCAGGUGGAAAACAUUUGUAAAUGAUAGUGUUGAUUGUUGUGGUAAUGUGCAUUUGCAUCAUCCUUUGCUUUGCCUAAGGAGUGUUUGGAGCAUGCAUCAUCGCAAGGAUUGCUAGCUGAUUGAUUAUUGUAAGCAUCUAUAUUGUGAAUGCUGUUUGUGUGUGUAAGGAAGUGAAUUCUCGAAAUACGAGAGUUGAACUUUGUUUAGAAUCGACUGAUUAUCGAUUUGGUACACUUCGGAAAGGCCGAAGGCGUCAAAAAUCCAAAAAGUGCAUUGGUAAGGGCCUCGGAGAGCAAGAUGUGAAAAUCUACAACUUUGCAGAUUUUGCUCUCGGGGACCGGUCCCUGGUGGGAGGGACCGAUUCCCGCAAGCAGUGUGUGCGGCAGAAAACUCUGCGCACAGAGUUUACUAUCGGGGACCGGUCCCUGAUGGGACAGACCGGUCCCCGUACACGUAGAAAGGGAGGCAGAGUCCUCUACCCGCGAGAGUUGCUCUCGGGGAUCGGUCCUUCUAGGGACAGACCGAUUCCCGUGUGUAACAUACCAGAUUUUGGUAUUAAAAUAAAAAUAAAUAAAAAUAGUGUGAAAAACUAUUUUUAUUGGAUUUAGAGAAGUAAAACAUAAGUCAGAAGUGACUUGUGCUGAAAUUGGAAUUAAAACAGAAGAUUUAAAAUUUUCUGUUGAAAACAGGACAGAUAAAUUAGCAGAAAAUGCACAGUCUCAGAAAAUUAUGAAAAUUGGCGGAGAUGUCAGAAAUAUUUUUAUGAGGCUAGAUUUAAAGUUUCAUGUCAUUCUGACACCCGGAAGGUGAAAAAUAAAAUCCCACAGCUAUCUGUUAAAGAUUACAGUUCGGUACAGCUUUCGGUGACCAAACGGGAUCGAAACUGGAAGAGUGAUCGCUACUUUGUUAAGUUAAGUAAAACUGAACGUGCCUGUCAAAUUUGAGCUCAAACGGACAUCCAAAAGGGCUCCGUCAGGACCUAACUGCUAAACAGCCUGGAAUGAAUAGUGUUUGGGGUGUAAUUAAAUAGAAGCAACUUGCUUCUUCUCCCUCAACCAACCAGCCGACCACCCCCCCCCCCAACCGUGCGGCCAUGGUGAGGGAGAGAGAGAGCUCCACUUCUCUCUAAAUAUCUCUCUCAUCUCUCUAGAUCUCUCUCUCAAAUUCGCGGCGUUGGCGGAGAUGUUUGCGAACGCGUUGGAGGCGACGGAUCGAGCUUUCGUGCGCCCGUUGGAAUGGCGUGCUUUCGUCGCGGCGCUCACAUUGUGGUAAACUUUAGGGAUUUGGCUUAAUCCUUAGCUUUAAGUGUUCUAAUAGCCUCUAAUGAGCAUUGUUAGCAUGUUAAAUCCAUUUAAUUUUGGUUAAUUGAAGCAUGUGUAGAGGCUAGGUUUUUAAUGGUAUAUCUUUAGAGCUUCGAUUAUAUGCUUUAAGAAUGAAUUUAGAGAAAUUCUAGGAUGCUAAAUAGAUGGUUAAUGCAUGAUUCAUGAAGUUAAAUGAUGGAUUUUGCUAUACUUGCAUCUAGGGCUCCAAUUUUGGGGUUUUUGUAAAUAGUAGGGUUUGAUCUCAUUUGACCCUCCGUAAACCUAAUUGCUAGGUAAACGAACGCGUUGGCGAAGUCCGUUCUGCGAUCCGUCGAGCCGUUGCGAAGUUAUUAAAGAAACGGACGUUAGGCUUCAUUUUCGCCUAGAGGGCCGAGGUGACGUCAAAAAAAUCAUGAAAAUGGAUUUGAAGGACCGUGGCGCAUAACCGAAGACCUUUAAUUUUCGGAUCAUAGAUUGGAGGCCGUUCGGGUUGUCGUGCAAGAGUCCAGGCCGAACCGGGUUACGGGUGCCGCGGGAGCCCGAUUGCAAGUGUCGACAAGCAAUCGGAAUGUGAUAACAGGUGGGUUGUGUUUACCGAAGCGACUAGGUCGCCUUUAUGUCUAAGAGAAUUAUGAAGUUAUAUUGAUGCAUAUAGUUGCUAAAAGAAUGCAUGUGAUAACGUAAUGUAAAAGAUAAGCAAAUGCUUGAGAUGGUUGCUAUGUAAUAAUUAUCAUAGAAUGCAUGCUAAGUAUGUCAUGAUAAAAUGCUAGAGGCAAGUAUGUGAUUAAUGUUAGUUGGAUGUAUGUCAUAGAAAUGCUAAAGCAAGAAUACUAAAGUAUACAUGAUAAGCCUGAUGAAGUCAUAACAAAUGCAAGCAUGAGGUUAAUGCUUAGAAUAUAGAUGAUGACAUAUUGUGAAGUAACAUAUUGUGGAUUAUAUUAAAUAGAAACAUAUACAUGUUGAUAUGUGUGGACAAUCUAUAUAUAUUAGAUCGAGUGGCAUUAAACCUAGUGUCUUGAACAUAGGUUGAACAAGUAUAGUGUGAACCUAGUGUCAUGAAUCUAGCAAACACUUAUGGCAUUUGAGUAAAUAUAUUUUGUAUCAUUCAUGCAUGAUAGGGCUAUACAUGUGAACCUUGGUUGCUUUCAAUGACAUGUUCUAACGUAGUUGAACAUAGAGAACGGUAGAACCAUAAUGGACAUGUAUGUUAGGCCUAUUAUUGUGUGAAUGUGAGAGUUGGACUUGGACAUUAGCAAACCAAGGUGACAUUGACAAUAGAGACGUUGAUUGGUAUAAAGAACACAGUUGUUAAACAUAGUUUAACCAAGAGUGGCAUUGUGUCAAGAAUGACCAAGAAAGUGGCAAGAAUAAAUAGGUAGAAACCUAUCAUGAGAAAGACAUUGUGGCUAGUGGCUAAGUAUCCUCAAGUUGAGGAUUGGAUCGACACUCACGAUAAGUCUUGGCUUGAGGGAGGAAGCUCCCCCUCAAGCGGUGUGUUUCCGGAAACAGUCACCACGGGGAUAGUGGCCCCGAAGGACGGUCCCUAGGGGAGGUUCGAGGCCCCCUGUUAUGACGGGAUUUUGGGUUGUGAGUUUUUGGGGUUAACAAGUGUUAACCGGUAAGAUUGGGUAAAAGCCAUAGAUUGGGUAUUCCUGUCGAGUGGAUUUUGGGGGCUGAGGUGUAUGUGAGAUGUCCAUUAGCUCGAGCCCGGUUAUAUGCGGUAUUCCGCAGUUGAUUGACUCAAGACCGAGUCGGGUGGCAUAGAUGGUUAGGGUAAAAAUAACUUUAGAAAAGAAUCACCAAUGAGCAAAGUGUGACAAGAAAAUAGAGUAAAGAUUGGCUAAUGAAUAAGAAUAGCUAAUAAAGUAAAGAACGGCUACAAGUAAAGAAUUUACAAGUAGUAAAGAUUGGAUAACGAUAAAGAAUGGUAAUGAUAGAGAGUAAAAAUCCUUUUACCUACUUGCAUGAGCUACAGAAUUUGCAGAAUGUUCAUAUUGCAUAUUGUGAAGCACAACAUGUAUUUCAAUAUUUGUAUAUAUAUAUAUCGGUUGGACUAACAUGUUGCAAUGCUUCCUUGGACCUAUCGGUGGAGCUUUUCCCUUGGGUGGCUGUACCCACUGGGAACCAUGGAGUUGGUUCUCACCCCACGUUGUUUUGGGGUGUUACAAGUUCGCACGUGAGCGGUGCGGCGGCGCAGGCGAGGGCGUAGCUCCAUAGUUAGUGCCCUACCACCGAGACCAGAGAUAGCGGUACCCUGAGUCGGCUUACUUAGGGAUGUAAGAAAAUAAAAAGAAUCAAGUUGUAAUAAUUAUGUAAAAUGAUUGUAUUUGGAAGUUGUAAAUCAAAUUGUAAUUGGGAUGUAAAACUAUGAAUGUGAAUGCAUGUAAUAAUAUAGGAUGUGUUUAUAUUGUUUGAUACCUUCCUUAUGCAAUCAGUGUGUGAAUACUGUUCCUGUUUGGAACCAUUUGUAUUGUACAAGUUGUUGAGCCUUGAAUGUAUAGUGGAGACUCUGUCCGCAGUACAGGAAAAACCCUGUCCAUUCGGCGGUCUGUCGGCGGCGCCGCGACCCGGCCAAAUAGGCGGGUGGUCGCGGGUCGUGACAGAUAAGAUGGUAUUAGAGCAUAAAGAGAACAUAAAAAGAAUAAUAGAAAUGGUUUAGUUGGACGUAGGAGACCCUAGGAUUGUAAACCAUAGGAGAUUAAGGCUCGCGAGAGACGAGGACUUGUGACUUUUGGCGAAAGGUUAAUUGAUUGGGUUGUGUCAUAAACCUCUAUAACGGAUAUUAGAGGUAGAUUCAAGGUGUGGCUUAUUCUCAACCGAGGGUGUUCAUGUUGGACGCGUACAACAUGAAACCGAGUGAUGAGAAUAGACGCCCUUUCGUGACUUUCGCCCGAUUUGAGUCGGUAUUAGUUGUCUCGUAUUCGACCCGGAGGGUCGAGGAUCUAUCAAGUGUCGCGUUUUAGGAAGCGAUAGCGCCGCGUAGGCGAUCUUCGUUUAGAUCGAUGCGGGAUGGGACAAGUUGUCCCUAAGCAAUCCGAAACAAGCGGAGACUUGGGACUUCGCGAGCAGUUGGCCACUCUCGUGUGAGUGGCGGGGUAGUGAGCCAAAUUAGUGCAGUGUCAGCAGAAGGCUGCCAUAUGCCAAAAGGACGCGAAUCCGUUGAUCGUGGAGUUGUGGAUCGACUCCAUGGAGACUCCCUUUGGGGAUCUGUGCACUGUUAAGUGGGCCAAGGUACACCUAGCCCUGCGUUGCGUGCAAACAGUCGGCGAAGGUGUGGUGCACAGGCGUCGAGUCGGAUCGACUGCCUGGUCUCCUUCCUAUGGUUUGGAAUGAGUUUCGGGGAUCAGUAUUCUCCGCUUACUCAUCUGAUGAUGGAAAAGAAAGCUUCAGGAAAGGUUCCCGAAGCUGCGGCAGGUAGACCAUGCCGUGAGGGAAUACGAGCGGGAAUUCUCCCGUGUCGGGAGUUGCAUCUCGGACAUAGUGCGGGAUAAUGAGAACGAAACUCCUUGCAAAAAGGGAGAAUGUAACGUACCGAAAACACGGUAAAUAAAUGUCGAACCUUGGUCAAAUUGACCAGAGUGCGAGGUUGGUCCAUUUCGGAAAGGCCGAAGGUGUCAAAUGAUGCAAAAGUGCAUUAUUUGGGGAUCUUCGAGAGCGAACGAGUCAAUCUGCCAAAACUGCAGGUUCUAUGCUCUCGGAGACCGGUCCCAUGUGGGUGAGGCCAGUUUCCCAAUGCGCAGGCAGCAACCCGAGAGGAGGUGUUGGCUCGGUCUGGGAAAAUCAGCUCUCGGAGCCCGGUCCCAACAGGUCGAGACCGGUCUCCAGGGACCGGUUGCACCAGGUGAGACCGGUUGCAUCAUGCGCAAGCUGCGCAGUCCGCGGGUGGAGCUCUCAGAGACCGGUCUUAGGUCGGAGAGACCGGUCCCCCACCGUGAGAUUUGCCCAGUUUGGGGCAGUGCACAUUCUCGAGUGCUGUUGCAUUCCCGAGCCUCAGAGGUUUUCUUUGUUGACUUCUUCAAGAUACGAGAAUUGCAGAAGUUUUCGUCAGGCGCGGUGGGGUGCGCUGCGCGAUGAGAUAUGCACUCGUGUGGACGGUUACUGGGCCGUGACGUUGGCGACGGCCUUUUCUUCUCUGAGACGGCUUGUGGGCGUGUCACCUACAGUACGGUCUGGAGAGUGAGUUAUGAGAAUGUGGCGAACGAAGGGUUGGCGGUGGGCACUGAGUGGCCAUGAGUACGCGACCCUGGUCGAGGAACCUUGCAUGCAUUUAUCAUGCGGUCACUUACUACCGUUGAUACGUCAGAGCAGUAGGAACUAAGUGGACGGGUAAGUGUAAAUACCUGAGUAGCCCGAGUAGUAAGGAUAGCGUUCCGGUAGAUCGAACAGUGAAAGUAAGAUCACUGUUGAGAGAAUAGCUGAUUAGUUGCCGAGUACGGGCAUGUGAGGCCUUGUGGUACCUCGAAUUGAGGUAGGAGAGUAGUGCUCGUGGGAUCAACGUGCAUAGGCAUGGUUGCCUGAUGCUUGACUCAAUGUGGGACGCUAUAGAGACGUGUAGAGCGCUCGAGUGUGGAUACUCGUAGAGUGCGAUUUCGAUUCAGCCGGGAGAGUGAGUUGGCAGUAGCACUUUAGCAUUGCUAAAUGUGAAGCGGACCAUGGAUCACUUGUAGGGCUGGUGGCUCGCACUAGGUGCUUAGGAGCCGAGAGUGGUACGCGUGACUCGAUACAGUAUGUCGUGUAGGACGACGACGACGGGUAGUGCUUGCGGACGACCCGUGCCUGGACCACAUGUGGACUGUGGAGCCUGGGCCCUUCGAGCAGGCGCAGUCAGCUGUGAGAGACAGCGGCCCGGUACCUACUGGUAGGAAGGAAUUUUGGUCAGGGCUGUAGUCCGAGCUUAGACCCGGAGCAUGGAGUGCCACGUGUUGGAUUUUGAGAUCGAGGAUAUACCGAGAGUUCAGUUGUGACCCAACCCAAGGAUUUAUAGUGGUUUGGGGUCCUGGUUGCUCCUGAUUGGAGUGUGUACGAAUUCCUAAAUGAGAAUUUCGCCCGAUUAUGAUUGGGUCUGCGCUUGAGAGCGAGAGACGGUACGGGUAUCGAGACACGAUAGGCGGCGGGCCUACAUAGGAUCGGUGGCCUUCGGUCUACUUAUGAAGACCAAAGUGAGCGUUAUGGUCGAUAACUCUGUGGAUGAGUUUGGCUUGUAUUAGCGAACAGAGGGCUCGUAUGAAUUCGUUGUAAGAACGAAUUGGUUGGUCAUGGCAAUGAAAACAGAAAGUAAGUGGUCUCUUUGAGAUACUUGAGUAUUGGAUAGCCACGCGAGAAAUGACGUAAAGCUUUCUUGAGGAUUGAGAUGUGCCGGAGUGUGCCAUGUCGUAGUAGAGCAAGAUUCGGUUGAGAUUGGAGCUCUCACAGUGAAGCGAUGCACCGGUGAUAUUGCUUCUAAGCAAUGUCGAUAACUGAGUCGGAAUGAAAUUCCUAAAGGAAAGGUGAAUGCAAAGAAGAGUUCUUUGUGUAACGAAUGGCGAGUGGCGUUGGAGCGCGUAGAGUCGUCGAGUACCGACUUGCGCUGCCACUAUGACUUGUAAGACCUGUGAUGCACUUUUGUAUCACGCUUUGCAAGUGACUUUAGGAUUAAACCCACGUCCUUCAGUAUGAGCCGCUUCUUGAACCACGAUUGUGUGAAGCCGCUUUGGAGUGGGAGAAUGAGUUGGGGCCCUCGAUUGCUCAAGGAGCUAAAUUGAGGCGUGGUUUGAAUUUCGCGGACGAAAUUCUUUUUAAGGGGUGGAGAAUGUAACAUACCAGAUUUUGGUAUUAAAGUAUAAAUAAAUAAAAAUAGUGUGAAAAACUAUUUUUAUUGAAUUUAGAGAAGUAAAACAUAAGUCAGAAGUGGCUUGUGCCGAAAUCGGAAUUAAAACAGAAGAUUUAGAAUUUUCUGUUGGAAACGGGAUAGAUAAAUUAGCAGAAAAUGCACAGUCUCAGAAAAUUAUGAAAAUUGGCGGAGAUGUCAGAAAUAUUUUUAUGAGGCUAGAUUUAAAGUUUCAUGUCAUUCUGACACUUAGAAGGUGGAAAAUAAAAUCCCACAGCUAUCUGUUAAAGAUUACAGUUCGGUACAGCUUUCGGUGACCAAACGGGGUCGAAACUGGAAGAGUGAUCGCUACUUUGUUAAGUUAAGUAAAAUCGAACGUGCCUGUCAAAUUUGAGCUCAAACGGACAUCCAGAAGGGCUCCGUCGGGACCGAACUGCUAAACAGCCUGGAAUGAAUAGUGUUUAGGGUGUAAUUAAAUAGAAGCAACUUGCUUCUUCUCCCUCAACCGACCAGCCGACCACCCCCCCCAACCGUGCGACCAUGGUGAGGGAGAGAGAGAGCUCCACUUCUCUCUAAAUAUCUCUCUUAUUUCUCUAGAUCUCUCUCUCAAAUUCGCGGCGUUGGCGGAGAAGAGGCUUGCGAACGCGUUGGAGGCGACGAAUCGAGCUUUCGUGCGCCCGUUGGAGCGGCGUGCUUUCGUCGCGGCGCUCACAUUGUGGUAAGCUUUAGGGAUUUGGCUUAAUCCUUAGCUUUAAGUGUUCUAAUAGCCUCUAAUGAGUAUUGUUAGCAUGUUAAAUCCAUUUUAUUUGGGUUAAUUGAAGCAUGUGUAGAGGCUAAGUUCUUAAUGGUAUAUCUUUAGAGGUUUGAUUAUAUGCUCUAAGAAUGGAUUUAGAGGAAUUCUAGGAUGCUAAAUAGAUGGUUAAUGCAUGAUUCAUGAAGUAAAAUGAUGGAUUUUGCUAUACUUGCAUCUAGGGCUCCAAUUUUGGGAUUUUUGUAAAUAGUAGGGUUUGAUCUCAUUUGACCCUUCGUAAACCUAAUUGCUAGGUAAACGAACGCGUUGGCAAAGUCGGUUCGGCGAUCCGUCGAGCCGUUGCGAAGUUAUUAAAGAAACGGACGUUAGGCUUCGUUUUCGCCUAGAGGGCUGAGGCGACGUCAAAAAAAUCAUGAAAAUGGAUUUGAAGCACCGUGGCGCAUAAUCGAAGAACUUUAAUUUUCGGAUCGUGGAUUGAAGGCCGUUCGGGUUGUCGCGCGAGAGUCCGGGCCAACCGGGUUACGGGUGCCGCGGGAGCCCGAUUGCAAGUGCCGACAAGCAAUCGGAAUGCGAUAACAGGUGGGUUGUGUUUACCGAAGCGACUAGGUCGCCUUUAUGUCUAAGAGAAUUAUGAAGUUAUAUUGAUGCAUAUAGUUGCUAAAAGAAUGCAUGUGAUAACGUAAUGUAAAAGAUAAGCAAAUGCUUGAGAUGGUUGCUAUGUAAUAAUUAUCAUAGAAUGCAUGCUAAGUAUGUCAUGAUAAAAUGCUAGAGGCAAGCAUGUGAUUAAUGUUAGUUGGAUGUAUGUCAUAGAAAUGCUAAAGCAAGAAUACUAAAGUAUACAUGAUAAGCAUGAUGAAGUCAUAACAAAUGCAAGCAUGAGGUUAAUGCUAAGAAUAUAGAUGAUGACAUAUUGUGAAGUAACAUAUUGUGGAUUAUGUUAAAUAGAAACAUAUACAUGUUGAUAUGUGUGGACAAUCUAUAUAUAUUAGAUCGAGUGGCAUUAAACCUAGUGUCUUGAACAUAGGUUGAACAAGUAUAGUGUGAACCUAGUGUCAUGAAUCUAGCAAACACUUAUGGCAUUUGAGUAAAUAUAUUUUGUAUCAUUCAUGUGUGAUAGGGCUAUGUACAUGUGAACCUUGGUUGCUUUCAAUGACAUGUUCUAACGUAGUUGAACAUAGAGAACGGUAGAACCAUAAUGGACAUGUAUGUUAGGCCUAUUAUUGUGUGAAUGUAAGAGUUGGACUUGGACAUUAGCGAACCAAGGUGACAUUGACAAUAGAGACGUUGAUUGGUAUAAAGAACACAGUUGUUAAAUAUAGUUUAACCAAGAGUGGCAUUGUGUCAAGAAUGACCUAGAAAGUGGCAAGAAUAAAUAGGUAGAAACCUAUCAUGACAAAGACAUUGUGGCUAGUGGCUAAGUAUCCUCAAGUUGAGGAUUGGAUCGACACUCACGAUAAGUCUUGGCUUGAGGGAGGUAGCUCCCCCUCAAGCGGUGUGUUUCCGGAAACAGUCACCACGGGGAUAGUGGCCCCGAAGGACGGUCCCUAGGGGAGGUUCGAGGCCCCCUGUUAUGACGGGAUUUUGGGUUGUGAGUUUUUGGGGUUAACAAGUGUUAACCGGUAAGAUUGGGUAAAAGCCAUAGAUUGGGUAUUCCUGUCGAGUGGAUUUUGGGGGCUGAGGUGUAUGUGAGAUGUCCAUUAGCUCGAGCCCGGUUAUAUGCGGUAUUCCGCAGUUGAUUGACUCAAGACCGAGUCGGGUGGCAUAGAUGGUUAGGGUAAAAAUAACCUUAGAAAAGAAUCACCAAUGAGCAAAGUGUGACAAGAAAAUAGAGUAAAGAUUGGCUAAUGAAUAAGAAUAGAUAAUAAAGUAAAGAACGGCUACAAGUAAAGAAUUUACAAGUAGUAAAGAUUGGAUAACGAUAAAGAAUGGUAAUGAUAGAGAGUAAAAAUCCUUUUACCUACUUGCAUGAGCUACAUAAUUUGCAGAAUGUUCAUAUUGCAUAUUGUGAAGCACAACAUGUAUUUCAAUAUUUGUAUAUAUAUAUCGGUUGGACUAACAUGUUGCAAUGCUUCCUUGGACCUAUCGGUCGAGCUUUUCCCUUGGGUGGCCGUACCCACUAGGAACCAUGGAGUUGGUUCUCACCCCACGUUGUUUUGGGGUGUUACAGGUUCGCACGUGAGUGGCGCGGCGGCGCGAGGCGAGGGCGUAGCUCCAUAGUUAGCGCCCUACCACCGAGACCAGAGAUAGCGGUACCCUGAGUCGACUUACUUAGGGAUUUAAGAAAAUGAAAAGAAUCAAUAGUAAUAAUUAUGUAAAAUGAUUGUAUUUGGAAGUUGUAAAUCAAGUUGUAAUUGGGAUGUAAAACUAUGAAUGUGAAUGCAUGUAAUAACAUAGGAUGUGUUUAUGUUGUUUGAUACCUUCCUUAUGCAAUCAGUGUAUGAAUACUGUUCCUGUUUGGAACCAUUUGUAUUGUACAGGUUGUUGAGCCUUUAAUGUACAGGGGAGACUCUGUCCGCAGUACAGGGGAAACCCUGUCCAUUCGGUGGUCUGUUGGCGGUGCCGCGACCCGGCCAAAUAGGCGGGUGGUCGCGGGUCGUGACACCGUGCCUGAAAACUUGCAGUCUGGGCAGGGCAAGAGAGGCAAAGUGGGGGGGUGUAAUAGCAAUUGGAGCACUUAUGAAGGGGUAUAGAGGGGAAAUGAGCCAUCUCCUCCUCAUUUCUCUCCCAACACACUCACUCUCUCUCUCUCUAAACUCUCUCCCUCUCUCUUUAGAAGGUGAAGAAGGAGGAGAUUUUGGUGGAGGAGCAAGCAAGGAGAAGGCCUAGCAUCAUCUUCUUCCUCCUCUCCACCAUUGGAGCUAGCACCUUAAGGUAAGCUCAAAGAGCUUUCAUGGUAGAACCCUAUAGUUGGAUUUUUAUCCUCUAGAAAUGGUUUUAUUGGAACCCUAGCUUCUCUACUAGGUGGGUUAUGCAUGAAUCUAGAGCUUCAUUGAGGGAUUCUUGCUAGUUGUAAACCUAGGGCUCCAAAUUGGGGUUUUUGGAAAUAGAGGGUUUUGAUCUAAAUUGAUCGUGUAUUAACCUAAUUGCUAGUUGUUUAAACGCGUUGACGAAGACGGUUCGUCGAUUCGUCGAGCGGGUGCGAAGAUAUCGCCGAAACGAGUGUUCGUGGGUUUGUAUUGACCCGAGGAGUUGAAGCGGCGACCGAAGAUCGCGAAAUCGAGUACCUAGCCUCGCAACAUUACCCAAAGGUGGGGGGUGUCAUCCCGAAGCAACCGGGCUUCUCCCUAUGUCUAAGUACUUAUGUGUCGAUCAUAUUCCAUAUGUGAAUCUCAUGCAUGAUAGGGUGUUUAGAUGUUACAUUUACUAUUCUUACAUUCUCCCUUAUAAUGCGGCAUAGUAGGCUUGGCAUGUGCACUUAGGGUGCAUGAGAAUGAGUUGUGGUGACAUAGAACUCUAUAGAGAUAAGUUAAAUAGAAACUUGAUCUUGCAUUGAUGAAUAUGAUGAUAUAUGACCAGUGUAGUCGAGACAUUGCAUCAUGACGAGUGGCAUGUGAACUAAGUAAACAACUUGACGAGUGGCAUUAGAGCUUAGUGUUAAAAGAAUACUUGUGUCAUGAUGACCCUAGUGGCAGGGUAUCCUCAGUGGACGAGGAUUGGAUUAUACUCACAUGGUCUGUUCAGCGCUUGUGGCGGUCGCUCCGCACAGGUAGUGCACUCCGGAGUUGGCACGUGAAAGAUUGGGAUAGCCUAUGUAGGGUCCCAAGGGAUAGCUUAUGUGGGGUCCCGCAGACAGUCCCUUGGGUGGUUCGAGUCCCCCAUUAAAGACAGAUUUGAGAUGUGAAUCGUGGGCACGCCUAUGGGCCAGCCAGAGGAUUCGAUAAUAAACUCAAGAGAAUUGUGCAAUUUGAGCAUACUGAGCAUAGUAGAGUUGCAUUCAUGCUUGAUAGAGUUAUAGUAGCAUGUUAGUGUUUACAUGGCUAUGUUGGUUACUCUUGUUUCUCAAGGCAUAGUAGAAUAGUGCAAUUCUUUCAAUAUGCAUCAUUUACAGCUUUACAUAUCUAUCUAUCUAUCUGUCUAUUCCUGCUUAGACCUAGUGGGGAGAUCGGCGGAGUCGGCGGCCGAACUCAUUGGGAACUAUGGACAAUAGUUCUCACCCCACUUUGUUGCAUGGCCGAGUUCGAGUACUCCCGGCGAGGACCGCGGUAAGGGCAUCGCGCCCUAGUUUAGUAGCAGCUCUCCUAUGCAUUAGAGUACCUAUGUACCUUGGGAUAUUGGUGUAUUAAGUAGGGAGUUACAUGUAUUUUGGGAUUAUACUAGUUACCAGAAACUUGUAUAUAUUCAUUUUGGAAGUUACAAAUGUAAACCGAUGUAAAUGAAUGGUUGAAUGGAUGUAAUAAAUAGAUGUAUCUCUCUUUGUUCACUUGUAUCAUUACUUAUGUCUUGCUCUUACUUUGUUAGCACUUGUGGUGCUUCGCAUUUGAUCAUGUAUGUUUAUUAAGCAUGUUCCUGGAAGCUUGAUUGUACUUGAUCAUGUUGUUGAGCCUGGGGCGGACAGGGGAGGUGCUGUCUGUCCGGCAUAUGCUCGACGCGCCCGAACCGAACCAAAUGUGUAGCGAUCUCGAGGCGUGACAGUGUGACCGAAUAAUAGUGUUGCAACACUUACGUAGUAGUACGCCGUGCAAAUAUAGGGAAGACUCUAUCUGGGUAGACAAGAAAAAAUUUGGAUUUGUGGCGGGUCUGUUCUGUCUCGUGGCAAGUUGUAUUUCAAAAAACAAAUUGAGGCAUUUUUCACUUGCUUUACUUUCGAACUGGAUUUUUCUUUGAAAAAGCUUUACAAAAUAGGCCCCGGGGCAUGACAGAAAGCUUUGCAAAACCUUCUACAAAUCGAUGAUAAUAACCAGCCAACACUAGAAAACUCUGCAACUCAGAAACACAUAACACUGUAGAUAUAUAAUCAUAAUCACACUAAUCCUUGAAAUAGUAUAACAUCUUUGGCCACUCCAAACCUCAAAACACUAUACAGGUGGUCCAAUACUACACACGCAAAAAUAGUAGAAAAUGGUAAUUAUCCAUGAUUCCCUUGCCUCAAUCAGUCGUUGGUGCUGAACGCUCUGUAAUAAAAUAUUGAUAAAAAAGGUCUAAGAACUAUAAGCAAGUCCCUAGCGGGUAUGGUCGACAAUGCCGCCGGUCUACAUGCACUACUAGAAAUAGUAAAUAACUGUGCAGUAUAAAUGAAUAGGUAAUAAUAUGAACAAUUGCUGAAAAUAAUUACUGCUAUCCUACCUCUAUAAUAUAACUAAAAACGGUAAAUUUUGUAUUUCAUGCAUCAAUUAGAUACUGAAUAAAAUAAUGCAGUAAUGCCCAAUCAUAGUGACCGACUCAACAGUCAGAUCUAGCCUGCGCCGCCUCGUGCCCAGCACCCACCUAUAGUGGUAUGUUAUCACACAGGCUACUGUCUGGCCCAUGCUAUAAUAAUACUUCAUAGCCUGACCACUGGAGUGGCGCUUACAGGAUGCUAUCCCAACCGAGUAUAGUAUCACUAUCAAGUUCAAAAUGGUAUGCAGGCUAUAGUCAAAUACGCUGAUCAAAUAUAUCAUGAUGAUACUUUUAUAGUAUCCCGAAUACACUUAUAGUCUCAAACUAUCUGCCGCUGUCUAUUGGUUUUUAGGGUAAUAUCACAUAAUACUAAUAAUGAAAAAAAUGCAUAUCUCAAUAUACUCUACAGGUAGGUGUCAAAAUAUCACUAUUAUCUCAAUUAUGUCAACAGUUCAUCUCAUAGACUAAAUAAUAUAAUCUAGAAAAGGGAUAAUUGCCUAUAUAUGAUGUAUUUUUGAAAGGAUGAGUUUUUGAAAGGGGAAGAUAUUUUUAACUUCGACGCAUGAACAGAGGGGGAGAUUUUUUUAACUUUGUUUAUUACUUACUUUGUUCGUUGGAGAGAGUAAUAUUUUUGCAGAUUUUUGAAGACGUUAAGACUCCUUGUGUCUAAGUCAUAGAGUUUGUUUAGGAGUUGCAAAAUUGUAAUUUUGUAUUUUCUUUGGAUCUUUCACGCGAGAAGUUCAUUGUUUUGGUGAUGGCAAUGAAUUUCGAUUUUUGACUUUUGGAGUGUUGAGUGUUGUGAGUAUUUUGAUGUAUUUUUGAGUUUUGUCACCAAAUUGCCAAAAGGGGAGAUUGUUACGGAUUUUAAGUCGACAUACUUCACGAAAUAUGCCAACUUAAAAUCCGUAACAAUCUCCCCCUUCGGCAAUUUCGUGACAAAACUCAAAAAUAUAUCAAAAUACUCAAACACUCAACUCUCCAAAAGUCAAAAAUCGAAAUUCAUUGCCAUCACCAAAACAAUGAACUUCUCGCGUGAAAGAUCCAAAGAAAAUACAAAAUUAUAAUUUUGCAACUCUAUUGUAAGUUUUGGGGGUGCCCAAGGAUCUAUCUAGAUUGUAUCUAACACCUAGAGGGGGGGUGAAUAGGUGUAAAAAUUGAAAAACCACAAAUCUCGAUGCGAUAAAAAAUAAAUGCGAAAAAUAAAAGGCACACCGAGAUUUACGUGGGAAAACUCUAACUCGGAGUUAAAAACCCACGGGACCAACAUGCGAUAACAAUCCACUAAGAAUAAAAGAUUACAAGGUGAUUUACCGAAUCCAUUGACUCAAACCUCUCUUUUAUCUCCUUUGGAUCUCGCGCACACCAACGGGUUGUCCACGCCCCACGUCCGACUCCACGAACGCUACGUCCCGAAUCCACGAAACGCCAACACUUCGAAUCCACGAAGCCUCGAACACGUCGAAUCCACGAGUGCACUCCGUCCGGAGCAAGAACAAUACGAUCGAUGAUGAUUUAUUGCUUAGAUUAUCAUUAAAGAACCGUAGAAGAUAUUUCUAAGCAAUAGUUGGAUCAAUUCGCCAUGAAGAACGAGAAAUUAGGGUUACACGAAUUAAACCGAUAGAAACUUGUUGUUGGAUAGAAGAAAGAAAGCACCUAACAAGUUUCUACGGUUUUGAAAAGAUAUUCUAUGCUUCACCGUUGAUUAGAAACACCUCUACAUCUUAUUUAUAGGUUUAGAAUACUUAGAGAUAGACUAGGAUUUGAAAACCUGAUUUUUAAAACCAAUUAUAAGACUUAGAUAGACUAGGAUUUGAAAACCUGAUUUUUAAAACCAAUUAGAAGACUUAGAUAGACUAGGAUUUUAAAAAAUACAAUUUUAAAAACUGACGACGUCCUUAGGGACCGGUCCUUUUGAGGAGACCGGUCUUUGGGAGACCGAACUCUCAAGUUGGAGACCGGUCCCUCGUUGCGUGCCUGAAAAUCCAAGCUUCGGGAACCGGUCUCUCAGCACAGGGACCGGUACCUUGCUGCGUGCCAGAAAACUGAAGCUUCGGGAACCGGUCUCUCAUCUCAGGGACCGGUUGCCUCAACUUGUCACACAACGAGGACCUUCAGGGACCAGUCUCUCAUUUCAGGGAUCGGUCUCUGAACACUGAAAAGUUCAGAUAUUAUAUUUUGAAACAAUCCUAAAUCUUCCAAACACUUUUAAAUGUUUAUAAAUCAUCAUCAACAGUAUUUAAACUUACCGAGCAUUGUGGAUCUGUGUUUUGAGUUCUCAAGUCUUUGAUCUUUAUCUUUUCUUCUCUAAACCUUCAAGACUCUGACAUACUUUAUGAAAUAUGCCAACUUAAAAUCCGUAACAAUUUCCCCCUUUGGUAAUUUCGUGACUGUAAGGGCUGAGAUUUUGACAGUGCAACUAAACUCUCUGUGGACGAUGUUUUAGUGUGUAAUUUAAUUACAUAAGCACUCAUCAAGUUUCAGGGGAAAAUGAGCUAGAAUGGAGAAGUUACGCGAUUAUUAGUUUUCACUUAAAGUGAAUAGUAACUCGGUUUUUCGGUGAAGCCACGGAGUAGAAUUUGCUUUUGGCGCGUAUUGGACUCCGAUCAAAGGACUCCAAUAGCUCGUUUCGACUGGUUCAGCUAUUCUGGAACUAAUGGCACUGACAGAAUUGGAUUCUGAUGCACGGUUUUCGAGAAAAGGGAGUUUUAUCAAAAAGCAGGUUUUCGCUCUUUGCUAUUCUUGCAUUAUGGAACCCCUCGUGAUCUAUGUAUGUGAUCUGGAGUUGAGUAAAGGCUGUUUCGGGUACCUACUAGUGGUAGGGAAGUCUAAUUCGAAUUCGAAUUUAAGGUUUAUUGGGUUUACACAAUUGUGCUACUGUGGUGUUUGGAUUUUUGGAGAAGAGGAUGGGUUUUGUCGCAAAUCGGCCACCAAGCUUGAUGAAACGAAAUUGUAGUUUUGAUGCUCUCGUUGUGCUGAACGCGAUGGUGCUGUCGGAUUGAAAAUCUGACGGAUGGAUCUCCUAAUAUCGCACGAUUAUCGAGGAAGGGUCACAAGUGGAGAAACGGUAUGUCCGCGAAAACUAUUAUAUUUUAUGUGUCGAUUCGCGCGAGAUUGGAAGUGGAGGUACGUAUUUACAAAACACAUGCGCUGGUUGGGACUUUGAUGAAAAUAUUCAAACAUGGAGGACUUUGGUGCAAAGUGGCAUAUGGUAUAUAAUAUGCCUCUAGGGUUUCUUUGCACAAAACCCUAGAUCCGGCCGACCGAAUCCUCCAGCUAUGCCCUAAAUAGCUUCAGCAGGUCCUUGCCCAACCCAUGCUCGCACCCUGGCCACCGGCAGGUGCUCCGGCCGUCGGAAAAUUGGAACCCGGCCACCCUUCAAGAUAUCUCUGUCCACCUUGCCUCCAUCUCGGCCAGGGAACAACUAAAACCCAUAGGACUCCCCCUCUGGCCGAGACCCGUCUCCAGCAGCAUCGCCGCCGGCCGCCGCCGCCCUUCGAGCAGCCGGCGCAACCUGGGAGAUCCGCGACCACCCACAGUUAGCCCUGACUGGGCACCGGUGAGGUUGUGGCCCGCGAGCCAUCACUGCCAUGGAACGGUCGCGCCGUCCUCCCACCACCUUCUGCGAUCUUCCGCUCGCCGCCUCUCGCCAUCCCCGUGGCUGCCGGCCGCCGGGAGAGCUCUCUGCGGCCGUCCAAAAUGCGUGCGGGCCAUGCAAGGGCCCGUACUAUUUCCGACUGCCACCGCCGCCCACCGUCGGGUGCCUCGCCCUCCCCUCGACCUCCCGCGACGGAUCGGCGUCGCCCCGACCUCCUCCGGCCGCCGCUGCGCCGCCGGGAAGCCUUGAACCCGAGAGCAUGUGAAUGGUUGGAUCUCAGCCACCGCGCCACCGGCCGCCGCCCGCCGCCGGCCAGCACCUGCCUUGGACUCCUCCGACCGGCCGCACCCGUACCCGGCCGAUGCGCCCGCCGCCGGCCGUGCCCUAGCUCCACCCUAUCCGGUAAACUAUUUUCAGCCUGUCUGCGCACUAGUUUUCUGUUUGGAUCACUGUUCCGGCGGCCCGGGGCUGUCCCGAUGCCUCCGGAGGUGAGCACAGUGAUCGUCAGUCAGUGCUGAUCACAAUGCUCACCUCACUUUGCGUCAGUGAGCUUCGGAUGAGUUAAUUAGAGGUGUUUUAGUUUCAGUGCGCGCUGUUUCGCUGAACUUCGUGUCGCUCGUGCGCUUCCCACAGUGGCCGAAAUUGCUCUGAAAGGUGAGCACGGCCUUCGGCACGCCGAGACCUGUCAGCGGGUGUCUCGGCUUGGCCGAAUGAUCCCUGGUUUACGAUGUCGAACUUGAUAAAACUCAUUUUUCUCAAAAACCGUGCAUCAGAAUCUAAUUCUGUCAGUGCCAUUGGUUCCAGAAUAGCUGAACUGUUCGAAACGAGCUAUUGGAGUCCUAUGAUCGGAGUCCAAUACGCGCCAGAAGCAAAUUCUACUCCGUGGCUUCACCGAAAAACCGGGUUAGUAUUCACUUCAAGUGAAAACUAAUAAUCGCAUAACUUCUCCAUUCUAGCUCAUUUUCUCCUGAAACUUGACGAGUGCUUAUGUAAUUAAAUUACACACAUAAACAUCAUUAACAGAGAGUUUAGUUGUACUGUCAAAAUCUCAGUCCUUACAUUAUCCCUCCCUUAAAAGAAGUUUCGUCCCCGAAACUUAACCACAUACCCAUCAUCAUCGAAUAAAACUUUGCUCCACCAAUGUGAUAUCACCCUGGGGUACUAAUCAGUCACAAUUUCCUUGAAUCUGGGCAAAUCAAUCUUCAAUUAAGGGGAGAAUAGAACUGCGGUUACAUUUGGAUGAGACUAACCCAAAAUCUUCGCACAAGCUGGUGUCUCAGUCGGGAGUAGUGGCGGUGUUCCUUUUGGAUAUUGAGUUGUGGGACGGUGUUCCCCAGGUGUUUCCACUCCUGUCAAGUGGGGCCUUGAAGGGCCAGGUGAUCUUCGGCUUAGGCGAGUGUUUUAACUGCCGACGCCCAGGCCACUCUUCCAACUAAGGGCACGAGAGCUACUGCGAGUGUCUCUACGGAGACGGUACAUAGACCAGUUACGGUCACGACUUCAGUGGGGCUACUAGGGUGUAGCCCAGGGUUUGGUUAGCGGUCGUUUAGGCGACUGCAUUGUUAGUGUUGCUUCCGCAGAUCUUUGGGUAGGGUUGUGAGCCUACAUCUCCUCCUUAAUUGCUGAUGAAUUUAGCGAUUUGGGUCUUUUGACCUUGAACUAGUUCUUUUGUCAAAUUGACGUGUACUAGAGUCGGAUUGACACAGUUUUGGUGUCAGGUUUCCGUUGAGGUAUACAACGUAUGUGGUUAUUCUAACACCUAAAUUGGUGUGUUGUGGGUUAGUUUGUAGUUGGUGAUAGGUUUCGUCUUGAUUUAAGAGACUCCAGGUUAUCGUUGGAAUUCUCGGAGCUUUGAUUAUGGUACGGUUGUGGUGCGGAAAUCGGUUAGAGGAACCGUUUCCUAAAGUCUCAGUUUGUGCGGUUCGUGGCUUAGUACCACUAACAGCUUUCGGAUGUUGAAAGUUAUAGGAUUCCCUGUGAGUCGAUUCAGGUUCGUUCUGAUUUCGAAUGUUGACUUGUAAAGUCAAUGUUUCGAUAGUAAUGGUUGUGAACUCUUGGUUCAGCGAAGAAGUAUCAAGUGGCUUGAUACUUUGACGUGUCGUGCUUCCAGCUUGUUGUUGGUAGUAGAUCUUCGGUAUUUCAUUUUCUUUUGAUAAGUACAUUGGCUGCAGACAAUGUACCGUCGAAAGUUUGGAUGAAAUACCUCUCCUAUUUGGGACUCAUGGAUUGGGUCGGUAUUUCCUUUCUCUAGGCUGUCUUGUUGGAAAAGCUAGAGUGAUGGUCAUCUCUGACCAUGUGACGAGCCUUGGGUUAUUCCCUGGCAGGUUUUGCGCAGUUGAUUUAUCGUCACUGCUGAUGAUUUUGACCCUUGUUCGAGUCUAGGUUAGCGUUGGUUUUAUUGUUGUGCCUUCCUCAGCUAAAAGGUUUGGUUAUUUAGUAGUCUCGGUCUGUUUGUCGAGAGGUUCGGAAUCUCAGUUGUUGAGUUACUUGAGCCUGGUUGUCGGCUAUGAUUGUCACCGUAUGUGAUAGCGUUUAGGGUUUGCGACUCGGCGUGUCGUGUAAACCCGGGAUUGGUAUGCUUGUCCGGUUAACUGGUGACAGGUGCGCCUGGGUCUCAAUGAGACAGGUAAUUGGGUGUUGCUGGGAACAUCGAUCGUUAGGGUCCCUUGUAGGACGGCAACGACAGGGUCUCGUAGAGACAGGUGUUGAGCAUCACCGAUGGUUGUUAUCGCAUGUGCGAUUGGCGACCUGUGCAUCAAAGGAUGGACUUGCAAAGAGCUUUUGGUGGUCUGUUGGUACCGGAUUAGGUUUGAGGAGACAAAAUUGUCUAGCUCAAUUGGUAUUGUCGGUUGGAUCUUUUGGUCAGGUGGAAAGUGAGGUCUUGGACCUAGGACUAUAGAUUGUCGCAGGUGACUUUCCGUUGAUGGAGGUUUUGGCAGUUUGUGUGGUUACUGGUGGGAAACUGUGGUCUCCAAGGUGAGAGUUUUGACUCAGAUCUUAGAACAACGUUUUGUGUUCGCUCGUGGUGAGCAGGUUGAUAUUGUUGGCUAGUCGGAGUGUAUCAUCGUGACCUACGAAACCACUCCAGACUUGUGGUGUUGUUCCGUGACUUUUCUACGUGAACAUUCGACGUAGUCGAGUCGGUUACUGCUAUGCAGACCAAGGUUGAGUGGACCUAAAGUUUCUGAGUGGUGAAUUAUUAUCUCAGAAUUGGUAAUUUGGGAUCAUAUAAUCCUGGUCGCGGGACUAUUUUUGUCCGCAGGUUAUAGGAUGGUGUUGAUCCCGAUAGGUCCCGAUCCAUAGAUUUUGGGUUAGUCUCAUCCAAAUGUAACCGCAAUUCUAUUCUCCCCUUAAUUGAAGAUUGAUUUGCCCAGAUUCAAGGAAAUUGUGAUUGAUUAGUACCCCAGGGUGAUAUCACAUUGGUGGAGCAAAGUUUUAUUCGAUGAUGAUGGGUACGUGGUUAAGUUUCGGGGACGAAACUUCUUUUAAGGGAGGGAUAAUGUAAGGACUGAGAUUUUGACAGUGCAACUAAACUCUAUGUUGACGAUGUUUAUGUGUGUAAUUUAAUUACAUAAGCACUCGUCAAGUUUCAGGGGAAAAUGAGCUAGAAUGGAGAAGUUACGCGAUUAUUAGUUUUCACUUAAAGUGAAUAGUAACCUGGUUUUUUGGUGAAGCCACGGAGUAGAAUUUGCUUCUGGUGCAUAUUGGACUCCGAUCAUAGGAUUCCAAUAGCUCGUUUCUACCGGUUCAGCUAUUCUGGAACCAAUGGCACUAACAGAAUUGGAUUUUGAUGCACGGUUUUCGAGAAAAGGGAGUUUUAUCAAAAAGCAGGUUUUCGCUCUUUGCUAUUCUUGCAUUAUGGAACCCCUCGUGAUCUAUGUAUGUGAUCUGGAGUUGAGUAAAGGCUGUUUUGGGUACCUACUAGUGGUAGGGAAGUCUAAUUCGAAUUCGAAUUUAAGGUUUAUUGGGUUUACACAAUUGUGCUAGUGUGGUGUUUGGAUUUUUGGAGAAGAGGUUGGGUUUUGUCGCAAAUCGGCAACCAAACUUGAUGAAACGAAAUUGUAGUUUUGAUGCUCUCGUCGUGUUGAACGCGAUGGUGUGGUCGGAUUGAAAAUCUGACGGACGGAUCUCCUAAUAUCGUACUAUUAUCGAGGAAGGGUCACAAGUGGAGAAACGGUAUAUCCGCGAAAACCAUUAUAUUUUAUGUGUCGAUUCGCGCAAGAUUGGAAGUGGAGGUACGUAUUUGCAAAACACAUGGAGGACUUUGGUGCAAAGUGGCAUAUGGUAUAUAAUAUGCCUCUAGGGUUUCUUUGCACGAAACCCUAGAUCCGGCCGACCUAAUCCUCCAGCUAUGCCCUAAAUAGCUUCAGUAGGUCCUUGCCCAACCCAUGCUCGCACCCCGGCCGCCGGCAGGUGCUCCGGCCGUCGGAAAACUGGAACCCGGCCACCUUUCAAGAUAUCUCUGUCCACCUUGCCUCCAUCUCGGCCAGGGAACAACUGAAACCCAUGGGACUCCCCCUCUGGCCGAGACCCGUCUCCAGCAGCAUCGCCGCCGGCCGCCGCCGCCUGGGAGAUCCGCGGCCACCCUCAGUUAGCCCUGACUAGGCACCCGUGAGGUUGUGGCCCGCAAGCCAUGGCCGCCAUGGAACGAUCGCGCCGUCCUCCCACCACCUUCUGCGAUCUUCCGCUCACCGCCUCUCGCCGUCCCGGCCAUCCCCUUGGCCGCCGGCCGCCGGGAGAGCUCCCUGCGGUCGUCCAAAACGCGUGCGGGCCAUGCAAGGGCCCGUACUGUUUCCGACUGCCACCGCCGCCCACCGUCGGGUGCCUCGCCCUCCCCUCGACCUCCGGCGAUGGAUCAGUGUCGCCCCUACCUCCUCCAGCCGCCGCCGCGCCGCCGGGAAGCCUUGAACCCGAGAGCAUGUGAAUGGUUGGAUCUCAGCCACCGCGCCACCGGCCACCGCCCGCCGGCACCUGCCCUGGACCCCUCCGACCGGCCGCACCCGUACCCGGCCGGUGUGCCUGCCACCGGCCAUGCCCUAGCUCCACCCUGUCCGGUAAACUAUUUUCAGCCUGUCUGCGCACUAGUUUCCUGUUUGGAUCACUGUUCCGGUGACCCAGGGCUGUCCCGAUGCCUCCGGAGGUGAGCAUAGUGAUCGUCAGUCAGUGCUGAUCACAAUGCUCACCUCACUUAGGGUCAGUGAGCUUCGGAUGAGUUAAUUAGAGGUGUUUUAGUUUCAGUGCGCGCUGUUUCGUUGAACUUUGUGUCGCUCGUGCGCUUCCGACAGUGGCCGAAAUUGCUCCGAAAGGUGAGCACGGCCUCCGGCACGCCGAGACCUAUCAGUGGGUGUCUCGGUUUGGCUGAAUGAUCCCUGGUUUACGAUGUCGGACCAUAAAAGUGCCGAAAUCACAUAAAAUAAUGUGAUUUCGGGUAAUCGAGAGGGCUUUUAUGUGUUUUGGGUUGUUGCGGCUGCUGUUGGCAGCAUGGGUGAGCAGUGGGUGACCUCUGGACUGAUUGUCCAAGGCUCCAAACCUUUGCGAAGAUCGAAAAUGCAUUUCCGGCGUGUUUUUCGGCGAAAUCCGCCGACGGAACGUGUGUUCGGUUCGAAAUUCUUCCGACGGUGUCUCGGGAUGAUUAUUAUGUCGCUGAACCUAGUUGGCUGGUCACCCGCGUCAUUUCGAGGGUUCGAAAAUGACGGGUGAGCGACGGUGGGUUCCCAUGUCGAAUUAGACACUUCCGGGAAUCCGGAUCGAAACGAUUAUCCGAUGAUAAUUGUUUCGACGUGAGGAGUUGUGUUUGCUGCCAUGAUGUACGAUUAUUUAUGUUUAGUGGUAGCGGGUGACUCGUAGUGAUAGUCGGUGCAUUCCGGGACAGUUCGUGGGUCCCGACGGAGUUCCGGUGUGAUUUUCGGGACUUCCGGCGAGUUACGGUAGUCGGUAUUGGGAAACCGAUCUCCGUGGAUUUGUUUGUGGGUUGUGGAUUUAGUGAUUAUUAGUUAUGGGUUAGGCACUAACCCGGUGGACCUUCCUUAGGUCCAGUUGACAUUCUUUUGCAGUCAGGAGACAGGCGCGACAUCCUUACAGGUGGGUACUUCGAUCCGACGUUGGUACAGUGGUGCACGCUCGGUGAUGGUUUCUUACCCUUGCUCUUUUGCUAUUAUCCAUGCAUAUACUAUAUGUUGAGCUUUGCACCUCUAUUGUUCCAUUAUACUCUACUCAUAUGUUUCUAUGCUUAGUAUCAUGUGUAGGAGUAGAGUAGUUUAUCGAUAUGUGAUACCUAUGACUUGGUUGGUCAGUUCUUGUAUCUCGUUUUUGUGACCUAUUCGGUCGUUUCCUUGACUUCUGUCAUUCGAUGACCAUUGAGGUCGGUGUACCCUGAGGGGUUGGAUUGUCAGCUAGUGGCCGACGGUAGUUCUGGAUUCUAUUAAUACACUCUGGUGACCUAUUCAUCGUUUCGUCAUGCAUAUAUGUUAGUUGACUUGAGUAGUCAGUACUUGUAUACCUUCGGUAGGAUAUUGAGUUGUUCCAUUCUAGUUGACCUGGUUGGUCGGUUCUCCUAUGUGGUAUCCGUGACCUGGUUGGUCGAUUCUUGUACUUCGUAUUAGUGACCUGGUUUGUCGAUUCUCGUACUUCGUGUCAGUGACCUGGUCGGUCGGUUCUUGCAUCUACAGUUUAGUUGACCCUUCAGCAGUAUUUGCAUACUUCUGAGAGGAUGUUGAGUUGGUCCAUCCUAGUUGACCUGCGUGGUCAGUUCUUGUUCUUCCUUACAGUUGAUGACCUAUACGGUCGAUGAGCCCUGUGGGCGGGAUUGUCGGCUGGUUGCCGAUGGUUGAUCAUUGAGCAUAUUGCAUUGAUCGCCUGAUACUCGUCGCAUUUCACGAACACCGGCAGUCUGAUCCACCGCAAGGGGUGUUCUUUUCCGGAAAAGUGAUUGCAGAUGCCAACCCGUGAGUCCUAGAGGGGUUAUAUGCAUGUUAGAGCGGCAGUGGUACUAUCGGGAGGUCUCCGGUGUGAACCUCCAGGGCACAGGCUUGAGGUUUGCGGUGCGGACUAAUAGAGCAGCAGAUUUCAGAUUGGGUAUAUUUGGACUUCUUGUCCGGUUGACGAAUAUAGCUAUAGUAGCGGUUGUUGUUUCUAUACCUUCAGUUCUUUCGUUACACUGUCUUGCUACUAUAGUUUUGUUGCAUGUAUACUUUCAGUUGUUCAUUACAGUAGCGGUAGUUGUACUUUUAUAUAUAUAUCUAUCUCUUUCGUUCAUUAUUGUUGCUACUGUAUUUAGUAUACCUGCUCAUGAUCUUAUAUUUCCACUGACCCGUAUUGUUGUUUAGCUCUUCCUGAUCCGGUGAGUACUUCUCGCCUUCAUCGGCUUGCGGUACCCACUGGGAGGGAAGACAUGUUUACAUGUUCUCACCUCUCCCACCAUUUUUGAGGUAUCGCGGACGGUGAGAGUUGCGACGAGACGUGAGACACGUUCGUAGUGGUCGCUAGAGCUUCCGACCCGGUUUGUUGGUUUAGUUCCUACCCUGUUUACUUUGUUAUUAAUAGCUUUAAUAUUUUUUGGUUCAGUUGGUUUAUGUUAGUUGAAUACAUGUGGUUUUAAAUGAACUAUAGAACUUGUGGGUUUUCUGAAAAGGAAAAAUGGUUUUCUACCCCUCGUGGUAACGUUUUUAAAAGAUAAAAGUUUUCGUGUAGGGAACAGUUUUUAAAAGAUUUUCUGUGGAUUUAUGUUUAGACAUUGAAUAUAAAUCUGUGAUGUGAAUGGUGAAUGUAUGAAUAUUUAGUUGUUUAUAUAUAUUCAUUUAGUUGUGGUUGUAUCCUGGUGUACAUGUUAUACUUCUUGUACUUGUGCAACGCCGUGCAAAUACAGGGGAGACUCUGUCCUAGUGAACAGUGGAUUCUCUGGAUUUGUGGCAGAUCUAGCAUACCCUGGGGUCAGGUUUUCAAAAAAAAAAAAAAAAAGACGCAUUUCCGCUGUUUUUCAAACUAAAAGGGACCCCGGUACGUGACAGUGACAAAACUCAAAAAUACAUCAAAAUACUCACAACACUCAACUCUUCAAAAGCCGAAAAUCGAAAUUCAUUGCCAUCACCAAAACAAUGAACUUCUCGUGUGAAAGAUCCAAAGAAAAUACAAAAUUACAAUUUUGCAACUCCUAAACAAACUCUAUGACUUAGGCACAAGGAGUCUUGAUGUCUUCAAAAAUCUGCAAAAAUAUUAUUCUUUCCAACGAACAAAGUUAGUAAUAAACAAAGUUAAAAAUAUCUCCCAUUUUGUUCAUGCGUCGAAGUUAAAAAUAUCUUCCCCUUUCAAAAACUCUGUAAUGGGCUGAAAUUUGAUUACAAGCUAAUUGUGAUCAAAGUGAUCACAAUAAUGCUAAAAUGGAAAUUAAGCAUUUCUAAACUUAAUUAGAGGUUUGAGAGCAGCAAUUCAAAUGUUUUGGAAGUGUGGGAAUAGACACGAAUGGAAUCGAAGUGGUUAAAGACCUCCAAUUGCCAUUGCUUCUCUUAUGCUGAAAUUUUAGUUAACUUAGUAAAAAAUGAUCAAGUUAAUGCAAAUUUGAGAAUUAAAUGUUAUCAAAUUAAUUUGGCAGCUUGGGAAGUUCAUUUGGUAUGUUUUGGAAGUGCUCGAAGUGAAUUGGAAGUGUCAGAAACCUCCAAUCACUGCUGCUAUCAAGUAAUGCUGAAAUUCCUAGUUAAUGUUGAUCAAAAUGAUCAACAUGAUGCCAAAUUGGAAAUUAAUUGCUUCCAAAUUAAUUUGACAACUUGUAGAGGUAUAUUAGUGUAAUUUGGAAGUGCUUGAGUGGACUUGAAGUGAGUUGGAUGGGCAAAAUAAGCUUCAAAGUGCUGCUGCAUCUAGUUGUUUAGUGCAGGGACUGAAUUCUAAGCUUCAGGGACUGAAAUGUAAAUCUGAAGGCUGCAAUGCCCUUUUGCUGAAAUUGAGGGUUAAGUUGCAAAUUUUCAUCUUUAUCACUUAAUCCCAGCUGAGUUGCAUGUGUGUACGUGUCCACUGCCCUUUUUCCAUCACUUCUUUCAUUCUUUUUCUUCUUCUUCUCUCUUUAGGCUGAUGGAAACCAAGAAAGAGUUGAGGAGUUUGAUGUUGGCAGCUUGGAGGACUUGUGGGCUGAGAAGAAGUCUGAACCAAGCUUAUAAUUUCUGAUGUUGAAGUUGUUGGGCAACCUGAAAUAGCACCUAAUUAAGGUAAUUGGUUCUAGUAACUGAUUAGUAUCAAGCUAAUUACCUUAGAAAGGAUGCUUACAUGGAAUCCUUGCUACUAGUGUUAGCUAUUCUGGAAUUUCAAGCCGAAUUCAUGUUGCUGCUGCUGUCGAAAUGAAGAGAGGGCCAAUUGAUGCAUGGAACAAGUUGAUUCAGCAUCAGGUUAGCGUAAGUUUAUUCCUUAUUGGAUCAUAGUCCAAUUAAUUGCUUUAAAAUGGAUCAAGUUAAGAACUAUGUGCUGAAAUUUCAGACUUGAAGCUGAAUUGUUGAGUUGUUGAAGCUAAGAUCACCCUGGUUGAAUACCUAAUUAAGGUAAACUGGUUCUAAUAUCUAAUUGUAGACAAGUUAGUUGCAUUAAAGAUGAUCCACAUAAGAGUAAUUGCUGCCAGGGUUUUGAUAUUGGACUGAUUGCAGCAAAGAACAAGUCUGGUUCAACCUUGAAGUGAAAGCUUGAGUAUUCUAUAGUGUCACCUAAAUAGCUUGGNUCGAGCUACAGAAAAUCUGAGAGAAGCUUGAAUCCUGGUAAAUGAUGCUAAAUACCUUAGUAGAAUAUGAUUACUUGUGUAGAAUUCAGGAUUAGUUAUUGCUGAAAACUGUGAAGCUCAAAUGCUGAAUUUCAGCAUUUGAGAUCCUGGAUGUUAAGGCUGAGAAGGAACCAGUUCAAUAGCAAAUCGAGAUAAAUUGCGCUUAGAACUCAAUUAGUUGUAAUUGAGAGAUGUUAAUUAAGAAUCUGAUGGAUAAUAAAGCUAAUAUAAAUGCAAAACUGUAUUGAUGAGUUCCUAUUUGGAACACUGUGAUUGUAACUUACACUAUACAUAAAUAUAUAGAUGUUUAUAUAUCUAUAUAUGUAAGUGGGAGUUAAGAUGCUAACUUGUAAAAUAUGAGAAUAAGGCUCUAGUUUAAUCUCUUUUAAUCCUUGAUAAAUGAAAGUUAAUCAUGCUCGAAAGUCUAAAUUGACUUUCCGACAGGUCGACGACACACUAGUUACGGUACAGACCGUUCUAGUUCUAUUUACACCGAGUCGCGAGAGCUAGUUGUCGACGCAUUUUGAGACGUGGAUUCUAGUUGUUUACAACACUACAGGUGGGUGGUACUAUCCGAAGUCUUUGAAUCACCUUUUAUGUCUAUGAUUAUUCAUUGAGCAUAAUUAUAUUUGUAGUCAUGUAUUAUAGGGUGUUCGGCAUUGUGCAAGUGAAAAUAUAAAUUCCUAUCAACAAUGAGAACUUGUGAACCUUAGAAUGUGGACAUAGAACCCUAUGAAUGCAUGGACUAUAACAAUAGUGAACUUGGUGACAUUCUAACUAGAGAAUUGGAUAGCAUUGAGAAAUAAAACAGUGAAACUAGCAAAAAGAGCUAGUUAGAGUUAAAGUGUGACAUGGCUAUUAUUGAAUCCUCUAAAGGAGGAUCAGAUCUUACUCACAUAGUCUGUUUUUAGCUUGGUGGUUGUCGCUCCCCCCAGGCAGUGCGCUCCGGAGUGGUCACUUGAUGGGUUAAAGAAUUUGCCCUUGAACUAAAGUAUCUGUUCUACAGACGGUCCCGUCGGGAGGCAGCUUAGGGCCCGCCAGGGAUUGAGUUAGUGAGUUACAGUUAACCAAAUGGUUAGCUAGAUUGAUUGAGUAUUGGUACAUUACAGCAUGCAUGCAUACUUACAGUUUUCAUGUAUCAUUUCUUUUAGCUUUGUACAGGCAUUGUAGUAGUUAUAUGUUAUAGUUGGUUACUAUCUGUUUACUUCUUUUGCCUACAUAUGCCUGAAUAGACCUAGUGGGUCAGUCGGCGAGGUCGGCGUCCGAACCUACUGGAAACUUUUAGUAGUUCUCACACCACUAACCACACAGGUUCCAGUGCGAGCGUUGUUGCCGAGGAUCACGGCAAGAGCCCUGCAGCCUAGCUAGUUGACACCAGAGUAUAGUAGUUUACCAUUUUGGUUUUAUGUUACACAUUUUAAUGUAAUGAAACUUGUAAAUGAAUAUAUAAACAGUAUGUAAAUAACUAAAUGUUCCAGUUAUGUAAAUUCAGUUUAAAGUUUUAAAUUACAGUGAAUUUCAUGUUUAGUUAGUUUACUAUCACUUGUGAUUGUUGCUUGCCCUUGUGCAAGCCAUGUAUAUUGAAAUGUUAUCCUGGGAAUUGUUUAUUUCUUUAUACAUGUACUCGUUGUUGUUGAGCCUUGGGCGGACAGAGGAGGUUCUGUCCGUUCGGCGUCUGUGUACGGGCUCGGAUCGACCAAAUUGGCGAUAGCGGGACGUGACAGAAAAAGUGGUAUCAGAGCAAGCGAUAGUAAAAGUCUAGGAUGACCUACGGGACUUAGGAUUGGAAACCUAGGAACCAGGAACGCGAGUGGCGUGAAUCUAAUGAUAGCGAAAGCCAAAUAAAUUGGGUUAGCUGUUAGUAAGUCUCUAAUGUUAAUUAGGGGCUGAUCCAGGUGAUAUUUGUACACAACUUAAGGAGUUAUGUUGGGUGGCCAACAACAUAAAGCCGAGGGUUGAGUAUAAAUAUGCUUGAUUGCUUUCGCCUGAUUGGUUUCGUUUUACUAAUGUGAAUGGUUUGUUUCAGGAGAAAUGCCACCGCGACGUGCGACGAGAUCCACUCCGGCAUCACCUUCUGAGGUGCCAGAGCAGUUUGGGUCUGGUGAGGUUCAGGAGUUGUGUGCUCAGGUGAGCGCGUUAGUCGGGGCUAUGCAGAGACAGGAGGAACAUAUAAAGAGUCUACAGGAUCAAAUGUCGCGACAGGCGACAACAGCAGCACCUGGGAGUCAGGAUGUACCUGUAUCUGAGGCGCCGAUGACCGUGCCUCCUGUUCCGCCGACUGUUCCUCCCAUGGUUUCUGGGCCUUCUGCUGUAGAUCCAGCCGUGGUAGAGGCCGAGCAAGUGCGAUUUGUAAAGGUACUAGAGGCAUUUAUGCGGUUUAAUCCGCCUAUGUUUGACGAAAAAGAAGCAGAUCUGUGGGUAUUGGAGACGUGGUUUACAGCGAUGGAGGCAUUAUUUGAGGACAUUUAUACCCUGGAAAGGGACAAGGUUCCGUUGGCAGCGCACUGUUUUGAGAAGGAUGCUCAGAUAUAGUGGCAAAAGGCCAAGAAGAAGCGGGCAUCAAACUUAUCACCGUUCACUUGGGAGGAGUUUCGAGAGCUGUUAUUUAUGGAGUACUUUCCUGACAGUGAUAAAGGGAAAAUGAAGAAAGACUUCCGUAAGUUGAGACAGGGAAACCGUUCGGUAUGGGAGUACGAACGAGAAUUUACUCAUUUGGUGAACUGUGUGCCUGGGAUGGUUCAUACAGAUCGAGAUCGAGCGGAGUGCUUUGAGCGGGGGUUGCGACCGGACAUAUUCAGGACAGUCAAUGCUCUAAAGUUAAAAACUUUUGAGGAAGUUUUAGAUCGAGCUCUUUGGGUUGAGCGCGAGAAUGCGAUUGCGCGUUAUGAACGCGAAUCGUUUGAAAGAGAACGAGAAAGAGAAAAAGAAAAGAAAAGGACUACUAGUGGUGCCGGGGGACAGUCGAGCUCUAAACGGCCCCCUCGGUAUCUACGUUCCCAGUCGAGGUAUUAGGGACCCCCGAGGUGUGUGAUUUGUGGCGGGAAUCAUCGACCGUCGGCUUGUUCACAGCAUGAGGGCAAGUGUUACAAGUGUGGGCAGCCGGGACAUAUGAUUCGUGAUUGCCCGAGGGGAGCAUCAUUUGCACCGUCGACAGCUUCAGUUCAGUCACGUGCGAGGCAGCGUGCGGGUCUCCCACCCGCUAUGUCAGCUGGGCGAACGUUUGUGCCGCGCCAGUACGAGCCACCCCGACCUGCACCGAGUACACGGAUUGAUGCACCACGACCUGCACCGAGUGGUCGUGUAUUUGCAGCUCAGACUGAGGAUCCUGCCGUGGUCGACGAUGUCGUGGCAGGUAUUGUUUUACUUUAUGGUAUUAGAUCUCGUGCAUUAUUUGACACUGGUGCAUCUCAUUCAUUUAUCAGUAGUUCAUUUGCUAAAACACAUGAUAUUGAGAUUUUGGAUAGACCAGAUGCCUGGUGGGUCUAUGCUCCUGAGCACACGUUUAGUGUUCACGAGGAGUGUACGGCAUGUCCAGUUCAGGUUGGAGAUUAGAUUAUGCCAGCUGAUUUGUUAGUGUUGAAGCAAAUGAAAGGUUUUGAUAUAAUCCUUGGGAUGGAUUGGCUUACAAAGUACUAUGCCACGAUUGACUGCGAAAGUAAGAUUAUUACUUUUCGUGAACCUGGGCAAAAAGAAGUUGUGUAUCGGGCGUGUAAGAGUUCGCUCUUUGCGUUAACAGUAUCGACGUCGAGAGCGAGAAAGUUGAUUAGUAGUGGAUGUGUGGCUUAUUUGGCAACAGUUAUGGAGACUCAGAAGGAACUUCCAGUACUUGGAGAUAUUCCAGUAGUUCGAGAGUUUCUUGAUGUGUUUCCUGCGGAGUUACCGGGAUUGCCGCCGGAUCGGGAAAUUGAGUUCGUUAUUGACUUGAUUCCCGGAACGGCACCAAUUUCGAAAGCUCCGUACAGAAUGGCACCUGCUGAGUUGAGAGAGUUGAAAGCUCAGUUACAGGAUUUGAUGGAUAAAGGCUUUGUGAAGCCUAGUGUAUCACCGUAGGGAGCUCCAGUUCUGUUUGUAAAGAAGAACGACGGAACGCUUCGACUUUGUGUUGAUUAUCGUGAACUGAAUAAGAUCACGAUCAAAAAUAAAUAUCCGUGGCCGCGAAUUGAUGAUCUAUUUGAUCAAUUGCAAGGAUCACGAGUAUAUUCGAAGAUUGAUCUCCAAUCAGGUUACCACCAAUUGAAGAUCAAACCAGAGGAUGUGCAUAAGAUAGCGUUUCGCACUCGUUAUAGUCAUUACGAGUUUACAGUGAUGCCGUUUGGACUGACCAAUGCCCCUGCAGCGUUCAUGGAUCUAAUGAAUAGGAUCUUUAAGCCGCUGUUGGAUCAGUGUGUGGUAGUAUUUAUAGAUGAUAUCCUGAUCUUUUCUCGAAGUAAUGAGGAGCACGAAGAACACUUGAGAACAGUGAUGCAAAUUCUUCGGGAGAAACAGUUAUAUGCCAAAUUGAAGAAAUGUGAAUUUUGGCUGCGAGAGGUCGCAUUUUUGGGGCAUGUGAUUUCUAAGGGUGGUGUUUCUGUUGACCCAAAGAAAGUGGAGGCAAUUAAAGAUUGGCCUCGCCCGACGACUGUUGCUGAGAUCCGCAGUUUUCUUGGAUUAGCGGGGUACUAUCGGCGGUUCGUGGAGGGAUUUGCAAAGAUUACUACUCCACUAACACGCCUUACACAUAAAGGAACUAAAUAUGUGUGGAGUGAAGAAUGUGAUCGCAGCUUUCGGGAGUUGAAAGAAAGGUUGACUUAGACUCCUAUUCUUGCCUUGCCGAUUACGGGGGAGAGUUUUGUGAUCUACAGUGACGCUUCCUACAGUGGACUUGGGUGUGUACUUAUGCAGGGUGGUCGAGUGAUUGCUUAUGCGUCUCGCCAGCUGAAGAACUAUGAAAAGAAUUAUCCUAUUCAUGAUUUGGAAUUGGCGGCGGUGAUCUUCGCACUGAAGUUGUGGAGACAUUACCUUUAUGGCGAGCAUUGUGAAAUCUAUACUGAUCACAAGAGCCUGAAGUAUUUAUUUACCCAAAAAGAGCUGAAUAUGCGACAACGCCGGUGGUUAGAAUUAUUGAAGGAUUAUGAUGUUAAUAUUCUAUACCACCCAGGAAAAGCGAAUGUAGUUGCAAAUGCACUGAGUAGGAAGUCUGUGGAGAACUUGGCUAUGGCGAUCACCCACCAACCGUCAUUGUGGAAGGAAAUGUGGCAGUUUGACCUUGAGGUAGUAGCUCCAGAGGUACCAGCUAUACUCGCCGCUCUAGUUAUUCAACCGACCUUGUUGGAACGGAUUAAAGAUCGGCAAUCUUUAGAUCCUAUCUCCAAAAGGUGCGGUAUGAAGUUGAGAGCGGACGUGGUGAUGAUUUUACAGUGGGAUCUGAUGGAGCACUUCAGUUUCGAAAUCGGUUGUGCGUGCCCAAAGACGAGGAGAUUCAGCGAGCUAUUUUGAAGGAGGCUCAUCAGUCACCUUAUAGUAUACAUCCAGGUGGCACUAAGAUGUACAAAGAUCUUAAAGUGCAUUAUUGGUGGCCUGGAAUGAAGAAAGAUAUUGGACAGUUUGUGGCGCAGUGCCUGACAUGUCAGCAAGUGAAAGCUGAGCGCAGAUUUCCCGCGGGAAAGUUACAGAGCUUGCCUAUUCCGGUCUGGAAGUGGGAGAACAAUUGCGAUAGAUUUCAUUGUUGGAUUACCUCGAUCACAGGCUGGACAUGAUACCAUUUGGGUGAUUGUUGAUCGGUUGACGAAAUCGGCACAUUUCUUACCGAUUCAUGCUACUUGGUCAGGGGACAAGUUAGCACAGGUGUUGUAAGAUAUCGAAAUUCGACGAAAACGGCUAACUUUGGCACAAUGGACCAAAGUGAGCGAUCGGAAGUUGGGACAAGUCCCAUUCGGUAUUCCAACGAGUUUGGAAGAGCUAAAAUGAGUUCCAAAGGUGUUGGAAUGGGUUUGACGUCGAUUGGCGCGAAGUGGAGCCGAAGCGAGGCUGAAAACAGCUUUCUGGAGCUGGUGUACCGGUACACGCAUGAUGGCUGUACCGGUACAGCCAUUGCUGCCAGGCUGCGCAGCCCUCGGGUUUGCUCUCGGGUUUGGCCGUUACGCAGGGCGCGUACCGGUACGCAAACCCGUGUACCGGUACACGAGCACGCAGCAGCGGGUUAAGUUGCAAAAUCUGAUAAAAGGAGGGCUUUUUAGCAUUUUGUUAUAAUAGAGGACUUAACCCUCAUGCCCUCAGCUCUCUCCUCUCUCACUCCCACAGCCCCUCUCUCUCUCUAGCUUUCUCUCUCUCUCUAACCGGUUGGGAGAAAAGAAGAAGAAGAAAAAGAGAAGGAAAAAGAGAGGAAGAAAAGGAAGGAGAAGAAGGCGAAGAAGGUUUUGAAGUCCUUCUUCAUCUCGUUUUUGGCCUAGGGCUUGCUUUGGAGCAAACCCUAGAGGUAAGCCUCAACCCCUUUCAUGGUAACUUGUGAUUUCUAGGGUUUGGAUGGUUUUUGUUGCUUUUGAUGGUUCAAAUGGAACCUAAUGAGCUUAGAGAACAUGGAUUUAGCUCACAUUGAAGCUAUAAUCCAUAACCUCUCAUGGAUCCCAACCCUAGGGUUAGAUUUUGGGGAUUUUAAAAAUGUGAGGGAUUGAACUCUUUUGAGGGGUUAGAAACCUAAUUCUUAUGCUUAUAAACGCGUAGGCGAAGACGGUUCGUCGAUCCGACGAGUGGGCGCGAAGAUAUCGCUAUUCGAUGCGCUAAAGGGUUAAAGUUAACCCAACGAAAAUUAAGCGGCGACAAGACUAGCACGAGAACGCGUCUCGGAGUGUUUGCGGCAUCACCCAAGGUGGGGGAGUGCCAUCCCGAAGUCAUCGGGCCACCUUCUAUGUCUAAGUUUUAAUUGAUCUAUUUGCAUAUUGUGCAUAAUACAUAUAGGGUUAGAAAAUGAUUAUUGUUGCUUAUACUUGCAUACUAUUAGUUCAAUAAAUAUAUAUAUUGCUUGGUUGGUUUAUGAUCUAGUAUGCAUGAUGGUUGCUUGAUGAAAAUCUAGACCCUAUAUGAGAUGAUUAAUGCUUAUGUUGCUAAAGAACUAGUAUGAUGAAACUAGUGUUGAUAAUGAGUCAAAUUGACGAGUGGCAUCUAGUUUAGAAAACUAUGACAAGUGGCAUCUAGUUAGAAAAACUAUGAUGAAUGACAUUGUUGAUGUUUCCUUGAGAUGAUCACAUUAGUGUAGUUGAGACACUAUGAGAUUGGGUACAAGUAUACAUUGAUUCCAUGAUGAUAUUACCCUAAAAAAGGGUUGUUGCUGUUGCUCGUGAGAUGAUCUUGCUCACAUUGCCUGUCUGCGCUUGGUGGGGUCGCUCCCCUCAAGUUGUGCGCUCCGGAGUUUGGUCACUAGAGAGGCAGCCGUCCGGUUCGAGGGCGGCGGGCGGACCGCCGAACGGACAGCACCUCCCCUGUCCGCCCAAGGCUAAACAAUGAGAUCAUGUACAACAAGUCCCCAGGAAAUCAACUUGAAUACAUACAUGAUCAUGCAACAACAGCGAGAGCACAAACAGUGCUGAACAAUACGAGAGCAAGCGUCACAAGUAGAAGACAUACAAGUGAAACAAAAGAGAGAUACUUAACUAUUCUAUUACAACCAUUCAGCUCGAUACAUUUAAUUACAACUUGCAUUCUUUUCCAAACUAUGAAUAUAAGCUUACAUUCUUCAAAAGAUAAACAUUAGUUUACAUUUAUCUCAAAAUACCUCACAUCCUAUACAUCAUCUACUCUCAAUACAUGUAUAGGGUAACUCUAAUGCAANUGAAAUGGUAAUAUGAUAGAAUUACAUAGAAACUGAUUGAUACUCCUAGCUGAUUUGGGAUUGGUUGCUAGGGUACUUGGAGUGCAUCGGAUACUUGUACUUACAAGUUCAACUAGAGUCGUUGAUUAUUGGUGGGUUGGACCUUCCCAAAAUGGGUGAAUUCCCUCUAUGUCUCCUUUGACAUUAUGAGUGAACAUAUUACAUGCUUAUGUGAACCUAUGUGUAUUUGAAGGAUUUGAGACAUGCAUCCAUGUGCAUACCAUAUCGGAUAUAAUAGCAUCUCUAUGCAAUAGAGAAAGAAUUAUGAAAUGGCCUAUUUCCCAUAGAUCAAUUGCUCUAUUCUCAUGUAUCCAUGUUAUUAGUAGCUUAUACGAACAAGAUAAGCAUGAUAUUAUUCAAGAGGGAGGAAUUGUAAAACCAGGAGUAAUAUUUAGCCCUACUGAACAACAAGGAAAUGAUGUACUUGAGAUGAAAGCAUGCAAUUCUAUGUUGUAGACAUAGUGCUUGAACUCUUAGUCUAUCCUAUAUAAUGAGGUUAUUAAUACAUUCAGGUGGAAUCAUGCAAGAGUAUAUUGGACAUUGUUUUACUUACUUGUGUUGACUAGUAUACUAUUGUUUUCAACUGAUCAAAUUAGCAUGAACUUUGUGUUUUGGAAUAUGAUCUAAUUAAGUGAUCAGAACUUGGCAUGAUGAUAUAAUAUGAAUGUACCUGGUUAAAUAUAAUAUAGUGAAAUGACUAGAAUAACCAUCAUGUAUACUAGUAAGAUCAAACCAAAGUAUUUGCAUGUGACUUAUUUACUCCAAGUGGUGAAGGGUUAAGUGGAACUUUAGAAUAUGUGCCAUGAGUCAUUUAAACCUAGAAUGAGUCAUUGAAUAUGACCUUAGUAAACCACUUUCCUUAUGUAUAGGGAGUAGUGAGAGGACUCUAUAUGAAUAUGCAUAGGUAUAGCCCAUCAUGAUAUUAAGUUUAUAAUUAUUCAGGUUAUACCAGCUAUUGGUCAAAGUAUGUCAACAAGUAGUUGAUAGUGACGUGUGGUUUGGGUACUACAGUGUCGACCUUGCGUUGAAUUGAGAUUCCAUGUUAGAGACAUGAUGAACUUGUGAUACUUGUGCUAUGGAUUAUAGCUUGCAUGCCAUUAUGCUCUUUCGCGCACGCUUGUGGGGAUCACGCCCCCCAAGCCAGCACUUCGGAGUAGCUUAGCGACAGAUUGCUCACUUAUGUACGAAGUGAGCGCCGAAGUGGAUUGCCGUGGGUAGUGUUAACUUCCACGGGGCCAUUAGGCACGACGCGGCUAUGACCUCACCCUGUGUAAGUUUAUUGUGAAUUGGGCCAUGAUGAGCCACUUUAACCUUAGAUGAACAUAGUAGUAAGAAUACUUUAUGUCAUGGGUCGAGUAAACUUAAUGAUGAACAAGCUAGAAAGUUAGCAUCCUAAUUAGUUAGUAGCAUAGUGAUAGUAUGGUUACACUGUUACCAGUGUAAGUACUAUCUAUAUAACAUCAUCAGUUAGUUCAAUGAUAAUGAGAAUCAUUGCAUAUAGCCUAGCAUAUGGGUAUUCAAAUUGUCAACUAACAUGAAUGAUAAAACUUAGCAUGCUAAACUAGUAUUCAACCUGUUGAUUUAUAUUUAUAUAUUUUCUGAGCAAAUGUCAUGAUUGAUUUAUUUCAAUACUUGUUACAGUAUGGUUACACUGUUACCAGUGUAAGUACUAUCUAUAUAACAUCAUCAGUUAGUUCAAUGAUAAUAAGAAUCAUUGCUUAUAGCCUAGCAUAUGGGUAUUCAAAUUGUCAACUAACAUGAAUGAUAAAACUUAGCAUGCUAAACUAGUAUUCAACCUGUUGAUUUAUAUUUAUAUAUUUUCUGAGCAAAUGUCAUGAUUGAUUUAUUUCAAUACUUGUUACACUUGCUUAAUUAUUGCUAUUUACUCAUGCCACAGUUGACCUAGUGGUGUAUUUCGCCACUCUCGGUGGCUUACCUACUGGGAACUAUUAUUUAAUAGUUCUCACACCAUCUUUGUUGUUGCUUUUACAGAGCCUUCCACAGCGGGAAAGGCUAGGGUUUCUGGCGAGGGGUCAACGGCUAGCUAGGAUCAUCUUGACGUUAAAUAGACAAACCUUUACCAGUUUAUGUAGUUUAGUUCAGUGAUGUAUAUUGAGAUCAUGUAAAUUGUAUUUUGUUUUUAUCUGUUGUAAUAAGAAUUUGGGUUGUAUAAGUUUAAACUCUUAGUUGUGCUCCUAUUACUUAGUUAAGUUAAGAUUUUGUUGUGUUACAUUACUCUCUUUGUUGACACCUGGUGGACAUCAUGUAGUUUAGUGUACACGGCGGGUUUGUGCACGUUGCUGCAAGCUUCCGUUGAAGACCAGGGCGUGACAACAUGAGUCGAGUUUCGCAUAUGCUUACGGAGAUUUGAUACAUGAAACACAUUAUGAACUCCCGCAAGCCUUGGUGGUAAUGCUAACUUGUAUGCCACCGCGCCGACGCGUUCCAAUAUUUCGAACGGUCCAACAUACCGGGGACUUAGUUUCCCACGGACUCCAAACCGUUUUACUCCACGCAUUGGCGACACCUUCAAAAAAAGAUGCGGUCUCCAACCGCAAACUCAAGAUCUUUUCUAAGCUUGUCGGCAUAGCUUUUUUGCCGAGAUUGCGCCAUCGCAAGUCGCUGGUGGGCAAGGAGAACUUUCUCUUCCGCCUCCCGCACUACAUCGGGGCCAAGAGCAACUCUCUCGCCCACAUUGCUACAUGGCACACAAAGAACCCUUCUUUGCAUCUACCAUUCGCUACCGAGCACAUGAAGGACUUAUCCCUCUACAACUCUGCUGAAUACCUCUUUCUUCGAGAUCAGGACUACCCCUUAUCCUCGUGGUGUGGAUCUAACAAGAAUGCAUCAACUGGCCGAAUGGUCCACCACCACUACACAAUAUGUACGUGUAGACCUCCUCGAUCCACUCAAGUGUGCACAAAGUGGCACUCUACCACUUUGGCUAUCCAAGAGUAUGCAUCCCCAUUUAUGACUCUUCUUUGCAUUCAUUAUCCCUUCAGGGAACACACUCCGAUUCUAUCACCGGCAUUGCUUAGAAGUAAUAACCCGGGUGCAUCGCUCCAUCGCGAGUGCUCCAAUCACAAUCGGACUCUUAGCUCUGCCGCGAGAUGGUCCACUUUGGCACAUCUGUACAUUCCAGUUCAUUUAAGAGCAUAGUCCCCAAAUCUCACGUGGCUUUCUACUAGCUCAAUGUCUCACAAAGAGCACUUCAUCUUUUUGAUACCAUAUGCCACGGUCAACAUCAAUCGCUCUCACAACGAGUUCACACGAACACUCCGUUCAUGAAUCCAAGCCAAUCUCACCGACAGAGUUGUCGGCCAAACCGCGCACCUUGGCUUCCACAGGUGGACCAAAGGUCACCAAUCCUACGUAGGCUUACCACCUAAACCCAUCUCAACUACGCACAGCAUCUCUCGUUUGCAAGCGUAGACCCAAUCAUCACUGGGCGAAAUUCUCACUUGGGAAUUCGUACACACUCCAACUAGGAGCAAACGAGACCCCAAACCACUAUAUAAUCUUCGAGUUGGGUCAUAACCGAACUCUCGGUACACUAUUGAUCACACGAUUCACACGUGGCACUCCACGCUCUCGGGUCUCAGCUCGGACUACCGCCCCGACCAUAAAUCUCUGCCUUACACGUAGGUACCGGGCCGCUGUCACUCACAGCUGACUGCGCCUGUCCAUAUGGCCCCAGGCUCCACAGUCCACAAAUGGUCCAAGCACGGAUCGUUCUCAAGCCAUACCCGCUAACGUCGUCUCUCACGACAUGCUCUACCAAGCAACACACAUCUCUAUCGGCUCCUAAGCAUCCAAGGCGAGCCACCAUGUCACGCCCCGGAGCUGCCAAUUUGGUCGGUUCGGGCACGCGAACAGACGCCGAAGGGACAGCACCUCCCUUGUCCGCCCAAGGCUCCAACAACAUGUAUAAUACAAGCAAUUCAAUACAAAUUAACGCAAUUAUAUAAGGUUUGCACGGGGCAAACAACAACUAUGACAAGUGAAAGCAUCGAAACUAACUAAACGUUCAACAUACAAGUCAUUUGAUUUCAUUUGAAUCAAACACAAGUAAAUUUAAAAUAUUACAUUCAUAUUCUUUUUCAUUCACAUUUACAUCACAAAGGCAUUCAACCCAAAAUAUGUUAUUUACAUCUUUUUCUUACAACUUUUUUGUUCAACAUACAAAAGUUGAUUACUAAAACAUAGGGUAUGCUUAUAAACUCCGAGGCCACUAACUCUGGCGCCAAACCCUUGCCUCGAUCCUCCGCCGCCUCGCUCGCUCAUGGAUCUGCAGGGUUAGUAGUGGUGUAAGAACUACAACGAAGUUCCCAGUGGGUUCGGCCGCCGACCGCGCCGACUCGCCCACUAGGUCUAUGCAGGCAUGUGUAAUUCAAGGAAUGAUAGAUUGCAAACCAACUAAUGCAAAACUAUUACAAUGCUUGCAAGAAAACUGUCAACAGAUAGAUAAUCAAAUACAUGAUAAAUAUGCAUGCAUAUUCUUUUCCUCAUUCAUUUUGGCCUUUACCCAAUUAUCCCGGGAUUCUCCUGGUUCACCCCAAACUCACAGUCCAUUCAUCUCGUCUACUGGGGGAGGCACAUGGCACUACCGCCCAAGGAAUCUUCGCCGGGGUACUUCCCCGUGGUGUCUACACUCCGGAGUAUACCGCUUGAGGAGGAGCUACCUCCCUCAAGCCGGAACCAAUGUGUGAGUACGAUCCAAUCCUCAAUUUGAGGGCGUAGCCAAACCUGUCUCAAUGCACAAAGCCUCAAUGCCAAGGAUAGGUCAUUACCAUAUCACAUUCCCACUAUACCUGAGCCACAAUGGUCCUGAUGCCAUUAUAGGUUAAACCUUGUUUAGCCGUUCUUAUUUUCGGUGCCAAUAUCGUCACUAAUGUCAAUGUCACCAUUGUUUACUAUGGUCAUAGUCUCUUUUUCAUACAUUCACAUACACAUAGGGUUUUUCGCAUUCAUAGUUCACAUGGUUCUAUAUCAAUUCAUAUGUUCUCUAGCAUACAAUUGAAUCUCAACCAAUCAUAUUCAUCACACUACCCUAUAUGCAUGAAUGCUAAUAUCAAUAUGCUCAAUAAUGGUAACAUAAACAUAGAAAAAAAUUCGGUGUUUCCGGAUAGCACCCCCCACCUCUUGGUGAUGCUAAGAUGCUGUAAUCCAAUUUUCCAUAAUUUUUAGACCUCUAUGCCGCUUGCUAUGGCAAAAUAAAGUUGAAACGGGCAUUUUUCCUCGAUAUCUUCGCGUACGCUCGUCGUAUUGCCGAACCGAGCGCGCCAACGCAUUCGUUAACCUACCCCGAAACCACUACCAAUUUGGCACGAUUCGGCCGUGGCGGCGGAUUGCCAAACGGACAGCACCUCCCCUGCCCGCCCAAGGCUCCACAACAAGAAUGUGUACAAGAAUUUACCCAGGAGAUUACAUUCUAAACAUAUACAUUCACAAGGGCACAAAUAGUGCCGACAAUACAAAGAGCAAGAAUCCAUAAGAUAAAAUAUGUGAAAUAAAGAGAAUACUUUACUAACUAUUACAUUAGUUUCAUCAUUUUCAUUUACAUCAUUUUCAUCCAAAAUGAAUACAUUUCUUUCAUCUCAAAAUGCAUAGCUCUCCAAGUCCUCACCUAAAAUGAAUCUCUCUCAAUACAUAGGUGUACUAAUGCAAAAGGAAAAGCUACUAAACUACCACGGUCUCACUGAUCGGGCGCGAUGCCCUUGCCGCGGUCCUCCCUCGGCAGCCCUGUACCUACCAUUGAAAAUAGAGUGGGGUGAGAACUAUCUUCCAUAGUUCCCAGUGGGCUCGGCCGCCGACUCUGCCGAUCUCCCCAAUAGGUCCAAGUGGGCAUAAGUAACAACAGAUAGAUAGAUAGAUAUGUAUCUGAAAGCUGUAAAUGCGAUAGUAGGAAAACUAUGCUACUAUGCCCAUAAUCAUGAAUAUGAAUGCAUGCAUCAUAUAAUAAAGGUUUGCUACCAUGCUAACAAAUUCGAUCCAUGUUCGAAUAGCAAUGUUCAAUGACAUUAUUAAACCUUUAACCUUUCCAUUUACCCAAUCUGUGGCGAGGCCCUAGGGCUCGCCUAUAACUCACCCUUCAAUCCCAAAGUGGGGAGGGAGCUCCAUGUGCACCCAAGCCCGGGACCGUCUGCGGACCUCCAUGUGGUCCGGACCUCCAAGUGGUCCUAGUCGCUCAACACUCCAGAGUACUCGACGACAAUCCCCUCCAUGUGGGGAUUGGAUGGCUAUACUAUUCCAAACGCAGACUGUGAGCUAGAUCUAUCCUCUCCAAGUGAGGAUGCCCUACAUCUAGGGUCAACAACUCAAUCAAGUCCUCUCCAAGCGAGGAUGCUCUACAAUAGAGUCUAUACCCAAUCGAAUCCUCUCCAAGUGAGGGAGCACUAUCACUGGGGUCAACAACCCAAUCAAAAUCCUCUCCAAGUGAGGAAGCCCUACCACUAGGGUCAAAGUCUCAAUCGACUCAUCGACAACCUCUCCACGUGAGGCUACUUAGGUUUACUAAGUUCUUUAUCCAUAAGGCAUUUUCUAAGGGAUCCACCUAUCCCUAGGUUCUCAAACCUCUAGUGUUAUUUACACUACAUUAAUGCCACUCGUCAUCAUUUAAUGUUUGGAUGCCACUCGUUUGUUCUUUAACAUUAACACUACUUUCUAUGUCAUCAAUACCCCCAUCGGGUUCACCUCUUUUCUUUCGCAUUAUAGGAUCCACGUUCCGACCCAAUCCUCACCUAUCUAAGUCACCAAGCGUUCCAAGUACACUAGGUUAUCAUUUAGAAAGCAUAAAGAAUAGAGUUACUAUGCAAUCCUACAAUGCAACAUGAAGAGAUGAGGUUAAAUGCAAUCUAAGACAUAGAAAAGAGUCCGAAAGCUUCGGGAUGGCACCCCCCCACCUUUAAUCGAUGUAGAGACUUCGGAAAUCCUUCUCAGCGAACUUUAAGAUAAGGCUUUAGCCUUCCUUGCCCAAAUCAACACUAACCCGGCCCUAUUUUGUCGAGAACUUCAUGCCGGCUCACCGAAUACCAAAACCGACUUCGCCCCCACGUUUUGUGACCUAACAAUAGGGUUUCCAAGGCUUCAAAUGAGAUCAAUCUCAUCUUUUCACAAAAAUUCCCAUUUUGGAGCCCUAGGUUUGCACCUAUAGCAAACCAUCCAAUAAAUCCCUAAAUUUAUGGGAUUGAUUUACUUAGAAGCAUGCUUAGGGUCCAUUUGACCCAUUCCAAAGCAUAAAAACCCAAAACCCUAAUAUUCUAGAAGCUAGGGUUCAAGAGCCUACCUCUUGUGUUACACCAAAGAGAAGAGGAGAGGGAGAUGAAGGUGCCCAAAGCCUUCCUCUUGAUCUCCUUCUUCUUCUCCUUCUUGUUCUUCCUCUUCUUUUCCUUCCUCUCCUUCUUGUUCUUCUUCUUCUCCUUUCCUUUCUAGAGAGAGAGAGAGCAAGAGAGCAAUGAGAGAGAGAGAGAGGGAGAAAAUGAGAGUGUGAGGGAGAGAGAGGGCUCAGCCCACUCUAAUAAAGGCCAUUUUGCAUAAAAACCCCUCAACUUUCCAUCCACUGCACAGCCCUCACUGGGCAGAGUUUGCGCGGAGGGACCGGUCUCCCCGACUUAGGAUCGGUCCCCGAGGGCCUCCCUCGGGCGCACGCGUUCGGGAACCGGUCUCUCCCCGGGAGACCGAUCCUAGGGAGACCGGUCCUCGCCUAUGUCACGCCCCGGGACCGAUACCAAUUUGGCCCGACCCGAGCACGUCAAACAGACGCCGAACGGACAGAGUUUCCCCUGUCCGCCCAAGGCUCAUCACAUGUACAUUUUCAUCAAUAGAGAAAAGCACUAGCGGAAACAUACACAAACGGCUUACACGAGGGUAAGCAAUAGCCAUUAGUGAAAGAAAGGAAAACUAAACAUUCACAAGUACUAUGAUUCAUUUUGAUCAAAUACAUUGCAUCCAUUUACAUUCAUGAUUCUUUGUACUUCAUUACACGUGGCAUCAUUUCCUUCUUACAUCACAUUUACCUCAAAAUACAUAUUACAUUCUUUUCUUUACAUUACUAGUCAUUAUAUACAAAAGAUGAACAUAGGGUACUUUACUACAAAAUGAAAUCCAACUUUGGUGGCCUCUGACUAAGGCGCGAUACCUUUACCUCGGUCGCUCGCCGGCUCGCUCGGUCCCGGCUCUGUGGAAAUAGUGGGGUGAGAACUACAACAAAGUUCCCAGUGGGUUCAGCCUCAACAUCACCGACUUUCCCACUAGGACUAACUCAGGCAUAAUAGAAAGAAUAAGCUGUAUAGUAACCAAUCUAUAACAUGAUGCUAAUAUGCCUGAACAAUAAGCAAGAAGUAUGCUCAACAUCAAAUAAAUGCAGAUUAUGCAAACUCAUUCGUUCUUUGACUUUACUUUGUACUUUGUUCUUUAUUCUUUGCUCUUUGUUCUUUGUUCUUUAAUCUCAAGGCUAACCCGGAGGUUUCGCCACAUUAGCUUGCUUCACAUUAAGUCUAUCAUCGCAGGAACUCACCCGCUAGGACCGUCCUUUGGGUUUACUCCAACCCGUGAUGCAUAACUCCGGAGCGCAUCGCCCGAGGGGGAGCGACCGCCCUCGAGCACAGAACUCAUAGCAAGUAUGAUCAUAUCCUUAACUCAAAGGAUUAUAAGUUCAAUCUUGACUUUACACUAGCUCUAGUGUUCAUUACAUCACUUUAUGUUGCAAACUCAUGCAAUCACGUUCUUUACAUUAUCCUUUACUUUUGCUGACUCUAGCAAUUAUAUUCUUUACAUUCUUUACUUUUGGCUAUCUCUAGCAUUUCACGUUCUUUACUUCCCACAUUGCGUUAACUUUAAGCAUUGUCAUUUUCAGCAUUCUUUACAUUACAUUGGUUCUUUACCUCACACUAUCUCUAGUGUCAAUUCACAUUAGCUUUAUCGAAUGCCACUCGAUCUAUGUUAUUGUGUCACUCAGUUCUUUUGCUCACUUUGGGUGCUCACUUUCUCUCAUGCAUACAUAGGGUUUUGACAUUCAUUUGGUUCUCUACCAUCAUUAUAAGCAAGUUGCACUCACAAUCAUGCUAUCAUCACAUUCUUAUCAUUACUUCACCCUAAUAUGCAUGCAACAAUAUAUAUAACACAUGCUCAAAUGAAUGACACAUUNCGACCUUGUCUGCGAUCGACGUCGAGGUGCCAUUGCUUCCUGAAAAGAAGCAACUCACAUUAGUCACUUGACCAACAUUACUUGACCAUACCCAAUUAGGCGAAAGCAACAUGCACAUUCAUCCUUGCCUCAAGCGUCAUGUCGUCGGCCGCCUGACACAACACUAGAAGUAGAGGAUAAACGAAAAUUAAACUUAGCCUCUAAUCACAUUAGAGACGUUCCAACUUAACCCAAUCACAUGCUUUCGCUAACUUUGAUCCCACGUCACUCACGUUUCCUAGAUCCUUAAGGCCUUCCAAUCCUAUAGGUCUCUAGGUCCAUUCCUAUUCUUUCACUCUUGUCUCUGAUACCAACUUAUCUGUCACGCUCCGGGACCGAUACCAAUUUGGCCCGACCCGAGCACGUCAAACAGACGCCGAACGGACAGAGUUUCCCCUAUCCGCCCAAGGCUCAUCACAUGUACAAAAUUCAAACAAGAAUUGCACUAACGGAAACAUACACAAAAGGCUUACACGAGGGUAAGCAAUAGCCAUUAGUGAAAGAAAGGAAAACUAAACAUCUACACAAGUAAUAUGAUUCAUUUUAGAUCACAUACAUUGCAUCCAUUUCUUACAUUUAGGAUUCUUUGCAUUCGUUACAUCAUUGCAUCAUUUCUUUCGUACAUCACAUUUACCUCAAAAUGCACAUUACAUUCUUUUCUUUACAUCACUAAUCAUCAUGUACAAAAGAUGAACAUAGGGUACUUUACUACAAAAUAAAACCCAACUUUGGUGGCCUCUGACUAAGGCGCGAUACCUUUACCUCGGUCGCUCGCCGGCUCGCUUGGUCCCGGCCCUGUGGAAAUAGUGGGGUGAGAACUACAACAAAGUUUCCAGUGGAUUCGGCCUCAACAUCACCGACUUUCCCACUAGGACUAACUCAGGCAUAAUAGAAAGAAUAAGCUGUAUAGUAACCAAUCUAUAACACGAUGCUAAUAUGCCUGAACAAUAAGCAAGAAGUAUGCUCAACAUUAAAUAAAUGCAGAUUAUGCAAACUCAUUCGUUCUUUGACUUUACUUUGUACUUUGUUCUUUAUUCUUUGCUCUUUGUUCUUUGUUCUUUAAUCUCAAGGCUAACCCGGAGGUUUCGCCACAUUAGCUUGCUUCACAUUAAGUCCAUCAUCGCAGGAACUCACCCGCUAGGACCGUCCUUCGGGUUUACUCCAACCCGUGAUGCAUAACUCCGGAGCGCAUCGCCCGAGGGGGAGCGACCGCCCUCGAGCACGGAACUCAUAGCAAGUAUGAUCAUAUCCUUAACUCAAAGGAUUAUAAGUUCAAUCUUGACUUUACACUAACUCUAGUGUUCAUUACAUCACUUUAUGUUGCAAACUCAUGCAAUCACGUUCUUUACAUUGUCCUUUACUUUUGCUAACUCUAGCAACUCACGUUCUUUACUUCCCACAUUGCGUUAACUUUAAGCAUUGUCAUUUUCAGCAUUCUUUACAUUACAUUGGUUCUUUACCUCACACUAUCUCUAGUGUCAAUUCACAUUAGCUUUAUCGAAUGCCACUCGAUCUAUGUUAUUGUGUCACUCUGUUAUUUUGCUCACUUUGGGUGCUCACUUUCUCUCAUGCAUACAUAGGGUUUUGACAUUCAUUUGGUUCUCUACCAUCAUUAUGAGCAAGUUGCACUCACAAUCAUACUAUCAUCACAUUCUUAUCAUUACUUUACCCUAAUAUGCAUGCAACAAUGUAUAUAACACAUGCUCAAAUGAAUGACACAUUAGGCAUAGAGAGAAGUUCAAUGAGUUUGAGAAGCACCACCCACCUCGUAGGCUUUCAAAGGUGCUCCGACGAUUUUCUUGGGAUUUUUUAGAUGCUUCGUUCUUUACCUGCGACAAAACGAACCCUUAUUAGGCCAUUUUGCCCAUAUCUUUACUUUGGCUUUUCGUAACGUUAAUCCGAGCGCACCAACGCGUCGGAAAUACCCCCAAUUAGGUUUCUAGAGGGUUAAUUGCACUUAGAAACCCCCAUGAGCAAAAGCCCCAAUUUGGGUGCCCUAGCUCCAAUACACAUAUCAAACCUAGGGUUUGAUCUCAUUCGGAAGCAAAAGUAGCUUCAUUAUACUCUAAAUAGUCCAUUAGAACCAUUCUUAGCUCACUCCAAACCCUAGUUUGGAUUUCACCAUUAGAGGUGGGUUGAAGCUCACCUUGAGCUCAACCAUGGUUUUGAUCUUUAAAGAAGCAAAAAGAAAGCUUCAAAUACUCCAAAGGUUCCAUAAAAACCAUCUUCAUUCUAAUCCAAACCCUAGUUUGGAAUUAAACAUGAGAAGGGGCAAAGCUUACCUCUAGGCUUGCUCCUUUCUUGCUCUAGAGAGGAAGAAGAUGAAGCCUCUUUGCUCCUUGAUCUUCUUCUUCACUUUCUUCUCCGUCUUUUCCUUCUUUUCUUCCUUUCUUCUUCUUCUCCUUUGUCUUCUAGAGAGAGAGAGGAGAGAGUGUGGGAAGGUGUGGAAUGAGAGAAAAGCCCUCAUAUCCCCCAUACAUAACCAUUGGGCUGCAAAAAUGCAAAUAAACCCCUCAACUUUUAUCUCUGUGCACUGCCUGGACUGGGCAGUUUUCGCGGGCAGAGACCGGUCUCCCCGAGCAGGGACCGGUCCCCGAAGGUCCACCCUACGCAGCCAGAGCUUUCGCGCGCAAUGCAUCCGGUCCCUCCCGGGUGGGACCAGUCUCUGGGGGACCGGUCUCUCAGACAGAGACCGGUUCCCGAGAGCUGUCCUUCCAGGACUUAGCCGAUUUUUCGGCUGUCUCAUUCUGCACGCGUUCGGGGACCGGUCUCUCCCACCAGGGACCGGUCCCCGAGAGCUCAAAAUCUGCAGUUUUGCAGAAGUUGAUUCUUUAGCUCUCGAAAACCUCCCGUAACUCACUUUUGAUGACUUUAACACCUUCGGACUUUCCGAAGUGUACCAUCCUCGCACUUUGGUCAAUUUGACUAAAGUUCGAUAUUUAUUUUCCGAAUUUUCGGUAUAUUACAUGAACAACCCUAGGCUCAAACAUUAACCAUCAUAAGCAAAGGGGCAAAAACUCACCUAUAGAGUAAAAUUCCCUCUCAAGCUCUAAAAGAGAGCUAGAACCCCUCCAAUCCAACCAAGAGAAAUGUUCUAAACCAAGAGAUUUAGCUCAAAAAGACCUAAAUCCAAAAUGCCCAAAACAAACCCCAAGUUUCCAUUCUAGGGUUUCAUUUAGUUUAAAGCAUCAAAAUUAGAAUCUAGAGGAAAGAAACUUACUACUAACCUCUUAGAAGCUUCAAUCCAAGCUCAAAGUUUACAAGGUGUGGAGAUCUCCCUCCUCCCAAGCUCCCAACCCAAGGUCCAAGCUUCUCCCAAGGUGAAAUUUGCUCCAAAAAGGAAAAAGAGGAAUUAAACCAUAAUAAUCCAAGAAAAAGAAAAGAUAAAUACCAAAGAGAGGCAAGGAGAAGCUCCCCCUACCUUGUCUCCACAGAUCCCAGCUCAGGGGAGGCCCUAAGGGGCGUGGGGUAUGUAUAGAGUUGCUACAAAAGCAAAUACACCCCUCAAAAGCCGUCAAAUUGCAGUCUGGCAAAGUGUACCGGUACAUGAAAAAGUGUACCGGUACAAAUCUUGCGAAACGUCAAACCCGAGCCUCGGGUUAGAAAUUCGUCACAAGUGUACCGGUACAACCACCAAGGUGUACCGGUACAAAAUCUGUACCGCUACAACCAUCAAGGUGUACUGGUACACAGCCCUGCAGAAAGCAAUCCGAGAGCAGCCUAAGUCCAUCGCUUUGGUGACCUUAGCGCUACAUAAAGCACCACAAUUCUCGGGAUACGAGCCAUAGGUCGGAACACUGUCAACGACCCACCAGAAAAUCUGCAAAAACUCAGAAUACUGAUCAAACACUCGAACCUCGCGAUUUGUAAAUGUCCACUGUGUUACAUGAACAUAGAAGUCCUAAUAAGACUAUCAAAGCGAGUAUAAUAAAAUCACUAAAGUUCUAGCAUAAAGGGAUCCACCAAAAAGAUACAAGAAUAUACAACUAAAUUCAGAAUCUAUCAUAAAGCUCUAAACAAUUACAUAAUACAUCUUUUUCAAAGGUACAAAAAGAAAAGAUGACAUUGGAUCCAACUAAAAUAACUCCGUAGGACUCUAGCUAGCCGCCAACCACUUGUCUCGAUCCCUAGCCACUCCCAAUGCGGAUGGCUCUAAAAACAACCACAAAAUAGAGGGGCUGAGAACUAUCAAAAAUAGUUCCCAGUGGACAAUUACUGAUCUCAGCGAAAUGCUCCACUAGGCUGACGUAAGCACGCUAUAAGUGUUAAUUCAUAAGCAGAUAUGAAAGCAGGUAUUUAAACAAGUUUCUAUCAAAGUCAUGUUUCUACUAGAAGGAUUAAUAAAUUAUCAUGCAUAUAAAGUUCUAUUGUCAUUUGAUCAACUAUAUAUCAAUGUCGGUUUACAUGCAUAAUCAAUUAUAUGCUAAUGUUCUAUUAUAUGCACAUUCAACAAUAUGCCAAUACUAGUUUACAUGCAUGUCCAUGAUAUUCAUAAUGCUACAAUAAGUGACGAUACAUCUCAUUACUAUUCUAACCAUACAUUAUGCCAAUCAAUAUAAGUGUAACAUACUACCACUAGAGUGUCAAUGCUAACAAUGACUAACAUAAGGUCCACAUAUGCACUAUCAUGCGUGUCCACUAUUCCAAUUGAUAUACAUCAUCUAGUAGUAGUUUUCACAUUACACUUUAGGUUUCAUAGUUCAAUCCUCGUCAUGGAUCUACACGUGUGUAGUCGGGCUGGUGCCGUGCCAAAAAUAGUCCCGUAGCAGUCAACAUUCCCACUGUAGGAAUGAGCCUCCCCCACGGCAUCCCAUUUCGACGCCCAAUCCCGCACGGUCGAGCCUGUGUCGCGUAGGCUAUCUCCGGAGCGCCGGCUUGUGGGGAACGACCCUCACAAGCAUGUGCAAAUGAGCACAAAGGCAAGCAAGCGUGAUCAAUAGUAUCCAGCUCUCGGUAAUCAUGUUUAAAAUAUGGAAUAAGUGGCAACGACCCCAAAGGUCCCAUAUGUUAGAAAAUUGCGUAUGGUAAAACACAGCGGAAAAAGAAAUCAAACAAAUUUGAUUUUGAAAACUCUCGAGAUCCAAUCUCAAAAACCACGCAAUUUGGAUCCCUCAUGUUCUUUAAGAUUAAAGGAGAAAAGUAAGAUCGAAUCUUUAUCUUUUUCGCGGAUAGAUCUUGUCAAGCCCCGGGGCCCAGCGGGAGCCCGCCCGGCACGUGUCCAGACCCGCCAUAUGUCUAAAACAUAUAAGGCGUGUACGAUACAGCAAUAAAUAAAAUUAAAUAAUACAAAGAGAUCUAGUGAUAUCAGAGCAAGGUACUACUAGAAUCUACAACAGGAGAGUAUAAUAAGAGCUAAAAUCCACAAAAAUAAAUCAUGAAGUAGAACGACAGAAUUCCGAGUACAAAUGCUAUAAGUGGUACAAUGGUGGUCUCUAUACAUGGUAACAAAACUCUCUCUCUCACCAAAUACCCAAAAAGAGAGUAGACCACCUAGGAGUAAAGGCAGGCUCCGCACUAACUAGCUACGCGACUCCCUCGCCGUGAUCCCGUGCCUCCGCCGGUGCUGAAGGCUCUGAAAAAAAGUAUCAAACAGAGGGCAUGAGAACUAUUAAAUAAUAGUUCCCAGUGGGCAAUUACUGACUUCAGUGAAAUGCACCACUAGGCCCAAAACUAANCCCUCCUUCCUCUCCUUCUCCUUCUUCCUCUUCUUCUCUAUCAAGGGUGUAGAGAGGGUUGAGAGAAGCGAAAUGGGGAGAAGAGAGGGUGGAGGGGUCAUAUAGACCCUCUAAUGUAACAAAAUCCCAAGAGACCCCUCAAAAAUCCAAUAUUGGAUCAGCCCGGUCUGGACAGUUUUCGCCCAGAGGGACCGGUCUCUCCCCAGCAGGGACCGGUCUCUCGCUGCGAACCCGAAAAACCAACGUUCGGGAACCGGUCUCUCCCUGCGCGGGACCGGUCUCUCUCUCUGCGAAGGCGCGCUCGGGGACCAGUCUCGCCCGCCAGGGACCGGUUGCCUCAGGGCUGCCGCAACACUGCUGAUUGGGGGACCGGUCUCUCCUUCCAGGGACCGGUCCCCGAGAGUGAAAACUCUCAGGACCAAACCAAAACUCAGGUUUUCGAACUUUUUAGGUCGGAAAACAUUCUACAACCCUCCACCAAGUGUGGAAAAGCUCGAAAUACACCCAAACACUCGAACCUCGCAAUUUGCAAAGGUCAAGUGCGUCACAGCAACAUCAUCCUCGUGAUGUCCCCACCUAGCACCACUAUCCGUUGGAGGUACGACCUCAACUCCAAUAUCAAACAGUACUACUGUAACAUACCACAUCCCUCGUAAAUCGUGCCGAGUUUCGUCGAAACGAGCGGAACGCGGAGUGGGUCGAGUGGUUAUAGGCCCUAAGUGCGUUGGAGCCUAUAUAUAUGGUGCAAAGGGACCCGAGAGAGUGAGAUUUCAAAAUCUGGCUAAGUCUCAGAUUUUGUGCUCCUGGGGACCGGUCCCUGAAGGAGAGACUGGUCCCCGUACGCGUAGCCUGCUAGGAAAUCUUGAGGCAUCCGGUCCCUGGUGGUGAGACCGGUCCUCGGGAGACCGGUCCCUGAGGGAAAGACCGGUCCCUCGUUGCGCAGCAGCUGAAAAAGCCCGAAAAUCGGCUAAGUCCUGGAACCCCUCGGGCAAAUCGGCUAAGUACUGAACCCCUCGGGCAGUCCGACUGGAUGUGGCCCUCUUGACCACACAAGUAACACUUGCCCUGCCUCUAAGAGCACUGUCGUGGGUAAUGACGACUACCGCAGAUCACGCAACUCAGAGUCUGGCGAUGCUCAGAUCCUCCACGCUGUGCAGAUGAGCCACAUCCUCGCGAUUGGCUCCUGUUCCUGGCAUAUCUCGGCGGCCUCCCAGAGUGCGUCUGACUCGCACCCUCAGCCGCAAGCCUCUUGCCUUUCCUUUGUCCGAGCCUCCUCGAUGCUCCUGCAAGUCCACCGCGCCGCUCUUCAUGAUGAGCGCACGGUUCACCACAUCUCAGUAAGUCUGAAGAUUGGAGGAUUACACCAACCGAAAGAUUAACGACUAAAGUCCUCCCUCGAAGAUGCGAGCCUUAUUCUCGUCGUCCUGCACAACAAAGGGCACAUAGUGUAGUAGCCGAGAAAACUCCCUCUCGCACUCGGCCACGGUUCGAUCUCCUUGGUGCACCUCGCACAGAUCCUGCUCCAUCUUCUCUUAACACUAACGGAAAAGUAGUGCUCCAAUAAGAGUUCCUUGAACCUCUUCCAAGAAAUGGCUGCUAGGUCAGUGUUGGGAUUAUCUUGGAUUCCCAACCACCAGCUAUAGGCCUCGCCGUCCAAAUGGUGAGUAGCGAGCCCAAACUCUGUCUCUCUUCUCCAUGAAAGUGUCGCGGAACAACUUCUCCAUGUGCAUAAGCCACUUUUCAACGAUCCAGUGGUCGGCUUUCGCUCUAUUAAAGAUCCUGGGAUCGCACCUCCUGAACUCGUUGAGGCGAUCUAUGAGCCGCUGCCGCUCCGCUUCCUCAACCAUCAAGGGGAAAACCGCCGCUGCUAUAGGCACCUGAGCUGGUGGUGCCGCAAAUACCUCCUCCCGAGGUGCUACCGCAGGUGCCGUCCGCGAAGUGUCGAGUGCAGGGGACGACCUCCUGGGUGCAACCCCCUCUACCAGCGCGGGUGGUACAGGGACCUAAGCCUCCCUGGCAGCCGCUUGCUGUAGUAGAAGAUUCUUCAGGCGCUGCAUCCGUGCCUCCUGUCGGCGCGCCGCAUCUGCAUGCUGUCGAGCCCCCGCCCCGCCUGCUGCGUCACCAAGUCAGUGAGGGCCGCAAUGUCACGCCCCGGGACCGGUAGAGGCCUUCCCGGUGGCGUGCCCAGACCCGCCAUAUGUCUACACAUAUAAGGCGUCUACAAUAAAAGCGGAAGUAAAAGCAAGAAAUAGAACAAAUAGAAUAAAUAGCAACUAAUGAUAUCAGAGCGAGUAAAGUUCUAUCAUCUAAACCAGAGUAAAAGAAACAUAACUAGACAAUAAAAGUAGCCAUAAGGUGGUACAGUAUCUGUCCCAAAGGUACACAAAAAGGGUAGUCUCUAGUACACUGGUACAGCUCUCAACCUCUCCAAAAUAAAAAUAUCGAGAGGUAGACCACCUAGCUACUCGUCUCUCGCAGAAGAGCUAGCUCGAAGCCACGCCCUUCCCUCGGUCCCUAGCCUCUCCCGGCAGGGAAGGCUCUGAAAGAAAACAUAAAACAGAGGGCGUGAGAACUAUAUUUUAUAGUUCCCAGUGGGCAAUUACUGACCUCAGCUCAAUGCACCACUAGGCCCCAAAGGAAAAGGGUAAGUAACAACAAUAAUGAUAAAAAUAAAGAGCGAGUAUAAGAACUGCUGAAAGAAAGCAUAAAUGAAAUGCUAUACUACCAUGUCCCAAGUAAGCAUGAUGUCAUGGUGAUGUACAUCUACGCUAUCACAAGAUAAUAUGUCCAAUGCAUACUAAUAGGCCAUAACAUAAUAAACAAGUAAACCUCACGAUGCAAUAUGUCAAUGCAAAAGGAGUAAGCUCUAUCAAAGCAACCCAGUAUGCUAAGAUGCGAUGAAUGAAACAGGCAAGUAUACUAUAUAUCCCAAUGCUAGGUCAUGAGCAUGUCAAGUAAUCCAACUACUAAGCCUAUCUAGUAGUGAUUAGUCAAUCUCAACACUGUGUCGAUUUCCAUUUCCAAUUAAGGACCUACCAAAGGUACUCCAGCUUGUGCCGCCUAAGUGCCUGUGGUAGCCCAACAUCCUUACUCUUGGAAUGUGUUUGUCCCACUCGACCCCGUAGGCUUCUCAAUACCGCACGAGCGAGCAUAAGUCGCGUAGGCUAUCUCCGGAGUGCCGGCUUGUGGGGAGCGACCCUCAUAAGCAUGUGCGAAAGAGCACAAAUGGCAAGCAAGCAUAGUCCAAGUCUCAAGCAUCCAAUCCUCAUGUCUCUAACAUGGUAUCGUCACUAGCAUCCCGAAGAUCUAGUUUACGUCACAAGGCGAGGUUCCAAACACUCACAACGCCUAGUGCCCCUUGAUGACACUUAGGCAAUUUAAUGUUCAACAUAAGCCAAAUCCCGCAAUGGCUCUAACCAGUAGGUUCACACAUGUCCCGAGCUCAAUGCCGCUUAAUGACAUUAGCUCUCUAAUUCACAUACAUUCUAGUUCAAUACCUCUAUAUGGCAAUUUUGUCACCUUUCAUGUCACAAAUAAACUUAAGUUUAAAUGCAUGUGCCAAUUCUCCUUUACACUAUAGAAGCAUGAAACCAAGUCUCAUAUAGAAUGCUAAAUGCAACCAUAGAUCUCUCAAGCAACUCUCUACUACAUAGAGGUCCAAAAUUUCACCACAUGCAACAUAGGCAUUUUAACCCUUCUAAAAAUCAUAAUAAAUGCAUCUAGCAUGGAAAUGCAUGCAUAAACAUUUAACAGUACUCAAAUCAACACAAAUGAGAUUUUCUCAUUGUGUGGCUAGGCCAAACCCACCGAUCCGUCGCGUAGGGCCUCGUUUCGCCGAACGGAGUUGUCCACGAGUCUCAAAAUACCCUAAAAGUAUUGAGCGAAGAGAUACACGGGCAUUACGAUCAACUAUAAGAUCAAACAUUAACCUAGAAGCAAAAGGGCCAAAACUCACCUCAAGAGUAGAAAUCCUCUCCUAAGCUCCAAAGGAGAGCUAGAAUCCUUCCAAUCCAAGCCCAAGGAAGGUUCUAAUUCAAGAAAUUUAGCCUCAAAAGCCCUAGAUCAAAAAGCCCCAAAAAUCAACCCUAAUAUACAUUCUAGGGUUCCAUAUGGUAAAACCUACCAAAUCAAGGAUCAAAGGGUAGAAUCCAAGUAGUAACCUCCCAAGAUGCCUCCAAACAAGCUCCAAAUCUUCUAGGGUUGAAGAUUGGUCCACCACCAAGCUCUACAAGCAAGCUCCAAGCCUUGCAAAGGUGGAAAGGGGGAAAAGGGUUGAGCUCCAAGCUCCCUCAACCAAGCUCCUCUUCUUCUUCUCCUCUUUCUUCUUCUUCUCUCUCUAGAAGGUGUAGGGAGUGGGUGAGAAUGAGGGAAUGAGAGAGGGAUGAGAGAGAAAUGGCUAAUAAGCCCAUCUAGUGUAACAAAUCCAGUGAGGCCCCUCAAAAAUCCAAUAUUGCAACAGCCUGGUCUGGGCAGUUUUCGCCUAGAGGGACCGGUCUCUCCCCAGCAGGGACCGGUCUCUCGCUGCGAACCCGAAAAACCAACGUUCGGAAACCGGUAUCUCCCUGCGCGGGAUCGGUUGCCUCGCCGGCUGCGCAGCACUGUUCACUGGGGGACCGGUCUCUCCUUUCAGGGAUCGGUCCCCGAGAGUGAAAACUCUCAGGACUCGCCCAAAACUGGGGUUUUCGAACUUUUUAGGUCGGAAAACAUUCUACGACCCUCCACCAAGUGUGGAAAAGCUCGAACCACAACCAAGAACUCGAACCUCGCAAUUUGCAAAGGGCCAGUGUGUUACACGCAAGCUGGCUCCUCAACUCACGGACCUCGCCGGAUCCGAAGGUAGCGGAUGUCUCCGCUUCCUCAAGGUUUGCAACGUCAUCCGCUCCAACAGACUUAGAGCGUGUAGUUGGCAGCGAUAUUACAACGUCAUAAAAGCACGAGUUAACAAAACCCACGCUAUCGAAUCCCCGCUCAAAACGAAUACCCAAAUCAUGCGAAAGUAAGGAAGUGUUAUCCACAACUAACUCCCGAUGUUACGUUGUCGGCCUCCAACGUAACCCUCCGCGAAGUUAGAAGUCAUACACUCCGAUCCAACUCCAACUUUUUAGAGUUAUCGUAAAACCCAAUUGAAAUACUUUCGCUUACAAGUCAAAUAGACCUCGUCUCUCAUGAGCCUAUUUUCUAUAGUCCAAUCGGCCUAAGAUUCACUAGGUCCACUAAGACUCAACCCUAGGCUCUGAUACCAAAAUAAUAUGUCACUCCACGGGGCCGAGCGGGAGCCCGCCCGGCACGUGUCCAGACCCGCCAUAUGUCUAAAAUAUAUAAGGCGUCUACGAUACAAAAAUAAAUAACAUUAAAUAAUACAAAGAGAUCUAGCGAUAUAAGAGCAAGUUACUACUAUAAUCUACAACAGGAGAGUAUAACAAGAGCUAAAAUCCACAAAAUAAAUCAUGAAGUAGAACGACAGAAUUCUGAGUACAAAUGCUAUAAGUGGUACAAUGGCGGUCUCUAUACAUGGUAACAAAACUCUCUCUCUCACCAAAAAUACAAAAAGAGAGUAGACCACCUAGGAGUAAAGGCAGGCUCCGCACUAACUAGCUAUGCGACUCCCUCGCCGCGAUCCCGUGCCUUCGCCGGUGCUGAAGGCUCUGAAAAGAAAGUAUCAAACAGAGGGCGUGAGAACUAUUAAAUAAUAGUUCCCAGUGGGCAAUUACUGAUUUCAGUGAAAUGCACCACUAGGCCCAAAACUAAGCAAGGGAGGUAAGAAUAAUAUGAAUAAAUAAAUCACAGAAAUAAAAGCUCACUAUAGCAUGAUGUCACUACUUUCAUCAGUAAUAAUCUACCACAUGAUCUCUACUUAGCAUGAAUUUGCAUAAGUAAUAAACUACCACAUGAUCUCUACUUAGUAUGAAUUUGCAUAAGUAAUAAGCCACCACACGAUCUCUACUUAGCAUGAAUUUGCAUAAGUAAUAAGCUACCAUGGCAUAAUUGCACAAGUAUAAGCCUAUCACAAUAAUCACAAGCUAGAAUGGUAAUGUGUCAUUAUCCACUAUUCUAGUCAAUGUCCAAAAGGUACAAUAUGUCGCCAGUAACCCAAUCAUGUGGAAGCUACCCGUAGGCAGUCCGGCCUACGCCGUGCAAACAAUGGCCCCGUCGUAGUCAACAUCCCCACUCCAGAAAUGAGCCUCCCCCACGGCAUCCUAUUUUGGCGCCCAAUCACGCACGGGCGAGCAUGUAUCGCGCUGGCUAUCUCCGAAGUGCCGACUUGUAGGGAGCGACCCUUAUAAGUAUGUGCGAAUGAGCAGAAUGACAUGCAAUCGAAUAAGUCCGUCUCAGGUCCCAGUGGUUCUGUAAUCUUAGCAUGAAUUUGCAUAAGUAAUAAGCUACCACAUGAUCUCUACUUAGCAUGAUUUUGCAUAAGUAAUAAGCUACCAUUGCAUAAUUGCACAAGUAUAAGCCCAUCACAAUAAUCACAAGCUAGAAUGGUAAUGUGUCAUUAUCCACUAUUCUAGUCAAUGUCCAAAAGGUACAAUAUGUCACCAGUAACCCAAUCCUGUGGAAGCUACCUGUAGGUAGUCCGGCCUGCACCGUGCCAACAAUGGCCCCGUGGUAGUCAACAUCCCCACUCUAGGAAUGAGCCUCCCCCACGGCAUCCCAUUUUGGCACCCAAUCCCGCACGGGCGAGCAUGUGUAGCGAUGGCUAUCUCCGGAGUGCCGACUUGUAGGGAGUGACCCUCACAAGUAUGUGCGAAUGAGCACAAUGGCAUGCAAGCGAAUAAGUCCGUCUCAGGUCCCAGUGAUUUAUCACUGUUUCAUCGGAUCUAAAACCCGGAAUACAGCACACAUCCCAAAGGCCUGCCUCUAUGUCAUCGCGUCUAAAACACGGAAUAUAGUAAUUGUCUCAAUGGCGUAUCUCUAUGUCAUCAUGUCUAAAACAUGGAAUAUAGUAACUGUCUCAAUGGCCUAUCUCUAUGUCAUCAUGUCUAAAAUAUAGAAUUUAGUAGAUUUCCAAUGGCCUAUCAUCAUGUCUCUAAGUUGUAGUUCAAUAAUUUUCUAGUUCAAGUGCCCCUUUAUGACACUUUUGCUUACUAUGUCCCAAUAUGAAUAAUAAGUCUAAAAGCUUGUCAUUUUAAUCAUUUUUCACACAAGAAACAUGAUCUUACAUCAUUCAUUAGAACAUUAAACUCAUGCAUACUAACAAUGCAUAUGCUUCUCUCUACAAUAUAGAGUCAGUUUUUCAUGAUGCAUAACAUAGGCGUCUUAAGCGUUCUAAAGUUCACAUAAGUUUCAUUUAACAUGAAUAUGCAUGUAUUUAUAGAAUACGAAAACAUUCAACCACAUAGGAGGCAUUUCCUCCCAUUUCAAUGAAGUCAAACCCACCAAGUCCUCUUGAAGCCCAUCGUUUCGCCGAAGGGAGGUGCCCACUAUCCUCCUAGCUCCCUAUAGGUAAAACUAGGGGAGUUACACGAACGAAACGAACUACAACAAGCUAAAACAAUAACAAACUCAAGAUAAGGGCGUAACUCACCUAUAGUGAAGCAAACCCUUCCGAAGCUCCAAAUGGGAGCUAGAACCCUUCCAAUCCAACCUAGAGGAUGAUUCUAAACCAAUCAAUUGAGCUCCAAAAGCCCUAGAUCAAAAAUCCCCAAAUCAAGCCCUAAAUCUUCAUUUCUAGGGUUUCAUCACAAAGAGACCAAUAAAACAUGAGUCAAAAGGGGAGAACAAGUUUCUAACCUCUUGAAAAGCUUCAACCCAAGCUGAAAGUCCUCUAGGUUCAAGGAUUUUUCCUCAAACAAGCCUAAAGUCCAAGCUCCAAGCUUCAACAAUGGUGGAAAUUGCUCCAAAAUGCAAAAAGAGAAGUAAAUCCACCAAAAUCCAAACUAAAAGGAGAUCAAAACCAAAGAAAUGGUAAAGAGGGCUCCCUUACCUCCUUCUCCUCCUUCCUCAGCUCAGGGAAAGCCCCAAGGGGCGUGGGUGAUAUAUGGAAUAUCUACAAUUGUAAAAACACCCCUGCAGUUCGACCAUUCAAAAUCUGUCACUGCGUACCAGUAUACGGGCCUCGGGUUUGACAGAUGCCAAACCCGAGCCUCGGGUUGGCUGGGAAGCUGCCUGUGUACCGGUACACGAGCCCGUACCGGUACAACCAUCAACCCUGUACCGGUACAGCCAUCAACCCUGUAUCGGUACGUAGUCUGCUGAAGGCUAUCCGAGAGCACACUAAUAAUCCAACUUUUUGGGUUUUGGUGCCAAGUUUUAAACCUCAAUUCUCGGGACUCGAACCAUAGGUCGGAACACUGUCUACGACCCUCCACAAAGUGUGGAACAGCUCGGAACACAAAUCAAACACUUGAGCCUCGCAAUUUGCAAAGGUCCAGUGUGUUACAGAUCUUCACCUCAAUUUGAUAAUCGUGGAAUUCGGUUCUCUUGAAGCCGCACACGCGUCCGGCCACUAUAGGUAUCCACACGAGGUUCUUGAUUUGAUCGAUGUCCUCACCGGGGUGCUAGCUCCCUUGCAAAGGACGUCUUUCUUGUUAGAAUAUGGAAGAGAGAAUAAGAGAGAUGACGGCUGGGGUUUUCUAAAAACUCUCGUAUAUUAUAUAUAGGAAUAUAAUCCUAUUCCUAAUAAUAUAAUGACAAUUAAGGAUAAGUAUAAAUCUAGAUUUAAAUUUAUCUUUUCCUUAAUUGGUUAGAUCGAUCAAAUUCUAAUUUGAUUCGACUUGAAUUUUAUAUUAAUUUGAUCUUAUCAAAUUAAUAAUGCAACAUUUGCACACAAGUCCUCUUAUAAUUUACUAACUAUUAGUAAGUCCUCUUUUGUAACAUUUACACUUUAAUACCACUAAUUUGUAACAAUUACAAAUUAGUCCAAUUAUCAACAUAUUGACAAUUAGGUCCUCCUGCGAUUCAAUAAUCGCGAUCUAGCAUCCGAUCAAUCACAACCUCUUAUGUGUGUGACCCUAUAAGUUCUAUUCUAUCUGGUAGUGAGAUAUAUUUUGAUCACUAUCAACAAUAUCACGGAAACUCCUUUCAGUAAAUCAGAACAAUUCCAACUCUGCCCAAUGAGAAUUAUCGAUCAUAUAGAUAAUUCUCAUGAGUCUCACAAUCCACCAGUGACGCCUAGCAGCAUGUAGUGGCAUUCCAGUAUAAUGGAAUACUGAACCUCUUGGUGCAAUUACCGUGUGAUACAAUCCUUCUAUCAUGAGUCCCGACAAGACGGAGGUUAUGGAAUAACUCGUCAAAGCCCAUCGCCUGUCAUAUAUUAAAUUUAUUCGACUCGAGUUUCUAAUAUCGGAAACCUUUUUUCGCUAUUAACUCUGCCCUGGCCAAGGUCUUCUGAACUCGGUCUCAUAAAUCACAUCGGACUAACACCCCUAUCUACCAAGUGAGAUAGAUUUUAUCUAAGUGUCACCCUAUUCCUACAAUAAACCUACUGUAGCCAACAUGCAUCGCAAGGACCCGAAUGGCUAGGGACCAAGUGUAUGUACAAUCAAACUACAGUAAUCUCAUUGUGAAUAGCCGAGGCACCGCAGGUCAAAGUACCAGUCACACUACUGCAACAUUGAGUAAGUCACUGACGAGUGAGAAGACAUCCAAGUGACUUCUCGUGAUGGUCACGCUCGGUACCCUUGUUCUCUAACAACCACCUGCAUAUUCGCUUCAGUGUCCCUACACUAUCGACUCGAGACCCGUCUACCCAAAAGAAAAGCGACCUAUGCACCAAUCUCACCGGAUCAAUCACCGCCCCCGUGAUGAUCCAUUGAUUGGGAGUAUUUAGGAAUUAACCACCAAUAACACAUGUCUCAAAUUCUCAACUCUUGAGAAUAUAUGUCAUCAUCUUAUUAAUUCCUUGGACGAUUCACGGACACAUACACAACAUGAAUAGAAAUAAAAAUUCAAAUUUAUUUAUAAUAUUUUAAAGUCAAAUACAAAUUUAUGUCCUAGAAAGAAUACAUGUGUCAACCUGGUUGACUUCUAGGGCAUACAUCUAACAAUCUCCCACUUGUACUAAAGCCAAUCAGCCAUAUACUGUAAUAUACUGAACUUCUAAAAUAUUGAAGUUACGGUGUACAUUUGGUUGAAAAGCCAUUUGAAUGGUCCCGGUGAAGUUCGGUGAAGUUCUGGAGCAAUCGGGCGUUUCGAUGCGCGUAGGUGCGAAAACGGAACCCGAAAGGUUAUGUUGGACCAUGAGCUAAAUCCAGCAUUAACGUGGAUGAAACGAUGAUGAAAAUACGCUCGAAAACAUGUUUGGAGAGUCUCGGUUCGAUUUGAAACGAAUCGGAUGUCAAACGAGCGAAAACGAGCGAAAACGGUGAAAAAAAGUUGAAAAUUUGGCUAAGUCCUAAAUGCUGGAAUUCUGGACCCUACGGGGACCGGUCCCUCAAGUCCAAGGACCGGUCCCUGAGCCCGAAAAAUGCCCAGAAUGAGCAGUGGCAGUUUGGUAAUUAGGGGAAAGUUGGCAUAUAUGAAGGGCUUUGCCCCUACUCCUUCUUCCUCCUCAUUCCAACACACACACACACAUAUACUGGUAGAGAGAGAUGCUCUCUCCUCUCUCUCUAGGAGCUCUCCCUCUCUCUCUAAGAGUGGAUUUAGGAGAAGAAGGUCGAGAUUGGAGCUUGGAGAAGGACCAACAUCAUCUUCUUCAUCUUCUUGCUAGCUAGUUGAGGUAAGCUCUUUGAGUCUCUCAUGGUAAAUGGCUAGAGCAUGGCUUAGACCUCUUUGAACUUAGCUAGAUGAUGUUUAUUGGUGCUCUAAGAGUAGUUGAUCUCAUUUAUUGUGAGAUUAGUAGCUUGUAUGAAGCUAAUUGCAACAAUGGUGAUUUAGGGCUCCAAAAAGAGGGCUUUUGCUUGUGAGGGGUUUUGAUCUCAAUUGACCCUAUACAAACCUAAUUGGGGGUAUGACGAACGCGUUGGUGCACUCGGUUCGACAAUCUGACCAGUGUACGAGAAGUUAUUGACGAAACAGUCUGUUUUGGUACAGAGAGUCGCAGCACGCGGGAUAAGCCUCCAAAAAUCAUGAAAAUGGAUCGAGAGCAUUGUGGCGUCGGGGAAUAAACUCCCGAACAGACGGAUCACGGAUUGGUGGCCGUUCGGGUGGUCGCACAAAAGUUCGGGCCAAACCGGGUCACCGGUGCCGCGGGAGACCGAUUGCAAGUGACUACAAGCAAUUGGAACGCGGUAAAAGGUGUGUUGUGCUUACCGAAGCGACUAGGUCGCCUUCAUGCCAAAGUAUAAUGUAUUUCACUUUUGAUGCAUGGUGGUGAUAAGAAUGCUAUAUAAGAAUGCAUGAUAAGAAUGCUAUGUAAGAAUGCAUGAUAAGAAUGCUAUGUAAGAAUGCAUGAUAAGACUGCUAAGAAAUGAAUGCAUGUGAUAGAUGUUAAGUAAUGCAUGUAAUAUGUGCCAAGUAACGAAUCAUAUGAGAUGUAUGCUAAAGAAUGCAUGUUGACAUAUUAUAGAAAUGCUAGAUGAAGCAUGUGUUAAAUGUUAAAGGCAUGUAUGAGAUGUAUGUUAAAUAAACAUAUGAGCUAGAUGAUGUAUAAAUGCAUGAUUUCAUAAUGUAAGAAUAUGUUAGAAUGAUAUGAGGGUUGAACUUGAGUCAAUGAACACUAAGUAAAGUAAAGAACUCGACAAGUGUCAUAUGUAAAGAAUCCUAAGUAUAAAUAACUAGGAUGACGAGUGGCAUUGAACCUAGUGUCAUUGAACAUAGGUUAUUCACGAGUGGCAUGUCAAGUAUGGUUCCUAGGUGUGGACAACUAGGAUAACAAGAACAUGAGUGGCAUUAAACCUAGAGUCAAGUAAACCUAGGUUGUGAAUGUAGUGACAUGAAACCUAGAGUCAAGUGAACCUAGGUGAUUAAGAAUAUUGAACCUAGUGUUAAUGAACCUAGGCUAAGAAGGUAAUGACAUUGAACCUAAUGUAUUAACUUAGGUUGAGUAAAGGCUUGGACCUAGAUAGGUCGAUAACAUAGGGUGAGACCAACCCUCGAGUAAUGUGAAGUGGAUUCCGGAAUCCCUGCUGCUAGUGCAGCGGCUGCUAGUGCAGCAUACAAGCUCGAUAGUUCUUGGCCGCGGGUGCAUGUGGCAUGUUCCUCUCCCACCGGAAGAACUUCGAGGCUUGUUAAUGAGCAAGAACAAUGAGCGCUAGGGUGCAUGUGGCAUGUUCCUCUCCCUAUCGGGGAUCUCGGCUGCGGGUGUAUGCGGCAUGUUCCUCUCCCAUCGGGGGAUCCCUGACCACGGGUAUACGCAGCUCUGGGCGACCCGUUGGGCGAUGUGGUUUGUGGAUUGAUGGCUGAGGUGCAUGUGAUAGUCCCUUCAUCUCGAGCCUGACAGAGCGCGGAUUAUCCGCAUAUGAUUGACUCAAGACCGAGUCGGGCGGCAAAGUUGGCUAAGGUAAAGAAACUUUAGGAAAGAAUGGCAAUGUGUAUAAUAUGGCUAAGGUGUGAGUACCCUUAGAAUAAAGAAUAAAUAAAAAAAAAGGGCUAACGCUAAAGAAUGGCAAGUAAUAAAGAAUAAAGAAAGACAAAUGCUAAAGAAUAGCUAGUAAAAUAAAGAAUGACUAAAAGUAAAGAAUGGAUAAGAAUAAAGUGUAAAAGCAAUUAAUCUACUAUAUGAGUUGCAUAAUUUACAUAUUGCAUGUUGUGAGGCAAAAGCAUGGUAAUGUUAGUUGCAUGAUUUACGAUUUCAUAUCUAUCUAUUGGACUAACAUGUUGUCUGCCUCCUUUGGACCUGACGGUCGAGCUCUUCCCUUGGGUGGCCGUACCCACUGGGAACCAUGGAGUUGGUUCUCACCCCACGUUGUUUUGGGGUGUUACAGGUUCACACGUGAGCGGCGUGGCGGCGCGAGGCAAAGGCGUAGCUCCGUAGUUAGCGCCCUAGCACUGAGACCAGAUAGCAGCACCCUGAGUCGACUUCUUAGGGGUAUAAAUUGCAAAGAACCAAGAGUAUGAUGAUUGUAAGAACAAUGUUGUAAUGACUAUAUUAAAACUAAAUUAUAUUUGGAAGUAAGAAUCAAGGAAUCAAAUAUGAUGUAAUCUAAGAAUGCAAAAUGUAAUAUGUGAGAUGAAUGCUUGUAAUAGCAAGUAGAUUUAUGUUUUUGAUACUUCCUUAUGCAAUCCUUGGUUGAAAUGUGUUCCUGGUUGGAACUUCGUAUAUUGUAUUGAUUGCGACGCCUUGAAUGUACAGGGGAGACUCUGUCCGCGGUACAGGGAAAAUCCUGUCCGUUCGGCGGUCUGUUGGCGUGUCCGAAACGGACCAAAUAGUCGGGCUCGGGGCGUGACAGAUAAGAUGGUAUCAGAGCAUAAAAAGAACAUAGAAAGAACAUAAAAAGAACAUAAAAGAGUAUAAAGAAAAUAGUUUAGCUUGACCUAAGGAUAGUAAACCAUAGGAUAUUAAGGCUUGUGUGAGACGAGGACUUGUGACUUGUGGUGAAAGGAUAAUGGAUUGGGUUACGUCGUAAACCUCUAAAAGGGAGAUUAGAGGUAGAUUCAAGGUGUGGUUUAUUCUCAACCAAGUGUGUUCAUGUUGGGCGUACGACAACAUGAAACCGAGUGAUGAGGAUAGAUGCCCUUGUAUGACUUUCGCCCGAUUUGAGUCAAUAUUAAAUGUUUCAUACUCGACCUCGAAGGUUGAGAAUUAAUCGAGUUGUCAUGUUUUAGGGAACGAUGGCACCGCGUAGACGAUCAUCGGCUAGAUCGACGCAGGAUGGGGCAAGUGAUGUCCCUGAGCAACCCAGAGCAAGUGGAGACUCGGAGCUCCGCGCACAGUUGGGAAUGUUGGUGGGCAUAGUGCAGCGUCAGCAGGAGGCUGCCAUGCGCCAGGAAGAACGGAUCAAGAGACUUCAGAAGACCGUGGAGCAGCUAGUUGCUGCGCCAGUUGCAGCUCGUCGAGGACUGGCAGGGCUUGCCGCAGAGAUGGUUCCGUCGGGGUCGGGCGAUCCAACUCCCGAAAGUGCAUUGGCGGAGGCGGAGAAAGAGCGGGCUAUGGCAGCCCUCAUGACCUUCGUAAAGUUUGAUCCGCCUACCUUCGAUGGAGAGAAUGUUGAUCCCUGGAUUGUGGAUAUGUGGAUUGACUCUAUGGAGACGCUCUUUGAGGAGCUGUACAUAUUGGAGCGGGACAAGGUGCCCCUAGCUAUGCAUUGCUUGAAGCGAUUGGCGGCCCUCAUGACCUUCGUAAAGUUUGAUCCGCCUACCUUCGAUGGAGAGAAUGUUGAUCCCUGGAUUGUGGAUAUGUGGAUUGACUCUAUGGAGACGCUCUUUGAGGAGCUGUACAUAUUGGAGCGGGACAAGGUGCCCCUAGCUAUGCAUUGCUUGAAGCGAUUGGCGAAGGUGUGGUGGAAAGGCAUUCGGCGGAAUCGAUCGCCUAGUCUUCCUCCCAUGACUUGGGAAGAGUUUCGGGGAUUGUUAUUUUCUACGUAGUUCCCCGAUAGUGAAAAGAGAAAGCUUCAGGACAAGUUCAGGAAGCUGCGGCAAGGAGACCGCUCGUUGCGUCCCGGAUGUGGUACGGGAUGACAAGGAUAUGGCCGAUUGGUUCUUACGUGGACUUCGACCAGAUAUUUACGAGAAGGUGCAAAUCCUCAAGCUCACAACCUUCGCGGAGGUGUUAGACCGAGCCUUGUGGGCGAGCAUGGCGAGGCUUUCGUGCAUGAGGAGCGCGAGUCUCAUAAGCAUGAGCGGGGAGGGGUGAGGCCACUGUCGAACAGUUCGGGUAGGCAGUCAAGUUCUAGGCGCCACUCGAAGCCGUCCUCUACUCGAUCCUCCCUAGGUUGUGUGAUUUGUGGUGGUACCCACCAGGCGCGGCGGUGUGCGUUGCGUGAUGGAAGAUGUAUCCGUUGUGGGCAGCCAGGCCAUAUGCGGGACCAGUGUCCGCAAGGUGAUAGCCGAGCCUUGGCAUUGGCGACGGCUUUUUCCUCUCCGGGACAGCCGGCGGGUGUGCCACCUGCGGCACGAUCGGGAGAGCGAGCGAUGACGGUGAUGCAACUGAGGGGUCCGCGGCGGGCGCCAAGUGGCUAUGGACACGCGACCCAGGUUGAGGGACCUACUGCUGACGGCGUCAUGGCAGGUAUGGUUUAGUUAAUGCAGUUAUGUGUUUCUGCAUGAUGUAAAGUGGUGCAUUGCAUGCAUUGAGCAUAUAGUCACUUACUACUAUAUGUAGUAGUAUAGUAGGGACCAAGUGGACGGGUAAAUGUAGAUACCCGGGCAUGCUCGUGUUGUGAGAGCGUAGUACCUACUAGUGCAGGUAGCGAGCUAUGUAGCACUAGCGAGUUGCUAGUGAUGGUCUGAUGAUGAGACUCGUAGUAGAGAUGGAAAUGAUGGACCGACUCGCAAAGCAAUGUGUGUAGCAGAUUGUGUGAGUUGAGUUACGAUGCUGGUGGAUACUCGAGCAGUUCGAGUAUUCCAGAUGUUGUUUCGGUAGAUCGAACAGUGAAAGUGAAUCACUGUUGAGUGAGUGGUUAGUUAGUACCCAAGUUUGGCCUGUGGGCCUAGUUGUACCUCAAUGUGAGGUAGGAGAAUGUGCUUGGUAGACGAUGUGCGGCGGCAAGAUUGUCCAAAGCCGAGACUUAGUGUAGAAUGCCAUCGUAGAGUACGACGCCCGAGUACAGGUACUCGCGGAGUGCGAAUAUGGAUCAGCCGAGUGAGUUUGUUGGCAGUAGCACUUGGGCAUUGCGAAGUGUGAAGCGUGCCUUGUGUAACAUAUGGCAUCCUGGAGCUGCGAUGUAAACUUUGAUCUAUUGGAUCAAAGUGAGAAUUGAGCUGGUUGGACGUCAUCCCCGAGUGACUUUGGACGCGUGAGAAUGAAUUCCGAUGAUAAGUAAGUGUUUCGGCGCAAAGUGGGCGCGAAACNGGUAUACCAUUUGGGUUCAUGUAUCAUCUAUUUCGAUGUACAGAGACAUGUAAAUGAAUGUAUUAUAAAGCAUGUAACUAGCUAAAUGUUUCAGUUAUACAGUUCAGUUUGAAAGUUUUAAGUUACAGUGAAUUUCAUUGUACAGUUAGUUUACUAUCACUUGUGUUUGUUGCUUGCCUUCGUGCAAGCCAUGUAUAUUGAAAUGUGAUCCUGGGAAUUAUUUAUUUCUUUAUACAUGUACUCGUUGUUGUUGAGCCUUGGGCGAACAGGGGAGGUGCUGUUCGUUCGGCGUCUGUGCGCGGGCCCAGAUCGACCAAAUUGGCGACCGCGGGACGUGACACCUUGGAUCACUCGUGGGGCUGGUGGCUCACACUAGGUGCAUAGGAGCCGAUAGUGGUACGUAUUGCUCGAUAGAGCAUGUAGUGCGAUUGACAGUAUGCUGAGAGUACGAAUUGUGACCCAACCCGAGAAUUUAAUGCUCUUUGGGGUCUUGGUUGCUCCUGGUUGGAGUGUGUGCGAAUUUCCAAGUGAGAAUUUCGCCCCAAUUAUGAUUGGGUCUACGCUUGCGAGCGAGAGGCGCUGCGCAUACGUUAAGACAGGUUUAGGCGGUAGGCCUAUGUAGUAUUGGUGGCCCUUGGUCUACCAAGGAAAAUCGAGGAAAGUGAUUUGGCGAGUAGCCUUAUCGGGGAGUUUGACUUGAGUUCACGAACGACGUGUUCAUGUGAGUCGUUGUGAAAGUGGUAUGAUGUUGACCGUGGCAUAUGGUAUUAGGUAAUGAGGUGCUCCUGGUGAGGCCUUGAGCUAAUGGCCAGCCACGUAGAGUUCGAGAAUUGGAAUUGGGAUGCGCCGAGGUGGGCCAUCUCACGUCAAAGUUAAAGGUUAGUGCGGAAUUAGAGCACUUACGAUGAAGCGAUGCACCGAUGAUAUUGCUUUUAGGCAAUGUCGGUGAUUGAUUUGGAACGCAUUCCCUGAAGGGAAAGUAAAUGCAAAGAAGGUUUCUUGCAUGCCAAGUGACAAGUGGGGUUGGAGCGCAUAGAGUCGUCGAGUUUCGACUUGCGUUACCACCUAGAGUGACGGAGACCGUAAUGCACUUUGUGAGAUGUGCCUUGCAAAGUUGGAUGCGUUUGGUGUUAUGAACUUCGUAGUAGUCCUCUUGGAUAGUUCCAAAAAGUGUAAAGCCAUUCCGAAGUGAAAAAGUGCUUUGGUGCCCUCAAUUGCUCGAGGAGCUAAAUUGAGGUGUGUUUUGAAUUUCGCGGACGAAAUUCUUUUAAAGGAGGGGAGAAUGUAACAUACCGAACAUCUAAAACUUUGAAGUUACGGUGUACAUUUGGUUGAAAAGCCAUUUGCAUGGUUCCGGUGAAGUUCGGUGAAGUUCUAGAGAAAUCGGGCGUUUCGGUGCGCGUAGGUGCGAAAACGGAACCCGAAAGGUUAUGUUGGACCAUGAGCUAAAUUCGGCAUUAGCGUGGAUGAAAAGAUGAUGAAAAUACGCUCGAAAACAUGUUUGGAGAGUCUCGGUUUGAUUUGAAAUGAAUCGGAUGUCAAACGAGCGAAAACGAGCGAAAACGGAGCGAAAACGGUGAAAAAAAGCUGAAAAUUUGGCUAAGUCCUAAAUGCUAGAAUUCUGGACCCUACGGGAAUCGGUCCCUUAAGUCCAAGGACCCGUCCCUGAGCCCGAAAAAUGCCCAGAAUAAGUAGUGGCAGGUUGGUAAUUAGGGGGAAGUUGGCAUAUAUGAAGGGCUUUGCCCCAACUCCUUCUUCCUCCUCAUUCCAACACACACACACACACACAUAUUGGUAGAGAGAGAUGCUCUCUCCUCUCUCUCUAGGAGCUCUCCCUCUUUCUCUCUAAGAGUGGAUUUAGGAGGAGAAGGUGGAGAUUGGAGCUUGGAGAAGGACCAACAUCAUCUUCUUCAUCUUCUUACUAGCUAGUUGAGGUAAGCUCUUUGAGUCUCUCAUGGUGAAUGGCUAGAGCAUGGCUUAGACCUCUUUGAACUUAGCUAGAUGAUGUUUAUUGGUGCUCUAAGAGUAGUUGAUCUCAUUUAUUGUGAGAUUAGUAGCUUGUAUGAAGCUAAUUGCAACAAUGGUGAUUUUGGGCUCCAAAAAGAGGGCUUUUGCAUGUAAGGGCUUUUGAUCUCAAUUGACCCUAUACAAACCUAAUUAGGGGUAUGACGAACGCGUUGGUGCGCUCGGUUCGACAAUCCGAUGAGUGUACGCGAAGUUAUUGACGAAACAGUUUGUUUUGGUAUAGAUAGCCGCAGCACGCGGGAUAAGCCUCCAAAAAUCAUGAAAAUGGAUUGGGAGCAUCGUGGUGUCGGGGAAUAAACUCCCGAACAGACGGAUCACGGAUUGGUGGUCGUUCGGGUGGUCGCACAAGAGUUCGGGCCAAACCGGUUCACGGGUGCCGCGGGAAGCCGAUUACAAGUGACUACAAGCAAUCGGAACGCGUUAAAAGGUUGGUUGUGCUUACCGAAGCGACUAGGUCGCCUUCAUGCCAAAGUAUAAUGUAUUUCACUAUUGAUGCAUGGUGGUAAUAAGAAUGCUAUGUAAGAAUGCAUGAUAAGAAUGCUAUGUAAGAAUGCAUGAUAAGAAUGCUAAGAAAUGAAUGCAUGAUAAGAAUGCUAAGAAAUGAAUGCAUGUGAUAGAUGUUAAGUAAUACAUGUAAUAUGUGCCAAGUAACGAAUCAUAUGAGAUGUAUGCUAAAGAAUGUAUGUUGACAUAUUAUAGAAAUGCUAGAUGAAGCAAGAGUUAAAUGUUAAAGGCAUGUAUGAGAUGUAUGUUAAAUAAACAUAUGAGCUAGAUGAUGUAUAAAUGCAUGAUUUCAUAAUGUAAGAAUAUGUUAGAAUGAUAUGAGGGUUGAACUUGAGUUAAUGAAUACUAAGUAAAGUAAAGAACUCGACAUGUGUCAUAUGUAAAGAAUCCUAAGUAUAAAUAACUAGGAUGACGAGUGGCAUUGAACCUAGUGUCAUUGAACAUAGGUUAUUCACGAGUGGCAUGUCAAGUAUGGUUCCUAGGUGUGGACAACUAGGAUAACAAGAACAUGAGUGGCAUUAAACCUAGAGUCAAGUAAACCUAGGUUGUGAAUGUAGUGACAUGAAACCUAGAGUCAAGUGAACCUAGGUGAUUAAGAAUAUUGAACCUAGUGUUAAUGAACCUAGGCUAAGAAGGUAAUGACAUUGAACCUAAUGUAUUAACUUAGGUUGAGUAAAGGCUUGGACCUAGAUAGGUCGAUAACAUAGGGUUGAGACCGACCCUUGAGUUAUGUAAAGUGAAUUCCGGAAUCCCUGCUGCGAGUGCAGCGGCUGCUAGUGCAACAUACAAGCUCGAUAGUUCUUGGCCGCGGGUGCAUGUGGCAUGUUCCUCUCCCACCGGAAGAACUUCGAGGCUUGUUAUUGAGCAAGAAUCAUGAGUGCUAGGGUGCAUGUGGCAUGUUCCUCUCCCUAUCGGGGAUCUUGACUGCGGGUGUAUGCGGCAUGUUCCUCUCCCACCGGGGGAUCCCUGACCACGGGUAUACGCAGCUCUGGGCGACCCGUUGGGCGAUGUGGUUUGUGGAUUGAUGGCUGAGGUGCAUGUGAUAGUUCCUUCAUCUCGAGCCUGAUAGAGCGCGGAUUAUCCGCAUAUGAUUGACUCAAGACCGAGUCGGGCGGCAAAGUUGUCUAAGGUAAAGUAACCUUAGGAAAGAAUGGCAAUAUGUAUAAUAUGGCUAAGGUGUGAGUACCCUUAGAAUAAAGAAUAAAUAAAAAAAAAGGGCUAACGCUAAAGAAUGGCAAGUAAUAAAGAAUAAAGAAAGGCAAAUGCUAAAGAAUAGCUAGUAAAGUAAAGAAUGACUAAAAAUAAAGAAUGGAUAAGAAUAAAAUGUAGAAGCAAUUAAUCUACUAUAUGAGUUGCAUAAUUUACAUAUUGCAUGUUGUGAGGUAAAAGUAUGGUAAUGUUAGUUGCAUGAUUUACGAUUUCAUAUCUAUUUAUUGGACUAACAUGUUGUUUGCUCUCCUUUGGAGCUUACUUGUCAGGUAAGCUUUGAUGGUCUUUGGUGGUCGUUCUUUGUAGUUUGGAUUUUAAGCUUCAAGAAUGGAGUUGGUUCUCACCCCACGUUGUUUUGGGGUGUUACAGGUUCACACGUGAGCGGCGUGGCGGCGCGAGGCAAGGGCGUAGCUCCGUAGUUAGCGCCCUACCACUGAGACCAGAUAGCAGCACCCUGAGUCGACUUCUUAGGGGUAUAAAAUGCAAAGAACCAAGAGUAUGAUGAUUGUAAGAACAAUGUUGUAAUGACUAUGUUAAAACUAAAUUGUAUUUGGAAGUAAAAAUCAAGGAAUCAAAUGUGAUGUAAUCUAAGAAUGCAAAAAUAUAAUAUGUGAGAUGAAUGCUUGUAAUAGCAAGUAGAUUUAUGUUUUUGAUACUUCCUUAUGCAAUCCUUGGUUGAAAUCUGUUCCUGGUUGGAACUUCGUAUAUUGUAUUGAUUGCGACGCCUUGAAUGUACAGGGGAGACUCUGUCCGCGGUACAGGGGAAACCCUGUCCGUUCGCCGGUCUAUUGGCGUGCCCGAAACCGACCAAAUAGGCGGGCUCGGGGCGUGACAUAUACCUAAGGCCCAUCUUCUCAAGGUGGACUUCAGUCUUCUGCUGGCUAAGUGGUUUAGUCAAUGGGUCUGCCAUGUUAUCCGUGGAGUCUACUCUCUACAUCUUGAUAUAUUUCUGUCGAGGUAGUCGCGUAUAAUAUGUAACCGCCGCUCUAUAUGCAUGAACUUCUGAUGAGACCUUGGCUCCUUAGCUAGGGCUAUUGCAUAGUUGUCACAAUAGAGUGGUAUAGCAUCUGAUGACAUCACACUUAAUUCCGCGACAAACUUCUUGAAUCAGAAGGCCUACAUUAAAUGCGGCAAUAUACUCAGCUUUCAUGGUAGGGUGGUUGUUUGGAACUAUUCUAAUACACCAAGCCACUAUAGCAUAAGAACACACAUCCUGACGUAGACUUUCUAUCGUGAACAUCAGACAUGAAGUCUGAAUCAGUAUAUCCUUAUAUUUUCAACUCUCCUCCUCCAAAGACCAAGAACAUAUCCUUAGUCCUUCUUAAGUACUUGAGUAUGUUCUUGACAGCAGUCCAGUGCUCCUCUCCUGGAUUAGAUUGAUAUCUACUUGUGACACUCACAGCAAGAGCGAUAUCAAGUCGUGUACAUAGCAUGGCGUACAUAAGACUCCCUAUUGCUGAGGCAUAAGGGAUCUUACUCAUACGUUGAAUCUCUUCAAAUGUAUUGGGGUAUAUUUUCUUAGAAAGAUAAAUUCCAUGUCUAAGAAGUAAGUCCCCUUUUGGAGUUUUCCAUGCCAAACUUUUUCAGCACCUUUUCUAUGUACAUUUUCUGUGAGAGGCCUAGCAUCCUUUUAGAUCUAUCUCUAUUGACCUUUAUCCCCAAAAUAUAGGAUGCUUCUCCUAGAUCUUUCAUGGAGAAUUCUUUAGACAAUCAUAUUUUAAUUGAAGUCAGCAUUGGAAUGUCAUUCCCAAUUAGGAGAAUGUCAUCCACGUACAAUACGAUGAAUAUGACAGCUCUCCCACUGACCUUCUUAUAAACACAUGGUUCCUCCUCAUUCUUAACGAAAUCAAACGAUUUAAUCACGUUGUUAAAACGAGUAUUCCAAGUCCUAGAUGCUUGCUUAAGUCCAUAAAUGGAUCGUUGCAACUUGCAUACUUUGUGACUUUCGUCACCGGAAGUAAAACCCAGAGACUGCUCCAUAUAGAUAUCUUCUUCAAGAUAUCCAUUUAGGAAGGCAGUUUUCACAUCCAUUUGCCAGAUCUCAUAAUCAUAGUAUGCUGCAAGGGCAAGCAGUGUUCGAAUUGAUUUAAGCAUGGCCACAGGUGAAAAGGUCUCUUGAUAGUCAAUGCCUUCGCGUUGACUAUAAGCUUUCGCAACCAGCCUUGAUUUAUAGGUCUCCAUAUUUUCAUCCGAACAUAUCUUUCUUUUGUAGAUCUAUUUACACCCGAUAGGUACUAUGCCUUCUGGUGGGUCUACCAAAAUCCAAACCUGGUUGGAGUGCAUUGAGUCAAUUUCUGACUUCAUGGCAUCCAGCCAUUUCUCGGAAUCGAUGUCAGACAUCGCCUCUUUGUAGGUUUUGGGAUCAUCACCAUGUUCCCUAUCUCCCAUGAGGAACAUUUCCUCUACAUCCUCUGUAACGAUACCUAAAUAUCGUUUAGUAGGAUGGGAGAUUCUACUCGACCUACGAGGUAGAGGAGGUACUACAUGUACUGGAUCAACUUGAAUAGGUUCUGUAGGUUUGAGGACUCGUUGCUCUUCAGAGACUCUCUCUUCAAGCUUAAUUUUUCUCCCACUAGCUUCUUCUUGAAUAAACUGUUUUUUCAAGAAAAUAGCAUGUUUGCUUACAACAACAUUGUGAUUCUCUGGGAUAUAAAAAUAGUAAUCUAAAGAUUCUUUAGGAUAUCCAAUAAAACGAGCCCUCUCAGACCUAGCCUCUAACUUGUCCACUUGUAGUCGCUUAACAUAGGCCGGACAUCCCCAAAUCUUGAUAUGACCAAGGCUUGGUUUCUUACCAUGCCACAUCUCAAACGGCGUGGUAGGAACGGAUUUAGAGGAAACUCUAUUUAACAAGUAAGCUGCGAUAAGCAAAGCAUGUCCCCAAAGCAAUAAAGGAAGAUCAGUGAAGCUCAUCAUAGAUCGAACCAUAUCCAAUAAGGUUCAGUUUCUCCGUUCUGACACCCCGUUGAGUUGAGGUGUUCUUGGAGGGGUCCAUUGUGAGACUAUGCCGUUUUCUUUGAGAUAAUUUAGAAACUCUCCACUAAAAUAUUCUCCUCUUCGAUCUGAUCGAAGAACCUUGAUGGAUUUUUCAGUUUGCUUUUCUACUUCAUAUCUGAAUUCUUUGAACUUUUCAAAAGUCUCAGAUUUGUGUUUCAUAAGAUACACAUACCCAUACCGUGAAUAAUCAUCGGUAAAGGUUAUGAAGUAGAGAUAACCACCCCUAACAUGCACAUCAAAUGGCCCACACACGUCAGUAUGUACCAGAAAAAGUAUCUCAGUGGCCCUUACACCUUGUCCUACAAUGGGUAAUUUAGUCAAUUUUUCUUGAAGAUAAGAUUCACAAACUAGAUAAGACUCUGAAGUUAAUAAGCCGAAAAGCCCAUCUUUAUCCAAUUUAUUUAUCCUUUCUUCUCCAAUAUGACCAAGCCUGAGGUGGCACAUAUACUUUAAGUUCAUCUCAUUUCUAGGUCUUUUAGACCCAACAGCAUUCACUACUUGCUCAGAAAUAUUUACAGAUACAUCCAUAUGUAAAUGAUAGAGACUGUCAAUCAUAAAACCACGGGCAAUAAUUUUAUUUCUAAAAUAAAUUAUGCAGUAGUUUUUGUCAAAAAUAAACCAUCCUGUGCAGAAAUCAAAUUUCUGUUAGCAGGAGGUACAUAAUAGCAGUCUUUAAGUAAUAAAACAUAUCCUGACGGUAGUCGCAAUGGAUAGGUGCCAGCAGCCACAGCAGCAACUCUUGCUCUGUUGCCUACCCGUAGGGUCACUUCACCUUCCCUAAGCCCUCUACUUUCCCUUACUGGAAGUAGAGGAAACCGUAAGGUUAGUUUCUAUUACGAGCAAGUCUGAUAUACCUUCCGAAGGUGUGUCUUCCUCUUAUUCUUCAAGCUCUCCAAGUAGACAGGAUAGUUCCUCUUCCAAUGACUGUCAACAUUGCAGUGGAAACAUUUUCCUCUGUUAGCGGCUUUUGUCUUAGGAGCUUUUCUCUUGGACUUGUUCUCCGUCUUUUAUUUCUUUGCGGGUUUUUUUUUCCAAUUAGAUGUUCUUUUGGAAGAGGAAGCCCACUCCACAGCGAGAACCGUGCCCUUUGAACUUUUCAAAGUCCUCUCUAUUAUUAUCAACAUGUUCAAUAACUCCGCAUUAGUGCAGUCAAUUUUAUUCAUAUGGUAGUUUACAAUAAACUGUCCAUACGAUACAGGAAGGGAUUGCAGGAUCAGAUCAACUUGCAAUUCCAUAUCCAUUUUCACACCGAGCUUCUCAAGCUCUUCGAGGUCUUUGAUCAUUGUCAAACAACGAAAAGACUGCCCUUUGGCUAGUUAUUGGACGGUUUGGUAAUAUGAGGUUUUCCUGGUCGAGAACAAUGCAGAGCUUCUUGGAAUUUAAAACUAUUUUAAAUUCCUUAGCCAGACUUUAUAAUUACAUUCAGUUAAGGUUUGGUGUCGAGAAGAUGAGAGAGAUAAUUGGAAGCAGAUAUUUGCUUUGCAAAGAGUAAAGAUUCAAGUUAGAUAUUUGUAUUUGUUUUGAAAAUUUAUUUUAGGAAUUUUAAAAAUAAAUUUAGCCUCCCACUAUUUUCUCGAGUCUCUUACACUCCUCGGGUAGAGAAAUGGAAACCCAACGCGACAAAAGGUUUCAAGUGGGUACUGCGGUCCCACCAAUUUAACGUACCACCACACCUAACAAUUAUUGGUGAUAUGUAAACCGAUGAGUGGACAACUCUUGUCCAAUGCUUCUCAAGAAAAUUGCAGUGAUCGCUCUCUAAGUCCUGUAGGCCCCACCUAACAGUUAUUGACCCCAUUCCUUAGUUAAGUCAGGCCUACCGUUCAAACAUGUAAGCAAAGCCGUCAUUGGGUCCCUCACCGGACAGUUAUUGGGCCCAACCCCAUCUUUACUCCGUAGCAUCUCCUGCUAAUAGAGUGGUUGCGCCUUCCCGAUGCAACUGACCACUGUAACCAGCCGUGCCAAUCAACACCAGAAAAACGCUCGCACUUCUACAACGGCAGAAGACCGCUCGGUUUAAUAUUUGUGUGGAGAUUAAUAUUUAGGUCUCAAAAAAUAUUUUAUUUAUUUACAUCUAAUGCAAAUAAAAAAACAAUCCGCGCAUAAAAAUAAUUAAACUGGUGAUGAUCAUGGAUCUUAGAAGUGGAUUCGGACUCGAGCCACUGAGUCGGAAUCGGGGUCUUAGGGUCAUAAAUUACAAGCACACACACGUCAUCGGUUUGAUCAUCUUCAACUUCUUGAUCCGAUCUGGAGCUUCAACUUGAUUUGAUCCUUAUCAACACCUUGAUCCGACCGCCAUCAAGUAUUCGUCUCUAUCCGGGCCUUGCGAACUUUUAGGCUUGCAACCGAUCAACCAAUGACGUGCAACCAUACAUUAUACAACCCAACAAUACAAAUGAAAUGAAAAUUAAUUACAUUUGAUAACUUUUAUCUCUAAUCUAUUGAGACACGCAGAUAUCCAAAUAAAUCGGCUUGUGCACGCAGACACAAAUAUAGCCAUCUCUAAUACAAAAUUCUUAAUUUAAACAAAUUUAAAAUUACAGGAUUCUGCAUACAUAUCAUACAUCACAUGUCGAAAUAUAAAUAGGUCGCUAUCCAUGAUCAUCACCGAUAUGUAUCUCAUACAUCACAUAUAUAAAAAAUAACUUUGGGUAUUCUAAUUAACCGUUCAACGAUAAUUCGAAAAAUAGUGUCUAAAUUAUUAAAAGCAAUCAAUCUUAUUGACCGUUCAUAAUUUUGAUCAACAACUUAAUCUUCAAAAAUAACAACUUGAUCUUAUCAAGAUUUGAUCUAAUCAAAUUAGAUCUUUCUCUUCCUUAAUAAUAUGUUAAUAUCUUUUAAAUUGAUCUAAUCAAUUUAAAAAUUUAAAAUUUUUUAAAAAAAAUAAAAAAAAAAUGUCAUUUGUUUCCGUACGGAUGCUACAGUAAAUAUUUUUUUUUUUUGCUAGAAAAUAAGAAAUCAUCGAUUAAGUUGUUUAAUCAAUUCGGACUUUUCGAAUUAGCCAAAAACGAUCUAUAAAUCGCUCUACCGGCGAAAAAUAGUUUAAAAUACCCAAAACUAUAAUUUUAAUCUUAAAAACAUGAGGAUGGCUCUGAUACCACUGUUAGAAAAUUGCGUACAGUAAAACGCAGCGAAAAAAGAGACAAAUUUGAUUUUGAAAACUCUCGAGAUCCAAUCUCAAAAACCACACAAUUUGGAUCCCUCAUAUUCUUUAAGAUUAAAGAAGAAAAGUAAGAUCGAAUCUUUAUCUUUUUCGCGGAUAGAUCUUCACCUGAAUUUAAUGAUCGUGGAAUUCGGUUCUCUUGAAGCCGCACACGCGUCCGGCCACCAUAGAUAUCCACACGAGGUUCUUGAUUUGAUAGAUGUCCUCACCGGGGUGCUAGCAGUAGUACACUGGACCUUUGCAAAUUGCGAGGUUCGAGUGUUCGAGCUGUGUUCUGAGUCCUUCCAAACUUUCUGGUGGGUCGUUGACAGUGCUCCGACCUAUGGCUCGUAUCCCGAGAAUUGUGGUUUAAAGCUGUGUACCAAAACCCGAAAAAAGGGGAUUUGGCGAACUCUCGGGUAGCAAUCUGGAGGUCUUGUACCGGUAUAAGAUUGGUGGUUGUACCGGUACAAGGUUGAUGGUUGUACCGGAACAGCCACCGGGCUUGUACCGGUACAGAGCCGUUGAACCCCGCCAACCCGAGCCUCGGGUUUGUGAUUUUCGUGGGGCUUGUACCGGUACAAGGGCCCGUGUACCGGUACAAGGUGGCAGAAUUUGAGCAGUUUGAACUGCAGGGGUGUUUUUGCGAUUGUGGGUCUCUUAUAUCAACAUCCACGCCCCUAGGGCUCUCCUUUGAGCUCACCACUGCAGGGAGAAAGGUAAGGCACCUCUCCCCUUCACCCCCUUUGGAUUUGAUCUUUUUUUAGCUUGGGAUUUAAGUGUUAAUCCCUCUCCUUUUCCUUUUGGUGCAAUUUCACCAUUGUUGAAGCUUGGAGCUUAGAUUUGGAGCUUUGUUGAGGGGAGAUCUUGGCAUUUAGAGAGUUUAGAGUUUGGAUUGAAGCUUCUAAGAGGUAAUCUACUUGUCCUCUCCCUCUAGAUUGGAUUUUUAUUGGUGGUUUUGAGAUGAAACCCUAGAAUGAGGUUUUAGGGCUUAUUUUGGGCAUUUUGAAUCUAGGACUUUUGGAGCUAAAUUAAUUGGAUUAGAAUCUACCUUUGGGUUGGAUCGAAAGGAUUCUAGCUCUCUUUAGGAGCUUGAGGGAGAUUUUUUACACAUUAGGUGAGUUUUAGCCCUUUUGUCUUGUUGGUUAAUGUUUGAUUUUAUAGUUGAUCGUAAUGCCCGUGUAUCUCUUCACUCAAUACUUUUAGGGUAUUUUGAGACUCGUGGACAAUUUCGUUCGGCGAAACGAGACACUACGCAACGGUUCGGUGAGUUUGACCUAGCCACACAAUGAGAAAAUCUCAUUUGUGAAGAUUUGUGUAAUAUACCGAAAAUUCGGAAAAAUAAAUAUCGAACUUUAGUCAAAUUGACCAAAGUGCGAGGAUGGUAUACUUCGGAAAGUCCGAAGGUGUUAAAACGAUCAAAAGUGCGUUGUGGAAGGUUUUCGAGAGCUAAAGAAUCAAAUCCUGCGAAACUGUAGAUUUUCAGCUCUCAGGGACCGGUCCCUAGUGGGAGAGACCGGUCCCCGAACGCGUAUGAAAUGAGACAGCCGAAAAAUCGGCUAAGUCCUGAGAAAGUAGCUCUCGGGAACCGGUCCCUGUCCGAGAGACCGGUCCCCGAGAGACCGGUCCCCCAAAGAGAGACCGGUUGCCCUGCGCGCAGCAGCCCUGGCUGCGCGGGGAGAGCCUUCGGGAACCGGUCCCUGAAGGAGAGACCAGUCCCCGCCUGCGCGAACAGCCCAGUCCAGGCUGUGUGAAAGAGUAAAGGUUGAGGGGUUUAGCUGCAAUUUUGCAACCCAAUAGGCUAUGUAUGAGGGCAAAUGAGAUAUUUCUCUCAUUUCUUCACCCUCUCACACUCUCUUCUCUCCCUCUCUCUCUCUAGAAGACAAAGAAGAAGAAGAAGAAGGAAAGAAAAGAAGGAAAAGAAGGAGAAGAAGAAGAGGAAGUGAAGAAACUCCCUCUCCCUCAUCUCUAGCUUGGAAAAGGAGAGCUUACAAGGUAAGCCUUGAACCCUAAUUAUGGUAGAACCUAAUUUAGGGUUUGGAUUAAGCUUGAAAUGGGUUUUGUGGAACCAUUUGAGUAUUUGAAGCUUUUCUUUUGCUUCUUUUGAGAUCAAGACCAUAGAAAUGGUGAAGCUUGAGGAGAGCUUCAUCACCUCUCAUGGUGGAACCCUAAGUAGGGUUUUGAUUUGUCUAAAGAUGGUUCUAAUGGACUAUUUAGAGUAUAAUGAAGCUACUUUUGCUUCUCUUUGAGAUCAAACCCUAGGUUUACACAUACAAUGGAGCUAGGGCACCCAAAUUGGGGCUUUUGCUCAUGGGGAUUUCUAAGUGAAAUUGACCCUUCAAAAACCUAAUUGGGGGUAUUUCCGCCGCGUUGGUGCGCUCGGAUUAACGUUACGAAAAGUCAAAGUAAAGUUAUGGGCAAAAUAGCCUAAUAAGGGUUCGUUUUGCCGCAGAUAAAGAACGAAGCAUCUAAAAAUCCCAAGAAAAUCAUCGGAGCACCUUUGAAAGCCUACGAGGUGGGUGGUGCUUCUCAAACUCAUUGAAUUUCUCUCUAUGCCUAAUGUGUCAUUCAUUUGAACAUGUAUAUAUAUAUUGUUUCAUGCAUUUUAGGGUAAAGUAAUGAUGAAAAUGUGAUGAUGUAUGAUUGUGGGUACAACUUGCAUAAUAUGAUGAAUGAGAACUAUGUGAAUGUUGAAAACCCUAUAUGUAUGCAUGAGAGAAAAGUGAGCACCCAAAGUGAGCAAAAGAACAGAGUGACACAAUGACAUAGAUCGAGUGGCAUUCGAUAAAGUUAAAGUGAAAUGACACUAGAGAUAGUGUGAGGUAAAGAACCAAUGUAAUGUAAAGAAUGAUGAAAAUGACAAUGUUAAAGUUAAAGUAAUGUGGGGAGUAAAGAACAUGAAGUGCUAGAGGUAGCCAAAAGUAAAGAAUGUAAAGAAUAUGAUUGCUAGAGUUAGCAAGAGUAAUGAAUGGUAAAGAACAAUGAUUGCUAGAGUGGCAACAAAAAGUGAUGAAAGAACACUAGAGCUAGUGUAAAGUCAAGAUUGAACUUAUAAAUCCUUUGAGUUAAGGAUAUGAUCAUACUUGCUAUGAGUUCCGUGCUCGAGGGCGGUCGCUCCCCCUCGGGCGAUGCGCUCCGGAGUUAUGCAUCACGGGUUGGAGUAAACCCGAAGGACGGUCCUAGCGGGUGAGUUCCUGCGAUGAUGGACUUAAUGUGAAGCAAGUUAAUGUGGCGAUACCCCCGGGUUAGCCUUGAGAUUAAAGAACAAAGAGCAAAGAACAAAGUGCAAAGAACAAAGAACAAAGAACAAAGAGUAAAGUGAAAAGAACAAAGAAUUUGCAUAAUCUGCAUUUAUUUAAUGUUGAGCAUAUUUCUGCUUAUUGUUCAGGCAUAUUAGCAUCAUGUAUAGUUUGGUUACUGUUUACAGCCUAUUCUUUCUAUUAUGCCUGAGUUAGUCCUAGUGGGAAAGUCGGUGAUGUUGAGGCCGAACCCACUGGGAACUUUGUUGUAGUUCUCACCCCACUAUUUCCACAGAGCCGGGACCGAGCGAGCCGGCGAGCGACCGAGGUAAAGGUAUCGCGCCUUAGACAGAGGCCACGAGAGUUGAGUUGGGUUUACAUUUUGAUAGUGGCUACCCUAUGUUCAUCUUUUGUACAUGAUGAUUAGUAAUGUAAAGAAAAGAAUGUAAUGUGUAUUUUGAGGUAAAUGUGAUGUAAGAAAGAAAUGAUGAAAUAAUGUAAUGAAAUGUAAAGAAUCCUAAAUGUAAGAAAUGGAUGCAAUGUAUAUGAUCUAAAAUGAAUCAUAUUACUUGUGUAGAUGUUUAGUUUUCCUUUCUUUCACUAAUGGCUAUUGCUUACCCUCGUGUAAGCCGUUUGUGUAUGUUUCCGCUAGUGCAUUUCUUGUUUGAAUUUGUACAUGUGAUGAGCCUUGUGCGGAUAGGGGAAACUCUAUCCGUUCGGCGUCUUUUUGACGUGCUCGGGUCGAGCCAAAUUGGCAUCGGUCCCGGGGCGUGACAAUUUGAGUAUCGUUAAUUGAAAAAGUAUGCAUAUUUAUGUUAGAUAUAUUUAUUAUGAAUUUUAGAAUGCUUAACAUGCAUACGUUAUGUAUAGUAAAUUUUGGACCUCUAUGUGGUUGGGUGCAUGCAUUUGGGAUGUAGCAUUCUAGUGGAAACUUGGGACCAUGAUUCCUAUUAUGAAAAUGAACAUUGCUUUCUUGCAUUUAACCUUAUGCCUAAUUGCGACAUUAGGGACUUUGGAAGCCUAGAGAGGCUUGGGGACUCAGGCUAUUUGAGGUAUUGGGCCGAUGUCAUAAAGAGGCAUUGGGCCCCCGGCUAUAGUGAAUAUUGGUAUUGACGUCAUAUUUGAAACAUAGAACAUGAAUUGAGCUUUACUAGUUGUGAUGCUUAAGUGUCAUAAAGAGGCACUAAGCAAGUGAGUGUUGGGUUAUCAUAUUGUGACAUAGAGCUAGACCGUUGGGUUACUAGUAGCUAUUGCCAUGUUUGAGACAUGAGGGUUGGAUACUUGAGCCUUUGACUACGCUUGCUUGCCAUUUGUGCUCAUUCGCACAUGCUUGUGAGGGUCGCUCCCUACAAGCCGGCACUCCGGAGUUAGCAUACGCGACUUAUGUUCGCUCGUGCGGUAUUGAGAAGCCUACGGGGUCGAGUGGGACAGACACAUUCCAAGAGUAGGGAUGUUGGGCUACCACAGGCACUUAGGCGGCACAAGCUGGACUACCUUGGGUAGGUCCUUAAUUGGAAAUGGAAAUCGACACGGUGUUGAGUGUGUUAUAAUCACUACCAGAUAGAGAGUAGUAGUUGGAUUACUUGGACUUGCUUUUAGCAUAGUUUUGGACACUUGAGUAUACAUACAUACAUGUAGUAUGCUAGGAGAUGUUGCUUAUUGCAUCCAUAUAUACAUUAUUGCCAUGAUAAAGCAUGAUCUUUAUAACUUCAUAAAGUAGACCGUGACAUUUACCUGUGGCUAUGUUGAAACAUAUUACUUACGCAUUGAACAUUCUUCUUUAUAAAAGAGUAAAUGUAAAACAUUGACAUCGUAAUGUUUAUGGUAUAGUAAGCUUAGUAAACAUGCAUACUUUCAUACCGCAGUUAUCAUUAUUAUUAUUGCUGUUUACCGUACUUACCCUUUUCUUUUGGGGCCUAGUGGUGCAUUGAGCUGAGGUUAGUAAUUGCCCACUGGGAACUAUAAAUUAUAGUUCUCACGCCCUCUGUUUUAUAUUUUCUUUCAAAGCCUUCAACGCCGGGAGAGGCUAGGGACCGUGGGAAGGGCGUUGCUUCGAGCUAGCUCUUCAGCGAGUGACGAGUUGCUAGGUGGUCUACCUCUCGAUAUAUUUUAUUUUGGAAAGGUUGAGAGCUGUACCAGUGUACUAGAGACCACCCUUUUGUGUACUUUUUUUUUGGACAGAUAUUGUAUUACUUUAUAUUUCACUCUUAUUGUUAUAGUAUUAUCCUUUUUCCUAAUUGUAGAUGAUAGAUCUAUUUAUGCUCUGAUAUCUCUAGAUGUUGUUUUUCUUUGGUUUAUUUUCCGCUGUUGUUGUAGACGCCUUAUAUGUGUUGACAUAUAGCGGGUCUGGGCACGCUACCGGGAGGGCCCCUGUCGGUCCCGGGGUAUGACAGAUUAGUUUUGUAUUAGAGCCUAGGGUUGAGUCUUUAUGGACCUAGCAAACCUUAGGCCGGUUGGACUAUAGGAAUUAGGUUCGUGAGAGACGAUGUCUAAUCGAUUUGUGAGCGAAAGUAUUAUGAUUGGGUUUUAUGACAACUCUAAAAAGUUAGAGUUUGAUCGGAGUGUAUGGCUACUAACUUCGCGGAGGGUUACGUUGGCGGCCGACAACGUAACAUCGGGAGUUAGUAGUGAAAGACACUUCCUUACUUUCGCAUGAGUUGGGUUUUAUCUAUUUGAGUGGGGAUGCGAUAGCGUGGGUUACUAACUUGCACUUUUAUGUUUUGUAGUGACGAUGCCGGUUACACGCUCCCAUUCUGCUGGGGCGGAUGAUGCGGCACACCUCGAGGAGGCCGAGACCUCCGCUACUUCCGAAUCUAGUGAGGUCCGUGACUUUUGGACCCAGCUUGCGGUCCUCACUGAUCUGUUGGCGCAGCAGACGGCAGCGGCGCAACGACAGGCUAAGGUGGCUCAGCGGCAGGAGAUGUGGAUGAAGCAUAUUGAGGACCUCCUACUUCAGCAGGCGGCAGCUUCGAGGGAGACCCAGGUUCCCACACCGCCAGCACCCGUGGUGGACGUCGCACCGAGGGCGCAGUCCCGCGCUCCCAGUUCUUCACGUGCGGCGCCGGCGAUCACACCUCGGGAGGAGGUGGCUGCGGCACUCCCAGUUCAGAGACCGGCCACGAGGGCAGCUUUCCCCGUGAGGGCCGAGGGAGCCGAGCGGGAUCGGCUCAUGGAUCGCCUCAGUGAUUUUAGAAGGUGCAGCCCGAGGACGUUUGAUGGCGAGAACGUCGACCACUGGAUUGUUGAGAAGUGGUUGAUGCACAUGGAGAAGCUUUUUCGAGACACUUUUGUGGAGGAGCGGGACAGAGUUUGGCUCGCCACUCACUUUCUCGACGGCGAGGCCUACCGUUGGUGGUUGGAUAUCCAGGACAACCCCAACACUGACUUGGCGGCGAUUACUUGGACGAGGUUCAAGGAGCUCCUUCUGGCGCACUACUUUCCGACCAGCGUCAAGAGGAAGAUGGAGCAGGAUUUGCGCGGCUUGCGCCAGGACGAGCGGUCAGUGGCCGAGUACGAGAGGGAGUUCUCCCGGCUACGUCACUGUGUACCGUUUGUUGUGAGGGAUGACAGGGACAAGGCCAGCAUUUUUUAGCGCGGAUUACGGCCUUCUAUCUUCCGGUUGGUGCAGUCUUCCAACCUCCAGAUCUAUCGGGAGGUUGUGGAUCGAGCAUUGAUUGUAGAGGCUGGAGCGGCAGAUCUUCAGGAGCGUCGCGAGAGCUCGGAGAAGGGGAAGGGAAAGAGGCCCGCGGCUGAGAGUGCGAGUCAAACGCACUCACGAAGGCCGCCGAGGCACCCCAGGAGCCAGAGGCAGUCGCAGGGACGUGGCUCGUCUACUCAGCGAGGAGGACCCGACCGUCGCCAGGCCCCCCGCUGCGUGAUCUGUGGCGGUCCUCAUUAUACGCAGCACUGUUCACGUAGCCGGAGCAGGUGCUUCUUGUGUGGCCAGGAGGGCCACUUUCAGUCGGACUGCCUGAGGAGUCCAUCGCCAGCGCCAUCUUCGGCAUCUGCACCAGCAUCGCCAGGUCCCAGCCAGGGGACAUCUUCUGCGCAUCACCAGGCCGGUCGGCCACCUGUCCAGCGGCAGACGGAGGGGUCACGACAGGCCCCGAGCGGGCGCAUGUACGCGGCCCAGACUGAGGAGGCGGCGGCAGCCGAGAAUGUGGUCGCAGGUAUCAUUUUACUUCAUGGUAUUCGAGUUAGAGCUUUGUUUGAUACCGGUGCAUCGCAUUCAUUCAUAGACCGGCUGUUUGCCGAGUUGCAUGGCAUCCCACUUGUAUCCUUGUUGCAUCCUGGACGAGUUGUUGUACCCGACCAUUCUUUGGACAUCCAAGAGUUUUGCCCCAGUUGCCCUGUUCGGGUUGGAAAUUGGAUCAUGCCCGUAGACUUGCUAGCUUUGCAUAAACUCGGGGAGUUUGAUGUUGUGCUGGGCAUGGAUUGGUUGACCAAGUACUACGCCACCAUUGAUUGCAAGAAUCGAACGGUGACGUUUAGAGAGCCGGGGCAGGCGGAGGUUGUGUACCGAGGAUGCCAGAGUUCGCUGUUUGCGAUGACGAUUAGCUCUUCUCGAGCUCGGCAGUUGAUUAGUAGAGGCUGCGUAGCCUACUUGGCUACUGUUGUGUUGCGGGGUGAGGAUGACACCCCUAGGAUUGAGGAUAUCCCCGUAGUGCGGGAGUUUGGAGAUAUGUUCCCAGCGGAGCUUCCAAGCAUGCCACCUGAUAGGGAGAUUGAGUUUGUGGUAGAUCUCGUUCCCGGGACUACUCCAAUCUCAAAGGCACCCUAUAGGAUGGCACCAGCAGAAUUGAAGGAGCUGAAGGCACAGUUAUAGGAUCUUCUGGACAAGGGUUUUGUGCGACCGAGUGUGUCACUUUGGGGAGCACCGGUUUUGUUUGUGAAGAAGAAGGAUGGAUCACUACGCUUGUGCGUGGACUAUCGUGAACUUAAUAAAGUCACGAUCAAGAACAAGUAUCCAUUACCGAGGAUUGAUGAUCUAUUUGAUUAGCUCCAGGGAUCUUGUGUAUAUUCCUAGAUUGAUUUGCAGUCGGGAUACCACCAGUUGAUGAUCAAACCUGAGGAUGUGUCGAAUACGACUUUUAGAACACGGUAUGGAUAUUAUGAGUUUACCGUUAUGCCGUUUGGGCUUACUAAUGCUCCGGCAGCUUUUAUGGAUUUAAUGAACCGUGUUUUCAAGCCUUAUUUAGACAGGUUUGUCAUGGUGUUCAUCGACGACAUUUUGGUCUAUUCCCGAAGUGAUGUGGAUCACGAGGAACACUUGAGACUUGUACUUCAAGUGCUUCGGAAAAAGAAGCUCUAUGCCAAGUUGACAAAGUGUGAGUUUUGGCUUAGAGAGGUGGCGUUUUUGGGCCAUGUGAUUUCAGGAUCAGGGAUAGUUGUGGAUCCAAGGAAAAUUGAAGCUGUCAAGAAUUGGCCGAGGCCGACGAGUGUGACCGAGAUACGGAGCUUCAUUGGUUUAGCCGGCUACUACAGGCGGUUCGUUGAGGGAUUUGCAAAGUUAUCUACCCCCCUCACGAGGCUCACGCAUAAAGGCACCAAGUUCAUUUGGAAUGAUGCGUGUGAAAGGAGCUUCCAAGAGUUGAAGCAGAGACUGACUACCGCCCCGAUCCUAACCUUGCCGACUGCCGGAGCAGGGUAUGUGAUUUAUAGUGAUGCUUCUUUUAACGGAUUGGGCUGUGUUUUGAUGCAGGACGGGAAAGUGAUCGCGUAUGCAUCUCGCCAAUUGAAGGAUUAUGAAAGGAAUUACCCCACUCACGACUUGGAGUUGGCGGCCGUGGUUUUUGCAUUAAAGCUAUGGCGCCAUUAUUUAUAGGGCGAGCGGUGCGAAGUAUAUACGAAUCACAAGAGCUUAAAGUAUUUAUUCACUCAGAAAGAGUUGAACUUGAGGCAGCGCAGAUGGUUGGAGCUACUCAAGGAUUACGACCUGACGAUUCUUUACCACCCGGGCAAGGCUAACGUGGUGGCGGAUGCGCUAAGUCGGAAAUCGACGGAGAACUUAGCGAUGCUUGUGGUUACUCAACUGCCGUUGAUCAAGCAGAUGAAGCGGCUGGAGUUGGAGGUGGUGGCUCCUGAUACACCUUUGAGACUUAUGACUUUGGUGGUGCAAUCUACACUUAUAGAAAAAAUUAAAGAAAAGCAAGUCUCCGAUGUUGAGUUGCAAAGGAUUCAAGCUAAGAUGGUUGAUGGUUGCACCGGUGAUUUCACUUUAGACGGUGAUGGAUUGAUGCGUUUCCGCGGACGACUUUGUGUACCGGCGGUGUCACGACCCGCGACCACCCGCCUAUUUGGCCGAGGUCGCGACGUCGACAGCGCAGAACGAACAGGGUUUCCCCUGUACUGCGGACAGAGUCUCCCCUGUACGUUCAAGGCAUCGCAAUCAAUACAAUACAAAGGUUCCAAACAGGAACAAUAUCAAUCAAGAUUGCAAGUGGAAGGUAUCAUACAACAUAAACACAUCCUAAGUUAUUACAUUCAUUCACUUUCAUAGUUUUUACUCACAAUUUCUAUUCUUUUUCAUCCAAAUGCAAUCUAAGUUAUUACAACAUUUACUUACUACAAGUUUGAUACAUUGUAUUCUUUUCAUUUCCCAUACCUCUAAGCUAUAUCGACAGGGUACUGCUAGCUCUGGUCUCCGGGUAGGGCGCUAUCUAUGGAUCUACGCCCUUUCCUCGCGCCGCUGCGCCGCUCUCGUGCGAACCUGUAACCCCCAAAACAACGUGGGGUGAGAACCAACUCCAUGGUUCCCAGUGGGUACGGCCACCCAAGGGAAAAGCUCGACCAAAAGGUCCAAGGAGGCACUGCAAUCAUGUUAGUCCAAAAACAUCUAUAGAUAUAUAAAUCAUAAUGUUAAUAAGCAACUAACAGAUAACAUGCCUCACAACGUGCAAUAUGAAUAUUAUGCAGUUCUAUGCAAUCAAGCAACCAUUCAGUAGAUCUAUUGAUUCUACAUUCAGCUUUACUAACUUUAGCUCAUGUCAUUUAGCCUCUAAGGUUCUACUACCUUAGCUCACAACUCAAGUUCACAUUGCCUCUAAGGUCUCUAUUACCUUAGUUCUUACCAUUAUCACUAGCUUAUAAGGUUUCUAUUAACCUAAUCGAGCUAACCACCCGACUCGGCCUCGAGUCAAUCAUCCACGGAUAGUCCGCGCACUGGCCGCACUCUGUGACUUAACCAGCUGGCGGCGAAGUCAUCGCACACGCCGAACACUGGUUCAAGUCCCUCAACUUGGCCACCUGGUGGCAAACGAAUCGCACCUCACCCAACAAUGGCUCAAGUCGAUCUGGCGGCAUAAUCCACAAACUGGCUUAACCAUUCGGCGGCGAAAUCGUUGCACACGCCACGUCAAUGGUUCAAGCCCCGGGCGGUGAUCUCAGUGCACUCACCUCCCAAUCCAUCCUUGGUAUCAACCUCGACGGCGAAAUUGUCGCACACGCCCUAGCCUUGAUACCAAGGUUAUCAAAGAUUCUGGGAUUCCGGAAUCCACUUUUCACAAGUCGAGGGUCCAUAGCCAACCCUAUACCGUCGACCUAGCUCAUCCUAGUGGCUAUACCACUCUACUCAUCAAACUAGGUUUCAAACACUCUAGGUUCUAUGUCCAUGUCACUUAACCUAGUUAUAAAUGCUAGGUUCAUGUCCUCGUAGCCUAGAUGUCCAUUUCUAGGUUUACUAGUUCGACCUAGGUUUACUAACACUAGGUUCGAUGCCACACACCUAGAUUAUUCAAUUCUAGGUUUACGUAUUUAACCUAUGUCCUUUAACACUAGGUUAGAUGCCACUCGAUCUACCUGACAACCUAGUUGUCCACUUAAGCAUUCUACAUUACCAUUUUCCGUUGUCGAGUUUUCUACUCAUUCUAGAUUAUCAAUUCCCUUCAUAUGCAUAUCCUCACAAUGCUACUCAUGUAUUUAUGCAGCUAUCUAGCAUUACAUAGCAUGCAUUAUAUGAUCUAUAUCAUUUAUAUGGACCUACUUAGCAUUUGCAUCAUAUUAUUAACAUGCAUCACUUAGCAUUAGCUACAUGCGCCAUUCACAUGCCUCGUUCACAUUUAUAUGCAUCAACAUGGGUUCUUAAUCAUCUUAGACAUAAAGGUGACCUAGUCGCUUCGGUAAGCACAACCCACCUUAACUCGCGUUCCGAUUGCUCGUCGACACUUGCAAUCGGCCUCCCGCGGCCUCCCGCGGCACUCGGCACUCGUUUGGGCCCGAUCUCACAGUUGCUCUCCAAGAGCGCGCCGCUUCGCCGUCUCAAGUGCUAACGGUCUUCGCCUUGCUGCUACGGUGCUCGGGAUCCAAUCCCAUGAUUUUACGACGUCGCCUCGGCCCUCCCGGCAGACCCGAAGCUUAAACGUCUAUUUCUUUAAUAACUUUGUAACGGCUCGUCAGAUUGCCGAACCGUCUUCGCCAACGCGUUUUGUUACCUAGCAAUUAGGUUUACAGAGGGUUGAAUGAGAUCAAACCCUCAUAUUUGCCAAAACCCCAUUUCGGAGCCCUAGAUUCCAAUUAGGUAAAAACCUAUCUUUAAAUCUCUAGAUUCUAGCAUUAAACAUCUAUUAAGCUUGCUAGGAAUCCAAUUAAACCAUUUCUAGAGAUCAAAACCCUACAUCUAGGGAUUUACCAUGAGAGGGCUAAGGGCUUACCUCUCAAGAUGCUCCAAUAGCAAGGAGGGAGAGAAGAAGGUGGAGUUGAUCUCCUCCUUGAUCUUCUUCUCCUUCUUCUCCUUCCUCUUCUUCUUCUCUUCUUUCUCCCCUUCUUCUUUUUCUUUUGUUUAGAGAGAGAGAGAGAGAAACGUGAGAGAGAGUGAGGGAAUGAGAGAAAGAGAGAGAGAGUCCUCUCUUAACCCCCUCUCAUAUUGUAACAUUUCCAAAUAAGCCCCCCAACUCUUCUAACCUCGCAGUAGCCCGAACUGGGCAUUUUUCGCGUUCGGGGACUGGUCCUUGCGGUGAGGGACCGGUCCCUGAGAGACCGGUCCCCGAAGGUCCAGAAUUCAGCCUCAAGGACUUAGCCAAAUUUUCAGCAUUUUCGCCCGUUUUUGUCCGUUUUAGCUCGUUUGACCUCCGAUUCACUUCAAAUCGAACCGAGACUCUCCAUACAUGUUUUCAAGCAUGUUUUCAUCAUCUUUUCAUCCACGCUAAUGCCGGAUUUAGCUCACGGCCCAACAUAGCCUUUCGGGCUCCGUUUUCGCGCCUAUGCGCACCGAAACGCCCGAAUGCUUCCGAACUUCACCGAACUUCACCGGAACUAUUCGAAUGGCUUUCUAACCAAACGUACACCGUAACUUCAUGAUUUUAGAAGUCCAGUACCUUACAGGCUGACUUGGGUAUUAAAGAGGAUAUUCUUCAAGAAGCACACCGAGCAUCGUAUGCUAUACAUUCGGGAGGCACCAAGAUGUACAAGAACUUGAAGUUGCUUUACUGGUGGCCCGGGAUGAAAAAGGAUGUUGGUGAGUUUGUUGCCAGAUGCUUAACUUGCCAACAGGUGAAAGCUGAGCACCGAGUUCCCAUGAAAAAACUUCAGAGCCUACCGAUUCCAGUGUGGAAGUGGGAAAAGAUUACCAUGGAUUUCGUGAUGGGAUUGCCUCGCUCACAGGCCGGGCAUGACGCUAUUUGGGUGAUCGUGGAUAGGCUGACGAAAUCGGCCCAUUUCAUACCUAUCCACACUAUUUAGACUGGUGAGAGACUCAGAUAGGUUUAUUUGGAUGAGAUUGUGCGAUUGCACGGGGUACCUACUUCUAUAGUAUCGGAUCGAGACCCCCGUUUUGUAUCCCACUUUUGGAGAAGCUUAUAGGAUGAUUUGGGUACGCGCUUGGACUUCAGCACUGCUUUCCACCCCCAGAGUGACGGGCAGUCGGAGCGUACUAUACAGACUCUUGAGGACAUGCUUCGAGCCUGCGUGAUUGACUUCCAGGGAGAAUGGUUGCAGCAUCUACAGAUGGCAGAGUUUGCUUAUAACAAUAGUUAUCAAGCAAGCAUCAAGAUGGCACCUUUCGAGGCACGUUAUGGAUGGAAGUGUAGAUCGCCACUUCAUUGGAGUGAAGUUGGCGAGAGAUUGGCUUUAGGCCCAGAUGUGCUCCAGAAGGCCGAGAACAAGGUUCGCAUUGCGCGGGAGCGACUGUUGACAGCCCAGAGUAGGCAGAAGAGCUAUGCUGAUCGGCGUCGACAAGACUUGAAGUUUCAAGUUGGAGAACACAUCUUCUUGAAAGUCUCGCUGACUCGAGGGAUUAGAAGAUUUGGAACCCGGGGUAAGUUGAGCCCCCGAUACUUUGGACCGUAUGAGGUUUCGGAGCGUGUAGGCCCGGUAGCGUAUAGACUUGCUCUACCGCCGAACCUAUCGGGUGUGCACAAUGUAUUCCAUAUAUCGGUCCUUCGGAAGUACAUCCACGACCCGGCUCAUGUUUUAGACGCUACGCUUUUGGAGCUGAGAGAGGACUUGAGCUUCGAGAAACAACCUUUAAGGAUUUUGGCUCGCGAAGUGAAAAGAUUGCGGAACCGGGAAAUUCCCUACGUGAAGGUGCUUUGGAGCAACCACGACGAGCGCGAGGCCACUUGGGAGUUGGAGAACGCACUGCGGGGCGCUACCCCAUCUUUUUCAGAUGGAGGCUUGAGGUACUUUGUCUUUUUCGAGUUUCGUGGACGAAACUCCUUUUUAUGAGGGGUGAAUGUAGUACACUGGACCUUUGCAAAUUGCGAGGUUCGAGUGUUCGAGCUGUGUUCUGAGUCCUUCCAGACUUUCUGGUGGGUCGUUGACAGUGCUCCGACCUAUGGCUCGUAUUCCGAGAAUUGUGGUUUAAAGCUGUGUACCAAAACCCAAAAAAAGGGGAUUUGGCCAACUCUCGGAUAGCAAUCUGGAGGUCUUGUACCGGUACAAGGUUGGUGGUUGUACCGGUACAAGGUUGAUGGUUGUACCGGUACAGCCACCGGGCUUUUACCGAUACAGAGCGAUUGAACCCCGCCAACCCGAGCCUUGGGUUUGUGAUUUUCAUGGGACUUGUACCGGUACAAGGGCCCGUGUACCGGUACAAGGUGGCAGAAUUUGAGCAGUUUGAACUGCAGGGGUGUUUUUGCGAUUGUGGGUCUCUUAUAUCAACACCCACGCCCCUAGGGCUCUCCUUUGAGCUCACCACUGCAGGGAGAAAGGUAGGGCACCUCUCCCCUUCACCCCCUUUGGAUUUGAUCUCUUUUUAGCUUGGGAUUUAAGUGUUAAUCCAUCUCUUUUCCCUUUUGGUGCAAUUCCACCAUUGUUGAAGCUUGGAGCUUGGAUUUGGAGCUUUGUUGAGGGGAGAUCUUGGCAUUUAGAGAGUUUAGAGCUUGGAUUGAAGCUUCUAAGAGGUAAUCUACUUGUUCUCUCCCUCUAGAUUGGAUUUUUAUUGGUGGUUUUGAGAUGAAACCCUAGAAUGGGGUUUUAGGGCUUAUUUUGGGCAUUUUGAAUUUAGGACUUUUGGAGCUAAAUUAAUUGGAUUAGAAUCUUCCUUUGGGUUGGAUCGGAAGGAUUCUAGCUCUCUUUAGGAGCUUGAGGGAGAUUUUCUACACAUUAGGUGAGUUUUAUCCCUUUUGCCUUGUUGGUUAUGUUUAAUUUUAUAGUUGAUCGUAAUGCCCGUGUAUCUCUUCGCUCAAUACUUUUAGGGUAUUUUGAGACUUGUGGAUAACUUCGUUUGGCGAAACGAGACACUACGCGACGGUUCGGUGGGUUUGACCUAGCCACACAAUGAGAAAAUCUCAUUUGUGAAGAUUUGAGUAUUGUUAAUUGAAAAAGCAUGCAUAUUCAUAUUAGAUAUAUUUAUUAUGAAUUUUAGAAUGCUUAACAUGCAUACGUUAUGUAUAGUAAAUUUUGGACCUCUAUGUGGUUGGGUGCAUGCAUGUGGAAUGUAGCAUUCUAGUGGAAACUUGGGACCAUGAUUCCUAUUAUGAAAAUGAACAUUGCUUUCUUGCAUUUAACCUUAUGCCUAAUUGUGACAUUAGGGACUUUGGAAGCCUAGAGAGGCUUGGGGACUGAGGCUAUUUGAGGUUUUGGGCCGAUGUCAUAAAGAGGCAUUGGGCCCCGGGCUAUAGUGAAUAUUGGUAUUAACGUCAUAUUUGGAACAUAGAACAUGAAUUGAGCUUUACUAGUUGUGAUGCUUAAGUGUCAUAAAGAGGCACUAAGCAAGUGAGUGUUGAGAUAUCAUAUUGUGACAUAGAGCUAGACCGUUGGGUUACUAGUAGCUAUUGCCAUGUUUGAGACAUGAGGGUUGGAUACUUGAGCCUUUGACUACGCUUGCUUGCCAUUUGUGCUCAUUCGCACAUGCUUGUGAGGGUCGCUCCCUACAAGCCGGCACUCCGGAGUUAGCCUACGCGACUUAUGUUCGCUCGUGCGGUAUUUGAGUGGCUACACGGUGAGUGGAAAAGACAUUCCAGAUAGGGAUGUUUGUACCAAGUACUAGCGCCAGUAGAACUAACUUGUAGGUCCCUAAGUUGGAAAAUGGAAAUUGAAUCUGUUGUUGUGGUAAUAUAAGAUAGAGGUCGAGUUGAUUCUGGUUGCUUCUAGCAUAGUUUUGAACCUUGAGUAUACUACAUACCAUGUAUCUAGGAGUAUGUGACUUAUUCUCCCAUAUUACAGUGUUCAUAAUACAUAUCUUAUAAAUUCAUAAAGAAACCGUGAAAUUUAACUGUGGAUGUUGGACAUAUAUUACGCAUUGAACAUUCUCUUAAUAAACAGUAAAUUUAACAUUGACAUCGUAAUGUUUAUGGUAUAGGUAAAACUAGAUAAACAUGCAUAUUUCAUACGCUUAUUUAUUUGAUGUUUACCGUACUUAUUCUUUGGCCUAGUGUGCAUUGACUUGAGGUAGUAAUUGCCACUGAAUAAUAAAUUUAGUUCUCAACCCUCUGUUUAUGUUUUCUUUACGAGCAUUCCAACGCAGGAGAGCUAGGGAGUGAAGGCGUUGUUUGACUAGCUCUAGCGGAGUGCGAGUUGCUAGGUUACUUGAAUAUUUUAUUUUGAAGGUGAGAGUGUACCAUUGUAUAGGAUGACCCUUUUGUUACUUUUUUUGGACAAUAUUUAUCUUAUUAUUUCAUUUUGUUAUAGUAUACUUUUCCUAGUGUAUGAAAUUAAUUUUGCUCUGAUAUUCUAGAUGUUGUUUUUCUUUGGUUAUUUUUCGGCUGUGUUGAGACGCCUUAUAUGUGGUUACUAUGGGGGUCUGGGCACCUACGGAGGCCCUGCGGUCCGGCGUGACAGGUCUAGCUCCCUUACCAAAGGGAUGUCUUCUUGCUAAGAAUAUGGAAGAGAGAAAGAGACGUUGAGGUUGGGUUAAAAACUCUGAAUUAUAUAUAGGAAUAAAAUCUAUUCUAAAUAAUAUAAUGAAUAGGAUAAGUAUAUAUCUAAGAUUUAAUUUUCCUUUCGCUAAGGUUAAUCGAUCACAUCUAAUUUGAUUCGACUUGAAUUUUAAUAUUAAUUUGACUUAUUUCAUUAAUGAAUGCACAUUUGCCCAUCUCUAUAAUAUUACUAAAUUAUAAGCUCUCGCUUAUAACUUAUACACUUUAAUACCACUAAUUUGUAACAAUUACAAAUUACUCCAAUUAUCAACAUAUUGACAAUUAGGUCCUACUGCGAUUCAAUAAUCGCGAUCUAGCUAUCCGAUCAAUCACAACCAUUUAUGUGUGUGACCCCAUAGGUUCUAUUCUAACUGGUAGUGAGAUAUAUUUUGAUCACUAUCAACAAUAUCACGGAAACUCCUUUCGGUAGAUCGGAACAAUUCCAACUCUGCCCAAUGAGAAUUAUCGAUCAUCUAGAUAAUUCUCAUGAGUCUCACAAUCCACCAGUGACGCCUAGCAGCAUGUAGUGGCAUUCCAGUAGAAUGAAAUACUGAACCUCUUGGUGCAGUUAUCGUGUGAUACAAUCCUUCUAUCAUGAGUCCCGACAAGACGGAGGUUAUGGAAUAACUCGUCAAACCCCAUCGCCUAUCAUAUAUUAAAUUCAUUCGACUCGAGUUUCUAAUAUCAGAAACCUUUUUCCGCUAUUAACUCUGCCCUGGUCAAGGUCUUCUAAACUCGGUCUCAUAAAUCAUAUAGGACUAACACCCCUAUCUACCAAGUGAGAUAGAUUCCAUCUAAGUGUGCACCCUAUUCCUACAAUAAACCUACUGUAGCCAACAUGCACCGCAAGGACCCGAAUGGCUAGGGACCAAGUGUAUGUACAGUCAAACUACAGUAACCUCAUUGUGAAUAGCCGAGGCACCGCAGGUCAAAGUACUAGUCACAUUACUGCAACAUUGAAUAAGUCACUGACGAGUGAGUAGACAUCCAAGUGACUUCUCGGGAUGGUCACGCUCGGUACCCUUGUUCUCUAACAACCACCUGCAUAUUCGCUUCAGUGUCCCUACAUUGUCGACUCGAGACCCGUCUACCCAAAAAGGAAGCGACCUAUGCACCAAUCUCACCGGAUCAAUCACCGCCCCCGUGAUGGUCCAUUGAUUAGGAGCAUUUAGGAAUUAACCACCAAUGACACAUGUCUCAAAUUCUCAACUCUUGAGAAUAUAUGUCAUCAUCUUAUUAAUUCCUUGGACGAUUCACGGACACAUACACAACAUGAAUGGAAAUAAAAACCCAAAUUUAUUCAUAAUAUUUUAAAGUCAAAUACAAAUUUAUAUCCUAGAAAGAAUACAUGUGUCAGCCUGGUUGGCUUCUAGGGCAUACAUCUAACACCAUAUAGUAUUACGAUGUCAAGGUUUAUCAUUUAUUAACCCAAAUGUCACUACAUGACGUUCAUGAUUACUAUGUCAAGUAACAGUUACUAGUUCAAAUGCACACAACCAUUGCCAUUAUCCUAUCUAGGAUAGUUCACUUUUGUCCAAGUCUCAAUGAGAGUUCACACUUAGUCUAUUCCACUAAAGCUAAGGAAGCCACUUUCUUAUGGUGUAUGCAUAGUUACCACAAAUUAUUUAUAAUGCUCAUGAUGCAAGCCAUGCACAUAUAUCUUCCUACCCAUACAUCCACCUUAUGGAGUAAUAACAAUUAUGCGAGUGCUUUCAUUCAAUAAUGCCAUAUGCAAAUAUUCAACUAGAAUGAAUGUUCCAACUUGGUUUCUUAUAGAUCUUACAUGUACUACGUUACCAUGUCCCAACUACUUGCCUACAACAAGUGUGAUAUUGUCAUGCAAAUAUAUGCAAAUGAAUGUUCCAACUUGGUUUUCUCUCUUUUGUGUUUUGUUGAGAGAGAGAGAGAUUUUGUAUCCAUGUAUAGAGACCACCUCUGUAUUACAUUCAGUUUUUGUACUCGGGUUUUGUUAUUGUACUACCUUAUGGUUUUAUUUAGUGGAUCUAGCUCUUUACUUAUUUUCUUUUCCUUGUCAUAGAUACUAGAUGUUGUAUACUCUGAUAUCUCUAGAUCUCUUCGUGCUGUUGCUUUAUUUAUUACCUUAUUGUAGACGCCUUAUAUAUUUUAGACGUAUGGCGGGUCUGGACACGCGCCGGGCGGGCUUCCGCUGGGUCCCGGGGCGUGACAGAUCAUGUCCAUGAUGUUCAUAAUGCUACAAUAAGUGACGAUACAUCUCAUUACUAUUCUAACCAUACAUUAUGCCAAUCAAUAUAAGUGUAACAUACUACCACUAGGGUGUCAAUGCUAACAAUGACUAACAUAAGGUCCACAUAUGCACUAUCAUGCAUGUCCACUAGUCCAACUGAUAUACAUCAUCUAGUAGUAGUUUUCACAUUACACUUUAGGUUUCAUAGUUCAAUCCUCAUCAUGGAUCUACACGUGUGUAGUCCGGCUUGUGCCGUGCCAAAAAUGGCCCCAUAGUAGUCAAUAUUCCCACUCUAGGAAUGAGCCUCCCCCACGGCAUCCCAUUUCGGCGCCCAAUCCUGCACGGGCGAGCUUGUGUCACAUAGGCUAUCUCCGGAGUGCCAGCUUGUGGGGAGCGACCCUUACAAGAAUGUGUGAAUGAGCACAAAGGCAAGCAAGCGUGAUCAAUAGUAUCCAGCUCUCGGUCAUCAUGUCUAAAAUAUGGAAUACGUGGCAACGACCCCAAAGGUCCCAUAUAGUAUUACGAUGUCAAGGUUUAUCAUUUAUUAACCCAAAUGUCACUACAUGACGUUCAUGAUUACUAUGUCAAGUAACAGUCACUAGUUCAAAUGCACACAACCAUUGCCAUUAUCCUAUCUAGGGUAGUUCACUUUUGUCCAAGUCUCAAAGAGAGUUCACACUUAGUCUAUUCCACUAAAGCUAAGGAAGUCACUUUCUUAUGGUAUAUGCAUAGUUACCACAAAUUAUUUAUAAUGCUCAUGAUGCAAGCCAUAAACAUAUAUCUUUCUACCCAUACCUCCACCUUAUGGAGUAAUAACAAUUAUGCGAGUGCUUUCAUUCAAUAAUGCCACAUGCAUAUAUUCAACUAGAAUGAAUGUUUCAACUUGGUUUCUUAUAGAUCUUACAUGUACUACGUUACCAUGUCCCAACUACUUGCCUACAACAAGUGUGGUAUUAUCAUGCAAAUAUAUGCUAAGUCUCAUUCAUGCACAUGUCCAAGUCAUAUAGUUAUGCUAUCGAUCUCAAGAUCAACACCUUGUUAGUUACUAGGUCACAAUGCCCUAUUUCCUUGUCUACACAAGUAUAUUAUUUGUAACAUACCAGAUUUUGGUAUAAAAAAAAAUAAAAAUAAAUAAAAAUAGUGUGAGAAACUAUUUUUAUUGGAUUUAUAGAAGUAAAAUAUAAGUUAGAAGUGACUUGUGCUGAAAUCGAAAUGAAAAUAGAAGAUCUAGAAUUUUCUGUUGGAAACGAGACAGAUAAAUUAGCAGAAAAUGCAGUCUCAGAAAAUUAUGAAAAUUGGAGGAUAAGUCAGAAAUAUUUUUAUGAGGCUAGAUUUAAGGUUUCAUAUUUUUCUGACACCCGUAGAGUGAGAAAUAAAAUCCAACAGCUAUCUGAUAAAGAUUACGGUUCGGUACAGUUUUCAGUGACCAAACGAGGUCGAAACUGAAAACAUAAGAUAUAUUCUCACUCAGUACGUUAAACCGAGGUUGUCUGUCAAAUUUGAGCCCAAACGAACAUUCAGAAGGGCUCCAACUGUUCCGAACUACUAAACUGCACUGGAAUGAAUAACGUUGUGGUGUUGACAAAAGAGGAGUGUUGACUCUUCUUCUUUUCCUUCAGCCGCACACACGCCACACACACACACGCGCGCAUGGAGGGGGAGAGGGAAACCCUCCCUUCUCUCUCUAAAUAUCUCUCUCAUCUCUCUAAAUCUCUCUCUAAAAAUUGGAGGGUUGGCAGAGAGCGAGCUUGCGAACGCGUUGGAGGCGACGGAUCGAGCUUUCGUACGCCCGUUGGAGCGGCGUGGUUUCGUCGCGGCGUUCACAUUUUGGUAAGCUUUUGGAAUUUUGUUUAAAUCCUUCAUGAAUGAUGUUCUAGUAGUAUCUAGAGUGUUCUAAACAUGCUCUCUCUAUUUAAUUUGGAUUAUUUAGAGGUUAAUUACAUGUUAGGGCUCCGAAUGGGGUUUUGUAAAAUAUAAGGGUUUGAUCUAAUUUGACCCUCCGUAAACCUAAUUGCUAGGUAAACGAACGCGUUGGCCAAGACGGUUCGGCGAUUCGUCCAGCCGUUGCAAAGUUAUUAAAGAAACGGAUGUUUAGGCUUCAUUUCCGCCUGGAGUGUAAGGAAGUGGAUUCUCGAAAUCCGAGAAUUGUACUUCAUACAGGAUCGACUAACCCUAUCGAGAGAAUGCCCUUUGUGGGAGUUAAGAAUGUCCAAAACACAAGAGGUGCUUUGGAGUUGAGUCCACGAGAGCGAAUGAUGCAAACUGCAUCAUUGGGCAGAUGUUACUCUCGGGGACCGGUCUCUAGAGGUGAGAGACCGGUUCCCUUGGCUGGGUGUAGCGGGGUUGCUUGAUGCAACUGGUCCCUGGCAGGGAGGGACCGGUUCCUGAACGUGGUCCCAGCGAGAAAUGCCGAAAUUUGGCUAAGUCCUGAAAAUCGAGCUCUCGGGGACCGGUCUCUCGGGCCAGGACCGGUCUUCCGAGGACCGGUCUCCCGGGGAGAGACCGGUUCCCGAACGCGUGCGCCCGAGGGAGGCCCUCGGGGACCGAUCCCAAGUCGGGGAGACCGGUCCCUCCGCGCGAACUCUGCCCAGUAAGGGCUGUGCAGUGGAUAGAAAGUUGAGGGGUUUUUAUACAAAAUGGCCUUUAUUAGAGUGGGUUGGGCCCUCUCUCUCCCUCACACUCAUCUCAUUUCCCUCUCUCACACUCUCUUUCUCUCUUGCUCUCUCUCUCUAGAAAGGAAAGGAGAAGAAGAAGAACAAGAAGGAGAGGAAGGAAAAGAAGAGGAAGAACAAGAAGGAGAAGAAGGAGGAGAUCAAGAGUAAGGCUUUGGACACCUUCAUCUCCCUCUCCUCUUCUCUUUGGUGUAGCACAAGAGGUAGGCUCUUGAGCCCUAGCUUCUAAACUUUGGAGUUUUGGGUUUUCAUGCUUUGGAAUGGGUCAAAUAGACCCUAAGCAUGCUUCUAAAUAGAUCAAUCCCAUGAUUCUAGAGAUUUAUUGGUGGUUUGCUAUAGGUGCAAACCUAGGGCACCAAAAUGGAGUUUUUGUAAAAGUAUGAGAUUGAUCUCAUUUGAAGCCUUGGAAACCCUAUUGUUAGGUCACAAAACGUGGGGGCGAAGUCGGUUUUGGCAUUCGGCGAACCGGCGUGAAGUUCUCGGCAAAAUAGGGCCGGGCUAGUGUUGACUUGGGCAAGGAAGGCUAAAGCCUUUUCGUAAAGUUCGCCGAGAAGAAUUUCCGAGGCCUCUACAUCGAUUAAAGGUGGGGGGUGCGAUCCCGAAGCUUUCAGACUCCUUUCUAUGUCUUAGAUUGCAUUUAAUAUCAGCUCUUACAUGUUGCAUUGUAGGAUUGCAUAGUAGCUCAUUCCUUAUGCUUUCUAAAUAAUAACCUAGUGUACUUGGAACGCUUGGUGACGUAGAUAGGUGAGGAUUGGGUCGGAACGUGGAUCCUAUGAUGCGAAAGACAAGAGGUGAACCCGAUAGGGGUAUUGAUGACAUAGAAAAUAGUGCUAAUGUUAAAGAACAAACGAGUGACAUCCAAAUGUUAAAUGAUAACGAGUGGCAUUAAUGUAGUGUAAACAACACUAGAGGUUUGAGAACCUAGGGAUAGGUGGAUCCCUUAGAAAAUGCCUUGUGGAUAAAGAACUUAGUAAACCUAAGUAGCCUCACAUGGAGAGGUUGUCGAUGAGUCGAUUGAGACAUUGACCCUAGUGUUAGGGCUUCCUCACUUGGAGCGGAUUGGGAUUGGGUUGUGGACCCUAGUGAUAGUGCUCCGUCACUUGGAGAGGAUUCGAUUGGGUAUAGACUCUAUUUGUAGAGCAUCCUCACUUGGAGAGGACUCGAUUGAGUUGUUGACCCUAGACGUUGGGCAUUCUCACUUGGAGAGGAUAGAUCUAGCUCACAGUCUGCAUUUGCGGUAGUAUAGCCAUCCAAUCCCCAUAUGGAGGGGAUUGUCGUCAAGUACUCCGGAGUGUCGCGCGACUAGGACUACUUGGAGGUCCGGACCACAUGGAGGUCCGCAGACGGUCCCGGGCUUGGGUGCACUUGGAGCUCCCUCCCCACUUUGGGAUUGAAGGGUGAGUUAUAGGCGAGCCCUAGGGCCUCGCCAUAGAUUGGGUAAAUGAAAAGGUUAAAGGUUUAAUAAUGUCAUUGAACAUUGCUAUUCGAACAUGGGUCGAAUUUGUUAGCAUGGUAGCAAACCUUUAUUAUAUGAUGCAUGCAUUCAUAUUCAUGAUUAUGGGCAUAGUAGCAUAGUUUUCCUACUAUCGCAUUUACAGCUUUCAGAUACAUAUCUAUCUAUAUAUCUGUUGUUACUUGUGCCCACUUGGACCUAGUGGGGAGAUCGGCAAAGUCGGCGGCCGAGCCCACUGGGAACUAUGGAAGAUAGUUCUCACCCCACUCUAUUUCCAGUGGUAGAUACAGGACUACCGAGNAGGGAGGACCGCGGCAAGGGCAUCGCGCCCGAUCAGUGAGACCGUGGCAGUUAGUAGCUUUCAUUUUUGCAUUAGUUCACCAAUGUAUUGAGAGAGAAUCAUUGUAGGUGAGGACAUGGAGAGCUAUGCACUUUGAGAUGAAAAAUGUAUUCAUUUAAAGAGAAUGAUGUAAAUGGAAAUGAUGAAACUAUUGUAAUAGUUAGUAAAAUACUCUCUUUAUUUCACAUGCUAUAUCUUGAGGAUUACUUGCUCUUUAUAUUGUUGGCACUGUUCGUGCCCUUGUGAAUAUGUAUGUUUAGAAUUUAAUUUUCUGGGUAAAUUCUUGUACACAUUCUUGUUGUUGAGCCUUGGGCAGACAGGGGAGGUGCUGUCCAUUCGGCAAUCUGCCGCCGCGGCCGAAUCGUGCCAAAUUAGUAGUGGUUUCGGGGCGGGGUGUGACAGUUCUUUGUGGUAUCAGAGCAACAAGAGCAAGUAAAGAGAGAAAGUCUAGGAUGACCUAGGAGACCCUAGGUUGAUAAGCCCUAAGGUUAUAGGUGCGUGAGCGGAACGUGAACCUAUAGCGAUGGCGGAAGUUAAGUCGAUUGGGUUGAAGUUGGCAAUAUGUCUCUAGUUGUGAUUAGAGACGGACUCAAGUUGUAGGAGUUCUUGUCUUGAGGUGGUUGUGUUGGCGGUCGAUGACAUGAUGCCAAGAGAUUAGAACAAGUGCACUUGUGUGCUUCCGCCCGAUUUUUGUUGUUGAGUCGUCAAGUGACAUAAUUGUGACGAGGCAAUUGGUUAAGAUAACUGACCGAGUAUCUGCAUUUCAGGGACUAAUGUCUCCAAGACGCUACACGCGUAGAUCUGCCCCAGCACCGAUUCCUGAGGUGCCCGAGAAGAAGGAACCGAACGUGAUCGAUCGGUUGCAAGCGCAGGUGGCCGCACUGACCAACGUGGUGCAACACCAGGAGACCCGAUUCGAGCGGCUCUGGGAUCUUUUGGAGCAGCAGAUUGCAGUGGCGGCCGCGAUGGUGAAUGAGGGCGGUGGUCCGCCCACACCCUCGACUCAUAUACCCGUGGCGGCAGAGGGUGAGGGCAUAGCGGCGGUUCCGGUGACGGCACGCCCACCGCCAGCGAUCGUACCACAGGCGGCAUCGGGAUCGGCUACACCCGAUGUGGCAGCCGAAGACGUGGAGGGAGAGCGCGCAUUGGCGGCUCUUAUCAAGUUCAACAAGUUCCAUCCGCCAACCUUCGAGGGCGAGAAGGUGGAACCGGAGAUGGUCGAGUCUUGGAUUGACUCGAUGGAAACCUUCUUCGAUGAUUUACGUACCUUAGAGAGGGACAAGGUGUACCUCGCCACCCAUUGCUUGGAGAAGGCGGCGAAGGUUUGGUAGAAGCGCGUCAAACGGGAUCGGCUUCCCGGCCUUCCGCCAAUGUUGUGGGAGGAGUUCAAGCAGGAGAUGUUUGCUAACUAUUUUCCCGACACACUGAAGCCGAAGCUCAAGGAGAAAUUCCGCAAGUUGGAGCAAGGGGACCGCUCAGUGGCGGAGUAUGAACAAGAAUUCUCCCAUAUCAUUGAUUGUGUCCCGGAUGUUGCAAAGGAUGACCGGGACUGGGCUGAGUGGUUCUUACGAGGACUUCAGCCGGGAAUUUACAAGGCCGUGCAAAUACUCAAGCUCACAACCUUUGCGGAGGUCUUUGAUCGAGCCCUAUGGGCGGAGCACGGAGACGCCCACGUUCGGGAGAAGCGUGAGCUUUUGGCGGAGUCCAAGGACAAGGGCAAGAAACGCCAAGGUGGCGGUAGUUCGGGGGGACAAACACGUUACAAGAAACCCCUGAAGUAUCCGCGCACUCAACAGAAGGGCGGUGGAGCGCGGCGUUGCAUCGUGUGCGGCGGAGACCACCCGGUCUCGCGCUGAGCAAGGCCGAGGCAAGUGCUACAAGUGUGGGCAACUGGGGCACUUCAUUCGGGACUGCCAGGGAGGAGGAGCCUCACCUGCCCCAUCAAUUGCAUCGGUGCCGGCGAUUCCGGCUCACUAUGGAGGAGCUCCACCCACGGCCGCGUCGACUGGACGCGCGAUGAUGCCGCGUCAACAUGAAGCAACGCGAUCGGCCCCGAGUGGACGGGUGUUCGCCGCUCAGGUCCAAGCUGAGGAACCUGCGGAGGCGGAGGAGCAUCGCCUUGUGGCAGGUAUGGUUUUAAUUAACGGAGUUCGCUCCAGGGCUUUAUUUGAUACAGGAGCCACGCAUUCAUUCAUAAGUAGAUCAUUCGCACGCAUGCAUGGCAUACAUAUAGAAGCGAGUGACAAGUGGCGAGUGGAGGCCCUGGGUCGACGUUUAACACUUACUCGGAGUAUGCGUCGUGUCCCGUACAAAGAGGCGACUGGAUUAUGCCUAUCCGGACACUGGAACUCGCAAAGCUUGAGGCUUAUGACGUCAUUCUGGGUAUAGACUGGCUCUCGAAAUAUCACGCAAUGAUCGACUGCAAGAGUAGGGUGAUCACAUUCUGUGAGCCAGGACAGGAAGAAUUCAUCUAUCGGACUUGUCAGAGCUCGUGCUUCGUCGCGACGGUGUCGGCGACGAGAGCAAGGAAGUUGGUCAACAGCGGUUGCACGGCAUUCUUGGCAACUAUUGUGGAGGUGGAGCGAGUAGCCCCAAUGUUAGAGGAGUUAUCCGUGGUGUGGGAGUUCCCGGAUGUGUUUCCUACGAAGUUGCCGGGGAUACCACCGGAUCGGGAGAUCGAGUUCGUCAUAGACUUGGUUUCCGGUACCGCACCGAUCUCGAAGGCUCCGUACCGAAUGGCGCCGGCGGAAUUGAAGGAGUUGAGGAGUCAAUUGCAAGACCUCCUCGACAAGCAAUUUAUCCGGCCAAGUGUAUCACCGUGGGGAGCCCUGGUGUUAUUCGUGAGGAAGAAAGAUGGAUCGUUUCGACUCUGCGUGGAUUAUCGAGAGUUGAACAGAGUCACGAUCAAGAACAAGUACCCACUACCCCGAAUCAACGACCUGUUCGAUCAGUUGCAAGGGUCGUGUGUGUACUCGAAGAUAGAUUUGCAAUCCGGCUAUCACCAGCUGAAAAUCAAGCCGAAGGAUGUGCAGAAAAUCGCGUUCCGCACGCGGUAUGGACAUUACGAAUUCACGGUCAUGCCAUUUGGACUCACAAAUGCUCCAGCGGCAUUUAUGGAUUUAAUGAAUCGUGUCUUCAGAGAGUAUUUGGAUCGGUUUGUCGUGGUCUUCAUAGACGACAUAUUGGUCUAUUCUCGUAGUGACGAGGAACAUGCCGAGCAUUUGAGAAUAGUGCUUCAAGUCCUUCGGGAGGAGAAGCUAUAUGCUAAACUGAAGAAGUGUGACUUCUGGCUCCGCGAGGUCGCCUUCAUAGGGCAUGUGAUUUCCGUAGGUGGAGUUUCAGUAGACCUGAGGAAAGUUGAGGCAAUCAAGGAUUGGCCGCGCCCGACGAAUGUCACGGAGGUUCGAAGCUUCGUGGGCUUGGCGGGCUACUAUAGGCGGUUUGUGUAAGGCUUUUCCAAGAUAGUGAUUCCACUUACCCGCCUGACUCAAAAAGGCACCAAGUUUGUUUGGAGUGAAGAGUGCGACCGGAGUUUUAAAGAGUAGAAGCAGAGAUUGACUUCGACUUCGGUGCUCGCUCUACCGGUGCAGGGCGAAGACUUCGUGGUCUACAGUGAUGCCUCCUAUCUUGGAUUGGGGUGUGUAUUAAUGCAAAGCGGGAAAGUGAGUGCGUAUGCAUCCCGUCAGUUGAAGAGCUAUGAAAAGAACUACCCCAUUCACGAUUUGGUGCUAGCGGCGGUGAUUUUCGCCUUGAAGCUGUGGAGCCACUACUUAUAUGGUGCCCAUUGUGAGAUCUAUACCGACCACAAGAGCUUGAAGUACCUGUUUACACAGAAGGAGCUCAAUAUGCGUCAGCGGCGGUGGUUGGAGCUAUUAAAGGAUUAUGAUGUUGAUAUCCUCUACCACCCCGGGAAGGCAAAUGUGGUCGCGGAUGCGCUGAGUAGGAAGUCGGCGAAGAACCUCGCUUUCGAUGUUACCCAGCAAACACCCCUGUGGCUGGAUAUGGAGCAAUUGGGCCUUGAGGUGGUCGCUCCCGAGGUCCCGACUCAGCUGAUGGCACUCGUUGUCCAACCGACCUUGUUAGAGAGGAUUAAAGAUCUGCAACCCGCAGACCCAGAGCUCCAAAAGGUGCGGCGAAACAUCGAGGAAGGGC